CCGGGAAAAGUGAAGGGUCACCUUGAACUCGCCGAAGGGGUCCAGGUUGGAGCGGACGGUGCCCGUGAACAUGACCGGCUCCUGGGGAAUGAUAGAAAGGCCUGCGGAAGGGAAGACGCGCAAGUGCGGCAAAUGUAAAAGGAGAUGGCUCGUCAGCUCGGGGCGACCGCAGCGGUGCAAGGAAUUGCCAAAAUGGCAGACGAACAUGCGCGGUAAAACCUGCUAUUUGGCAGAGCCAUGAGAAACCCCCGAGAAUCCGAAUUGCGUCCUCUGAGCCAGGGUAGCUUACCGGUGCGCAGGCGCUUGAGGCUGAGGGUGGCAAUGUCAACACCGUCGAUGAGAAUGCGGCCCUUGCCCAGUUCGAACAUGCGGUACAGCGCCAGCAGGGUGGUAGACUUGCCAGAGCCGGUGCGGCCCACAGCGCCGACCUUCUCGCCGUCGUUGAUCUUGAAGGUGACGCCCUUGAGGGCCCAGGCGGCAUCCAGGCGGUACUGCAUCCAGACAUCCUCGAAGCGGAUGUUGCCGGUAGCUGGCCAGCGAGCGAGCGCGGCAUCAUCCACGACAACCUGGACCUUGCUGGUCGCUGCAAGCAUGAAUCAAGCAGAAAUAUAGACAAUGAAAACAUGGAAAAUCAAACAGAGUAGAAUCAUAUGGUUACACACAAGUUACAUUUGGAUGGCGGUAUUCACUAUCGUGCUUAGGCAGUCAGGUCGAUAUCCCGAUUCUUACCGGGAACAAUCUGGCCAUCAGGCAAGGUGAUGCUCUUGGCGACACCAUCGAGCUGCUUCUGGUCGUAGAAAAUGCCAUCCUUCGGCACGUAGUCAGCCAGCCAAGCCAUCUGCGAAUUAACCAACGACGAACAUUAAUAUUCAGCGAAAAUUCCACGACCGCAGCUUACGGUGGCAGCGAGGCGACUACGCAAUCGAAGCUGCGAACACAAGGUAACGGUGCUUCACUUACCGCCUCAACACUGUUGAACAGCGAGAUCGACUCAGCGAUGAAACGAACCACCCAAGUGUAGAAGACCAACAUCUGAAUGAUGUUAGAGAAGGCGAGACCGACGGUAGCGGCACCAAGUUGAUCUGCAAAGGAGCCACAGAAGAGCGGGGACAGAAAUGUCAGUACCUGUUUAACGAAAGCGACAUCCUUUCUAAGCACUCCAACCUCAGCAAAGCGACAUUUACCGAAACAUUCCGAGCCCAUCCCGCCAUGCAAUUCCCUAGCCCAUCCCGCCAUGCAAGGAAUUGGCAGACAAGUUUUAUAAACAGCCACCCACCCUUGAGGCCCACGGCGAAGGCGCUCACGACGCCCACAAGGGAAGCACCGAUGAGAUCGCACCAGAAGGCCAGCCACAGGUUGAGAGACUCGGCGUUAAACACAGCGGCAUUGGUCACGUCAGUACGGCGAGCAGCUUCCUCGAUGAAGUACUCCUGCUUGGAGAAGGCCUGUACGACGUUGAGUCCCUCCAGCACCUCAGCAACCAGACCCACAAGCUGACCGCCGCUAACGGCACGAGCCUUCUUGAGGGCGGUGGCGGCUGGCAGGUAGAUGGCCAACAUAAUCAACGUCAUGAUGAUGAGGAAGCCAGUGAAAGCGCCAAAGAAGUUGAUGGUGACGGAGACGGUGAUGGUGGUGGCCAACAGAAUCAGACCGUAGAUGCCCAUGAAGUGGAUCGCAUCUGGAAGAUUCUCAUCCAUGAUAUCCUGCAGCAGGAAGCAAACAUCCAUUCCACGACAUGCAACACAAUUUCAUCAGACGAACUCCCGUCGGAAUAUCGUCAGAAUGCCAAGUCACAGGGCCUAUGUCUUUCUGCGAAGAGGUUCGCUAAGAACGCACUCGCUCGCUCAGUCACCAUUUUUUUCGCUCGCUCGCUCGCUCUGUCACAUACACACAUACACACACACACACACCUGAUCCUUGGUGAAGUUCAGCAGCAGGUCACCGACGGGGGUGACGAGGAAGAAGCCCAUCGGAGCGUUGAGCACGUUGUUGAGAGCCUUCUUCCGAAUGUUCUCGGAGGAGCGCAGAACCCACCACAGGAAGGUGGAGCCACGAGCAACCAUAGUGAAGUAGAAGAGACCCACGAGCAGCAGAUAGAUCAGCGCAUAGAACUUGGUAGCGCUCUCCUCGCGCACGCCGGUGCGCUUGGGGAAGUGCUUGUACUCAUCGUUCACCCACCAACGAACCCAGAAAUCGGACAUCUGGCGACAGGUCUGAGCAGCCAGGAAGGUAAUGAAGCACACGAACACUGCGCGGGGGAAGGUUAAGGAGGAAAAUGGGGUGAAGCGGGAUACAACACGGUUAUAGGCAGAUAAGCGGCAGAUUGCGUCAAUAUUCCGUCAUCGCGUCAACAUGCGCUAUUUUACCUUGACCCUAGACCCUAAAUUGCUGCAUUGCAUUGAUCUCCGUUACAUCCAUGCCUGCCGACUCACCCAGGAGGAUAUUUCCGUAGUACGUGUAGAUGAGGGCGGCCUUGAAAGCGGUGAGCUUGGGCGCCGCCUUGGUGUCCUUCUGAGUGGGCUUGCCGAUGGAGGUGGGAGCCAGGGUCAGCUGCAGCGACUGCCUGCUCGGAUCACACAGGGGAAAGGAAAAGAUUGGGGUUAGAUCGACGCACAUUCAUGUGUGUUUCUACGCACAUCUCACGGACUAGAGCCAACCCCUGGCGCCAACGUAAAUUGCAUGGGGUUCCCUCCGGGGAAACCCAACUUACGACUUCUGCGGGGUGGCCUUGUCGUCCUUCUUCUUUGGGGCGGCGGGAGGAGCCUCCUGGGAGCCAGCGGCGUGCAGAAGGUGCGUGAUGGGCAGGAGCUUACCCAGCAGGUGCUGCGACUCCUCAUUCCAUUUACCUGAGAGAUUAGGGAGAUGCGGAAGUGGGUAGGUAGGUGCGAGUAAAAGCUAACGUCCAUAGCGCUGAUGGCAACACAGCUUGCAACUCUUUUUCAACAUAACCCCACGUACCGAAGUAGAGGCAGCGACCCUCGUCCAUAAUAGCGACGGCAUCGCAGCGCGGCAUGAACUCAAUUUGAUGGGUGAUCAGAACGACGGCCUUGUCCGAGAAGAGGCCCUUGAUGCACUUGUCGAAGAUGUGGUGAGCAGUGUGGUGGUCAACGGCCGACAGGGCGUUAUCCAACAGGACCAGAUCAGCGUCCGCAUACGCGCAACGAGCGAGGUUAACGCGCUGACGCUGGCCUCCCGAGAAGUUGACACCGCGAAUACCAGCCCUGCGAAUCGGUUGUAAGUUUCCGAACGAAUUAACACUUUGUCUUGUUGGCUCCUAUUGGAGAUUUACGUGAAAUUCGGGACAACAGACUACUGAACUAAGAUUUUGACUAGGGAUGAGGAAAUCUUACUUGCUCUGGUCCCCCUGAGGAAGAAUCUGCAAGUCCAUGGUCAGCGCGCAAGCGUCGAUCACAGCUUCGUACUUGUUCUCGUCCCAACCCUCGCCGAAAGUGACGUUGUCGCGGAUGGACAAGUUCUGCAGCCAAGGGUUCUGAGGCACGUAGGAGAUGCGGCCUCCCACUUGCUGCGAGCCGUGCUCCUUGACCAUGUUGCCGAGGAUGGCCUGCACCAAGGACGACUUGCCAGCUCCAAUACGGCCCACCACAGCGACCACUUGGCCGGGGCGCACGUCGAAACGGGGAACGUGGAGGUGCCUAGCAAGCGAUCAUAUGCGGCAUUCAGCAGACAGGGCAGAAUUUCAUUCACAAUUCAGGAGUAGGUAUUUCAUUCGAUGUCAGAGCGUUAUGCGAGUCAUGCCGUCCAAUAGCUGAUGCUCAUGUUGGGAGCGUUGCCAGCGGAGCAGUAAAUUAGCUAUGCGACGCGAGCAUCUUUCGCUCCCGCGCAAAGUUACCGGAGACUGGGCUUCAGGAAAUGCUACAACUAGGAGUGUUACCAUUACAUGGCAGGUGUUGGCUUACUAUACAUUAGCAUUGGCGCACAGGGAAUGCACUCUGCCCGUAGCUCUCACCAGUUGGGGUUACUGGGGUGGUGGUAGACGGCGUUGUCCUGCGUAACAUAAAGGAGGCGGGGAGGGCGACAAGUCGGACUUAGCACCCAAUGACUGCAACAUACAUUGCCAUACAACGACUGUACACAUCAAACAAAGUAGAGGAUAAGCAUGAGAAGCCACGUUGUCUUACGAUGUGGACGCCAGGCGCGGAGGACUUGCUGCUCUUGCCGCCCGAAGCGGUGCCCUGUGGCACAUCCUCAAGCAGGUAAGACUCCAGGCGCUGCAGGGAAGCAUGAGCCUCUGCGCACAGGACAUGGGUGUAAAGGUAGCGUCGCGAGAAGAGGACAACGUCAAUGACACGAACAGGGGGGAAUCAGGCGACACAAGCAAACUCCCACUGCAGCAGGAACCCCAAAUACAACACGCAACCCUAGCCCUUUCCACGUUGCCAUGCGGCCACCUACCAGACACGGCGCGCAGAGCCUUCGGCAGCACCACAAGGGGGAAACGCAGAAUGUUGAACAGCGACAGGGUGGUGAAGGCCACGCCAGACACCAGACGAGCCUUCUGGAACUCAUAGGUGGUGAAGAUGACGAACGCGGUCAUGGGAGGCACGCAGAACACGCAAGCCACGUUGAUGACCUUCAUCAUCGCGUUCCAGAAGGACAGACGCAUCUCCUCGCGGCGGAUCUGAGGGGGACGCCAUGGCACGGAAUAAGUAAAUAGAAAGAAAAGCGCAGCCAAAGUCACGGGCAACAUUUGCUAUGCGAUUGUCACGAUGUCAAUAUUGUUACAUUUCAAUUUUCCUUCGUAUCAAUAGUUUGCCAUUCAGUUUGUCAUUAAAAAGCUGCGCCUGUUAUUGCAACCUCACCAUGUCGCGGGACCUACCUUAGAAAUCUCAUCCUCGAAGAACUGCUCCCAUGCGUAGUACUUGACCAGCUUAAUAGCAGGCAGCACCUCCUGCAGGAUGGAGCUGCGCAGAGCAACGUGCUUGGCAUUCUGCAACUUAAUCUGGAUAAUCUUGUAGCCAAAGAAGUACUGCAGCGGCAGGACCAGCAGGAUGACGCCCAGACCAGGCAGCAUGGAAUCGUUGGUAAGGUAGCCCAGCAGUGCCAGAAUAGCAGCAGCCUCGAAGGGAGCAGUCCACAGGUAGUGAAACUCCUGAGAGCGACGGGGGCGCACAUACAACAUAAGGGGAUUAAGGCAGCGGCAAAGAAUCUAGAACCCUGCUGAUGAUGUUGCGGCUGAUGGCUGCAAAAAACAACUCCAGGCGAGCAGAGUAGGUUCAGAACAAGAGCAACUAAAACUUUCGUGAUAACAAUUUUACUGAUGAACAGCUCACGAUAAAUUACCGUUAACUAAUGCCGCUUACCAACGCGCCAUCGUAGAUUUUCUGAAUAUCGGAGGAGACGAAGUUUACGAUGGCGGCGGACUGGUCAGCUCGGACAGAACUGAGACGAAAGGCCUUGUGGGUCACAGCUUGAACCAGAGCUGCGCGAGCGCGGAUACCGACAGACAUACAGAUGUAGCCCAUGCGCUGAAGACUGAGACCAAGAAGCCAGGCAUCGAGGGUGAAUCCCGCCAUCAAGCACCAGCCAGAUACAGUCUUGGAGUACAGGCGACCGUCCUUGAUGCCGUUGACGUGAGCAAGCAGACUGCGGACGGGAUUGGGCGCGUUAAAAGGGGAGCCGUUUGCUUAUCGCGCAUGCGAUGUAGGAGGUGCGAAUAAUAACUGCCAUGCGCAUGAAUGCGAUGAUACAAAUAGCUGUAGUAAGACACAGUUUCCAUUUGAGAAAACAGGUGGGAUGCAGAACGUAAUUAAUGCUAAGGAACAAGAACUACAUGUUAAGAAGCAAAAUUAUAGCAUAAAAUGGCCUAGAGGAAGCAUUCACUGGUAUGGAAGCCCAGCGCGAUCAGUCACUCGGAAUAGUGUAAGGGCCAAGGAGGCGUGCGCUAGGAAGUCAUGCGCGCUAGGGCAUAUUCACAAAAAUCAUCGUGAGCUUGUCAUGUAUUUAGCACGCUGCGGACGCAGUAGGUCUUGGCAUGUGGGAGAGAGAGAUCGGAUUAAUCAACGGAAAUGGUGGUAUGUAACGCUCCGAAAUCGGUAGCCGAGCUAACCUGCGCACGAAGUAGAAGGCGCCAGUGAUGACGAAAGUAGACCAGAAGCACUUGAAGACACCACCAAGAAGAUAGACCAAGCCGAAGGACUUGCGCAGGGCGCGAACAAGUGAAGGCUUCGCGCCCGAGUCCUUGAGCUUCAUCUCAGCCGCCCAGUUAGAUGCGAACAUAUCAUAAGCCUGAAUAAAUAUAAGGAGGGUAAAUGCGUCGAUUCAGUACAAAUUGUGAACACAGACGACUGCGCAGUCCUUAACCUCCGACGCCACCACUAAGCUUACCUCAUGGGCAUGAUUCUCAGGCGGCAUGCCCAUCUUGUCCAAGUCGAUGUCGCCAUUCUUGCCUGCGACAGUCAAAAAUGCCAUAUUGAGAAGUGACUAGUGAAAUGGAAAAAUCGACCACUUGCACACUUCAGAUAUCACUUACGAGCUUCGGACACAUGCUUGAACAUCCAUCCGAAGGCGAACUUGUUAAAGAAUCCCGCAGUGGGAUCAUUGCCCCUAGCGGGGUGGCUUAUCGUGCCCAUCGCUCACAGAUGUAUGCUUCCAGGAACCAAGACUUGGUUACUCUGAUAAUCGCUAUCUAAGUGUAAUGUUUAACGCUUUCCAAAUUGGUCUGCACGAGAUCAAAUCGUGCAAACACUAAAUCACUUUGCCAACUCAGGCUCUUAAUCUACAACUACACCUUCUCAGCGCCAGAGGCUGAUGACCACGACGACUGACCCUGAUGUGGUGAUAAAUGAUGUUUUUACAGCCUUCAUAUAUCCUUGAUGUCCGCGGUUGCCGAUGUCGUACCAUUGCGUGGGAUGUUAGAGGUUGUCCGAUGCCGUACACUACUUUGCCAACUACCCUACUACAUGGAUUGAAUGCUCGUUCACAAAUGCGUGAAAGUCGUGAAACGUACGUGAUAAUUCUGUUCAUUGUCGUGUAUGGUAUACUCUUGAAAUCCUAGAUAUCAGGUGCAUGCACGCACCGAUGACGUUCGCAAUAUUCAUGACUGUUGGCCAUAAUCGCAUAUAAUUCAAUGACGUCCUAACUAAUGAGCUAUAACAUGAUCCUGUAACUAAGUAAUUGCUUGCACUUCAUGCUGAUAUCCAAAGUCAUGUUGUCAGUUGAUGCACUCGACGUCUUUCCUUAACAUGGGUCCUCAUCCCCUGGCAUGUUUAAGCGAUGAAGCAAGUAAUAUGCAUUAUAUAACAAUCUUCAUUCUGCAAACCGAAGGUGAAUAGUAGGUAUUUACAUCUUUCCGUUGAAUCACCAAAGCUUUCCUCAGCACCUCUAAGCACUGAUCAGCAUUAAAUUUCAAUAUUCCAUGCAUACCCAGAAGAUUUUUGAGUUCAUCGCUUGUAUAAACGGCGCUUUCCUGACCAUAUGCAUAGCUUCGAGACAAUUAUGUAUGCAGCUGACAAAUAAGGAUACAAUACAAAUAACUUCUCUGUCGACGACUGCCUAAACAUGCUAUCCAAGAUUUCUAGCGACGUCUAGCUGAUUACGUUCACUCAAGGUCGACAUAUCGAGGGUUCAGUUGGCCCUGCGUUUCGUUUCCCAAAUAACAACUUUUACAACAACUACCUAUCGGACAUGACCUAAAUGUCUACCAUGUCAUAACCAUAAGGCAAACAUCACUCUUCAACCGUCCCCGCACCGACAAGAAAAGCACGCGCGACAACGGUAUGGGAUAGUGGCCAUUUCGCCUUUUUUAAGCCGCAUAAGGGUGAUCUGAAGAAUGUCAAAAGACAAACGGAGGUAAAAGCCCGAUCAUAACUGGAGGGUCCUUAAAUCCGCGGCAUUCCGGCUGACCAACCGCGCAGACCGCGUGCUAAGUACAGCACCCCCGACUGACAAGACCUACCACAGGACAUGGACGGCGCCUUGUUUAGAUUUAUGCUUUCUUUGCCCGGCCUUUGAUUCACAGCUGUAUCGAGGGGGUUCAUCUGCACAUGGGACUUUACUAGACCAAAACAAAACAGAAUCUGGGCUCACUUUUCUGUUCAGUCCAAUCCUACUGCAUAAUUAAAGAUUUCAGAACGCUCACCCACAGCUCCCGGUUCGAGCUUUGAUGCCGCUUUUUGAGUUCAUUUAAAGUUUCACUGGCCUAGGCUUUGGGUUUGGGUUUGCCGCGGCCGGGAGGCCGCAACGCUUUCCUGUCUACGGAGCUAACCGACUGAUGUCCCUUGGGGAACCCCUCUACCUAUACUGGUUUGAAAACACUGUGUAUUAACGCGGGUGCCCCCCUCCCCGGCUCACACCCACCGUUGAAGCGUUGUAUGCCCGUGUGUGCUUCCCAACGGGAUUCAGCGACAUAGCGCGUCAUUUAAGAUGCUUAGCCUAGUAACGCAAAAUAGUGUAAAUGCCGCACAGCCUCCUCUUUAUUAUUGCAUUGCGGAGUCCUUUUUUGUUGCACACGCGAUACAAAGGAAAGGAGCUUGCAUAUGCGGUAUUAUGUUGCGCGCUACACCGCAAUUGCGAGCCCGCUUAAUUACUGAUUGCCAGAUGGGUGCUUCGACGCUGUUGGGCCAUCAGCGGGCCAUAUGCCUCGUGGGUUCAUCAUCAGCGGUUGUAGCACCCAGAAGGAAAGGAGAUAUUUUCCCUCCCCUGCCCAUCUUACAUCUUAUCGGUCUCCCCUUUUGGGACCGCUUUGUGGAUAAGAGUGACGCGCAGCGUGUGUCCGGGCAUCUGAGAGGGAAUGCAACAGAAUGCAGCAAGUCAAGGAAUCUCUCCGUGGGUUGCCACCAGUACUUAACCACAACGAAACCGUCCACCACAGACAUUACAGCGCCAAAGCAGCAUCAGCACACCCCGCUUCAUCCAGCGGACCAGAGGAGUGCAAAAACAAUCAUCUCCACCGAAGAUGAAGAAGAAGACGACGCACCUUCCGUUGGCCAUGGGCUUGUACAUAGUUGACCCCAAACCAUCCAUCGCCAAGCUGCAGCGCAACAUACGCGACUUUUGUGAUAUAAACGAGAAACGCAACAAAAAGAAGGCACACAACGUAUUUCACUAGUUCGAUCUCACCACUACGUUGGUUACAGUCCCAUACCUCAAAAUCCCACACCAACGCGACGAGUCAGAUCACCUUAACAUUGACCUAGAAGCAAUUCGACAGACGACGACACAGGCCAGGCCAUCACCACCUCCGGAAAGACACGCGUAAAGAGCUGUGCACGAGGACCAAGACCAGAAAGACCAGGCAGACCUGGAACAGGAACGGCAGCUGGAAGGGGGGCCGGCGGCGGUGGACGGAACACCUAAAUUCAACCAAAACAGUCAACGGAGGGGGAUACACCACGUUACCCUUUAGCGGCGCAACGCACAAUCGCCUAACCAGCCCGGGAAUUCAAAUGCUGUGCAUACACAUGCACGUACACAACGCAGCAGCAGCAGCAGCAGCAGCAGCAGCAGCAGCAAGCCUACCACAACAGUUAGAUUGCGAGGCGCUCCUCUGGGCCCCCAAAUAGCGUAUACGAGUGUGCAGUACAUUAUCCAGAGCAACGCCGAAACCGCCAACCGGAACCGCCAACCCGCCAGUUCGCCAAAUCCUCACCGGCAUGUCCAACUGGAAAUGAAGGCAUUGUCCGCUUGGGCGUGUCCCUUGGCCCGCUAUUUCCUCUUAGCACUUAAUUAGCACAUCAUACAUACAUACAUACACACACAUACAUACAUACUUUGCCCUAGCUGAGACUUGUGGACUCGCUCUAGCGGGACCUGAGAGCCUUUCGUGGUGUUUUCACUGCAGCGCCAUCCCCGGAUGGAGAGGCUGCGGAGUGGCUGCGUAGAGUGUUGGCAGUCUGAGUCGGGGUCGGGAGCACGCAAGACUAACCGACUUGUGCUGUGUGCUCCCGACCCUUGCGCAGUGUUUCGGCUUCGGCCCCCGGCUCUCGCGGCCCACAGUGUAAUCUAAGUCAUAGAUACAUACAUACAGUUAAGACACGAUCACACCUCAAACCGGGCGGUCUCCUCCUAGCAAGCUUAAACAGUACCCAACCCUAGGCAUUCCUCCUGCCGUGGCGGCGAAUCAAACCCGUACAGAUGCGUGGGAUGCCCAUUCCACGCACCUAAAUUCACAAAAUCGUACACCGCCGUACGUGGCAGCUGUCGUGCACGUCACAAAACACACUUCCGGUGGCUCCCUCCCGAAACGCGAUGAAUGAUGAUGCGCGGUGGCUCCAGAGCGAAACCAGGCAACCUUCUCUCGGAUUAAGAAAUCCAACUCAAUGAUGGCCAUUAUCGGACUACUUGAGGCCAUGUAUGUGUAUUUCUCCCCCAUCAUCCCUCCCCGGGUCUCCUCUCGCCCCUCACCAAGUGCCCCAAUCCACACCUGCUUACACGGGCCCUAUGGGACACCACGACGCUUUACCCCAGCGCACCAAGCAGCUCCGAAACAAAACACACACAGACACACACACACACACGCACAGAUCUUAAUUAGCACGGGCCCGGCCAUCCCGGACCCUGCAGGCCGGCUCUCCGCCAAGGACUCCGCUGAAAACCUUUCAUCAAAGAUAUGUUGUAUUUACAUGCAGCAUUAAUAGGCCGGGCCCAGGGUGGCUCCGAGAAAAAACAAGGAUGGCCUCCGACCACCCGCCGCGGGAUAUGGAGGGGUACAAGAUUAUCCGGGGUUUCCAAGGGUGUUUGUGCGUAUGUAUGUAUGUAUGUAUGUAUGUAUGUAUGUAUGUAUGUAUGUAUGUAUGUAUGUAUGUAUGUGUGUAUGGUAGUGGCGGCCUGCUGGCGGUGAACCCCGCGAUGUCUCAACCCCUCUUGUCACAUUUCUCCUCUAGACUGACUACCAUGGACACGACUCCACAGUUUCAUACUUGUUGUUUGCUUUUCAGACAUACCCCCAGACAUACUUUUUGGUGCAGCCGCAGUCGCAGUCGCGGUCGCAGCAGUGCAGUUACCGGUCCAUACAGGGAUUGGAAAACUCUACCACGUCGCCACGGACAACGGAGAGCUUGCUCAGUAGUCCGAAGCUGUUCGUGCAAAAACCACCAUUGCCAUUUCCCUCAUCGCGACUCAAAUCAUCAAAACCAGGCGGAUGAGUGGAUACACACAACACCCCGCGGCCCACCACAUGGAAACGUGUGUCAUAAAAGCACUACACAUCUUUAUACUUCCCCUUGAUACGCAGACAGACAGACAGACUGACUGACAGAUAGACAGGCAGACAGACGGACAGAAAAUCGCAGCCAGACAGACACACAGACAUACAGACAAACUGGCAGGCGAACAGAGAGACAGACAGCCAUGCCCACACCGCCACCACCACCACCACCUCUGGCGACCACCUGUUGCCUCCCCUCCCCAGCAUCCGCCAUCCCGACGUCCCAUUAACACGCUCGAGGGCUCCAAGGGAGUUUCCGCUCCCCUGCACAAACAACACUUUUUGCUCGUCCAACCCCGUAGUAUUUCCUUUUACAUCAAUGCACGCCCGCAUGUGCCUUCUUUACACAUCACCCCAACCCACCACACCGACACGAACAUCGCAGAAUCGGUUCCUUUCCACCAGCUCAUGCGUUCUUAACCAAAUAUGUAGGCAACCCUAGGCGCCGCAAAUCAUAAACCCCCAGAGGAGGCCAGUAUAGGCAACCCUAAAACCCACACUCACUCAACCCUUUCCGCAUCUUUGUACCAUCGACACGUCAUUACACUAUCGCAUCAGCGCGCUGAGGGAGGGCCAGUCAGCAGCUCUGGAUCACACAUGCACAUACGCAACCGUAUAAUACGGACUUACAUGCGUACAAACAGAGGGGCGCGCACCAUCGAAAUGAAGGUGGUGCAGUGUGAUACCACAGGACUUCGAACCACUGCAGGUAUUCCGACGACGAGGGAAGCAACCCGAACCUGGCGGGCUGGGCAACACACUGCCGUCGCUGCUUCCGUGUUGUUGGCGCACAGCUGCUUCUGUUGCUGCAGCUGUUGUAGCAGGGGCGAUGGGUUUUUGCCCCCUACAAGGCUCACAACAGCUAGCUAUCUUCUUGGGUUUGCUUGUGUGUUCGCUAUCGUCUGCUUGAGCGACGAUCUCACGGAUGCUUCUGCUGCGCUGCGGCAACGGCACCGAAGCGGUGGCGGCGGCGGCAAUGGACCCAGCAGGCCAUGACGGCGGGUGAUGACAGCGGUCGUGGGGAGGAGGAAGGAAGAAAGGCGGUCAGAGCGUACAACAACACUCCUCAAGACUCCGGCUCCUGUUCCGGCUGCGGCUGCAGCUGGGCGGGGUGAGACUCCAGGAUAGGCGGCAUGGAGGGCGGCGGACGGGCCGGCGGCUGCUGCGGCGCAGCAGCACCGGCGCCGCUGCCAGGUACCUGCUGGGAAAAGCCGCCGCCGCCGCCGCCAGCACCACCGAGUUGUUCGGCUCCAGCCGCGAAGAAGGGCGGCCGGGCGCCGAUGGUGAAAGCCCCGGGCAUAGCGUUCAUGCAGUCCUGCGGUUCAGAAAAGCGGUUUUCAUCAGGCCCCCAGAAGCAAACCACCAAUGCAGCAGCAACCGUACGAGGAGGAGGAGGAGGAAGAGAAGAAGGAGAAGGAGGAGCAGAAGGAGGGCGAGGGUUAAGGAAAAAGCCAAGCCGACCGGUGCAGGGUAGGGACCGACGCAAACACAUAAUCCGUCGGGGCCUCCUCAAACUGGCUAUCCAUGCCCACUCACAGUCGCUCGGGGAGGCGACAUGCGAGGCGCGACGUACCGCCAUCAUCAUCACGCGCACACAGAAUAAACAGACAAGGCAGGAUGGAAUAUUUGACCAGCCCAUUUUCCCCACCCUCUUUCCACACAGAAAGACAUCCCUCCUAGCCCCCAAGCUGACACCCUCCCCCCCUCGCUCCCCCCCUCUCCCUCCCCCUUUUUUUCCCUUUCCGUUCACCCACCGCAGAAUGCGACGCCGCCAGGGUGGUGCUUCCGUCCACGCCAUGUAGAUAGAAGAGCCCCUGGCCGCCGCCCAGUCCGAGUCCGAAUCCGCCCAGGGCGCCGUUUGGAAACGCCGAAGAGCCUGACCAGGCAACACAUAAUUAUACGACACGGGGAGGUUUGAGCGCAUGAACGGAGCGCGUGAGAGGAAAUGUAAAGCAGAAGCCAGCCAAAAUAUAAAAAAACAAUGCGAACACGGCACAAUAUGCAUUCGCGUGGGUCCUGUGCAUACAUGCGCAGCGUACCUGUGCAUGAACCUGUACCUGUGUCCGUCAACCUGACGGGGUUACAUGCCUAUCUAUGCAUUACAGAAGGAAGGGGGAAUUAUGUAUGUAUGUAUGUAUGUCGCAUGUCGCGGAUCACGAUGAUGCGCAACCCCCCACGUGAUCGUCGCCUCCCCCUUUCACCCCUCCCCGCAUCAGUCUUUCCGUGGCAUCAGCUUCACUCGUCGUCCCCCCCUUCUCGCCACCAACCCCGCUUUGCUGCACUCACUGCUCUCGCCGUGCAUGGUCACAGACUGGAUCAACCCGCCGCCACCGCCGCCGCCACCACCACCGAGGCCAAUCUGCAUCCUCCCGCGGCCGUACAUCAUCGGCAGCGCCGCAGUCGACGCGGUCAUCAAGCUGUCAUCGCCGGCAGGCGGCGUCGCCGGCAUGGCCGCGGCCGCCAGGCCAAUGCUGACGGCCGCGACGGGGCCAGCGACGCCAGCGGCGCCGGCGGCGGUGGCGGUGCCCGUCGCCAGCGAUCCGCCGAUCGGCGGCCCCAGCGGCGCUGCCGGGCGCGCCCCCGGGUCCCCCAUCAGCUUGGCCUUCAUGCGGGUGAGCUCGCCGAUGAUCUGGUCGAAUGUGGGCCUUAUGGACGGGUCGCUCUCCCAGCAACGGCAAGCCAGUAGCUGGAAGUCAAACGGUGUGUCCAAGGGGAACUGGGGCCUGCAGGGCGGAGUCGAUUGGAAGGAAAAACAUCAUCGGGGUGUGGGAGUGGGUUUUAGCAGUGGGUCUUAGGAAACAGGACAACACCGCACAUGGGAAGCCCCUUGGGCCCUUAGGCACCUCACUGUACAGCAGCCUGAUGCUUUGUGCACCUGCCUGCUCCGUAUCGUGAUGGUUCCCCUCCGGGGAAGCGCUUCUUCCCCUUUAGUGCCCUUUUAGGGAUGAACUAAACGUCAUCUCGACACCAACACCUCAAACCCCCUAAAACCGAAACCCCAAGAUGAUGGGUGAAAAAGGGACCGACCCAUAUCCCCCAAUUUACCCCAAUAACCCCCUCAAAACACACACACAUACACAUACAGAUACACAUACACAGCCCCCGAUAGCUGUACCUGCGGUUCAUCUUGGUCACCUCAUGACCCAGCAGGGCUCGCGGAGUGCCCUUGAACGCCUGUCCCGCAGUGUAUGCCUCCCUGGAGUGAGGCGGGGAAUGGGUUGGAGGUUGGAGUAGAGGGGGGAAGAAGGGGGGGAUGCAGGUGGCCGAGGGUGAAAAUGUCUCAAAAACAAAACCCACCACCUCACUACUGCGCAGCUGGGAUCCAACCGGAAACAACCCUUCCCUCCCUUUUCUCCUGCCUUCCCAUUCCUCGCGGAAACCCCUCCCCUCCCCUCCCCUCCCCUCCUCUUACCACAUGAGGAUGGCGAAGGCGUACACGUCACUCAUCUUGGACACCUUGCCGUGCAGCAGCACCUGCGAGCCAAUCACAACCCACAGAGCGUGUGCGUGUGUGUGUUAAGGGGGGGGGAAAUCACGUGCAAAAUACUCAGAAAUGAACUGCCGGGGUUGGAGAGGGACGGGUUAGGAGAGGAAAUGUUAAGAAGGGGAAUUUCAACAAGGAGGCGAGGGGCGCGGGGUUAUGCAUGUGUAUGUGUAUUUGGGGUUGGGGGUCGGGGCUAAAAGAGUAGACCGGGGCGUGAGGAGUGUGGGGCACAGGAAUGGUUGCAGACCCAGUCCUUCCAACAACCACACCCAAACCCGUAACCGUGUCCCGUCCGUGCCGACAUCUAGGUCCGCACACGACGUCGUACACGAUGUGCCGUACACUCACCUCCGGGGCCAUGUGCGUAAUGGUACCUGGGGACAGACAAAUGGAGGAGGUGCGGGUGCAGGUGGGGGGAAGAGGGGAGGAAAACACACAUGCGACGAUGAUAUCAUGGUGCAAAAUUUGAACAGGACUAAACCGCCGACGUCCAAGGCAUCAAGGCGAGGGGUUGCUUUGGACACGCGUUGAAAAUGGCUCGUGUGUGUUUUUGAGGGCACGUGGGCAUGAAGGGGGGCAACUAGAGCCCGGGGCCCACGGGGGUCACCCAAUCCGAGGCCCGGGGUGAAGAUGGGGGAAAUUUCUAGGUUCCGGAGCUAGGCCGUUGGGAGGUAAGGCACGUGUACCGUCCACCAAGAAGAUAUAGACUAGAAAGGAUUUCCGUUCCAAAGAAGAAUAAAAAACAUCAUCAGCUGUCAGGCACUUCAAAUUCAAACUGGUUCACGAGGCCAGGAAAAUGUUGAGAGCGCUAAGAGAUCCAAAGGUCAAGGGACCAUAGACAUCGCAGUGUAGUACACGUGCCGUACACGUACCUUGGUACACGUUGGACACAUGCGUCUCGUGUGGGUCAAUCCGUAAGCUCAGGCCAAAGUCCGCCACCUGUGUACGACACAUGUAUAAAAUGACGAAGCGUACAUCCAGCGUAUGAACGACCUUAACCGUUAACCCACAACCGAAACAACCAGCAAACCUGUCUGUCCGUUUGGUGUGUGGCUUACCGCUCUGGCUCUCUGUCUACAUGUCUACAUGCGCAAUUACACGCAUGCGCAGGUGCACCCUGUGUGCCUUUCAAGAUGGUAUCUACCCCCCCUCCCCCUUUUCCAAACCCUUCUUCUCCUGGUUCCCCCCGCCCACUCCCCCCCCCUCACCUUGGCAACGUACGAGCGUCCAUCUCCGACACAACCGCUUUUAAGCAGGAUGUUGCGAGCCUUCAAAUCUGCGGGGAAGGUGGUUGGGAGCGACACACAGAGCGGCACGGAAUGAAGACGGCAAAGGUCGGGCAUAAGGCCCGAAAAGACCAACCCACCCUGGAUUGAUCCUGGCAAGGGGCCCCCCCGUGCACCCCCCUCUUCCCCCAAACCCCCGGGGAAGUGUAUUCCGGUAAUCUCAACCUGGGUGGUGGAAAGACACAGCAAGGGUGCUACAAACGUUCCGCCAGGGCCCAAGCGCCGUUGCGGUUGGGGGGUGGGAGAUUCAGCAAACUCAACUUGGAUUUGGGGCGUCAACAAGUAAAGGUGCCUCCCGCCCACUACCACUACCACUACCACUACCGCCCCCCAUUACCACCAACCUCCGAAACCCGUUCAUCAUACACCCUGGGCGGGGCCCAAAAACCCAAGGUGCCCCCCCUCCCCCCUCCCCCCCUUCCCCCCCUGGAAAACCCGUCUCCCCCUCACCGACCCCCCCCGUACCUCCGUGUACGAUAUUCUCGCUGUGCAUGUGCAGCAUCGCCCUCGCCACGUCAAGACAGUUAUCAAGCACCUCCGCAUACCCAAGCGGACAACUCGCCCGGCUGAUCAUAGCCGCAACGCCACCACCACCACCACCAGCUCCCGACAGGGACGACGGACCGGCAGCGCCACCGACGCCCGAGGCGAUGUCCGCCGCCGCCGCCGCCGCCUCGAUUGCUGGUGCUGCUGGUGCUGCCAGCUUGUCAGCUGUUGUUGCCUCGGGUGCCUCGCUCGCGGUAUUGCCCCUGGCUCUCAACGCCGCUACGGCCGCCUCGUUGAGGACGUCCCGGAGGGAGCCCCGGUCGCAGUACUCCAGCACCAGACGGACCUGCGUGUGCGGGUGCGGGUGUAUGUAUGUAUGUAAUUAAGUAUGUAUGUAUGUAUAUGUAAUGGGCAUCUAGAGGGAGGACACCGCAUACGUCAAAGCGCGGGAGCAGCGCUCCCACAACGCACAGGAUUAGCCAUCAACUUCCGGAAUGGAGUGUGUUUUGCAUGCGCCUAUGCAUGCGCAUGUGCGUGUGCACGUGUACAUGGACACGACGUGCGCCAUACAGAGCUGCACACGUGUGUCUUAGGCGGUGGUGGUGGUGGUGGUGGUAAGACGAACCACUGACGAAUGUUACGUGAUGGGGUGAUGAUUGGUGAUGGGGAGAAGAUCGGGGACCUAGAAGAACCCCAGGUGGCGCAAUGAGGGCGGCACGAGGAAGGGGAGGAGGAGGAGGGGGAGGGGGAGGGAGUUCCGGUGUCCCCCUUCCUUCUCCCAGCAGCCCCAGCACCGAGGACACUUUCUACCCCCUCUCCAUACCCCCCCCCACCUCCCAGCUGUGUAUGCUCUGUGAGGCUGCACCAGGCGCGGCUCCUCCCAGCGGACUGGUGCUGUCCACCUCGAGACUGCAUCUACGGGGGCGGGAGGGGUGGUUGUGUAAUCCGUGGGGGGUUUGGGGCUUUGAGACUGGUGAGGGUGGUGGUGAUGAGGGUGGUGGUGGUGGAGCCAACAGUUGCGGUCGUAGUAGAAUGGGGGACUUGCUUCUGGAGGCUGAUUUGUGCCGAGCGGGAGGAGGGAGGGGGAGGAAGAGGGGGAGGAGGGGGAGGAAGGCGGGGGAGGAAGGCGGGGGAGGAAGGCGGGGGAGAAGAGGAGGGGGAGGAAGGAGGAGGAGGGAAGUGUUCCAGGGGGCGGUGUGGGCCCCCUAGCUAGCACGAAACAUACCAAGCCAACCGCCAAACACCCAACCACCGCUCCAACUAACCCGGCGCCGAGCUUGCUCUCCAAUUGGUUGCCAUCUCCCUUGACUGGAAGAAUGGCGUACGUGUACGUCUGUAUGUAUACGAGAGGGGAAGGGGGAGAGGAAAGAGCUGGGUGGGGAAUCUGGAGGUUGGGUAGGUGAUGGUGUCGAUCUGAGGUGAGGAGUUCGAAUGGCGGGGCUGGGGGACCUUGUGUCGUGAAGGAAGGGGCGACACACACACACAUACACACACACAUACACACACACCGGUGCAUUACCUGCACGAUAUUGGGAUGUGACAGUGACGAGCUGAUGGCCGUCUCCAUGACCGCCAUCUUCUCCCGCUUCUCCUUGCCGCUCAUGUUGGUGGGCAGCACCAUGGUCUUGAUGGCCACGGUGGUGCCCCGCCAAGUGCCUUUGGAGGGUAUGUAUGUAUGUAUGUAUGUAUGUAUGUAUGUAUGUAUGUAUGUAUGUAUGUAUGUAUGUAUGUAUGUAUGUAUGUAUGUAUGUAUGUAUGUGCGGUGGUGUACAUGUGUAGAUGUGUAUGUGGGGGGAGAGGAGAGGGGGGAAAAGGCAGGAUGACAAGAGGUCAUGUAGAUGGGAAGGACAUCACAUCAUGGUGAUGAUGAUGUUCACCAUGCAAGAUAAGCAAGCAGGGGGUCCACUGACGGCACGUCCAACGUCCNNNNNNNNNNNNNNNNNNNNNNNNNNNNNNNNNNNNNNNNNNNNNNNNNNNNNNNNNNNNNNNNNNNNNNNNNNNNNNNNNNNNNNNNNNNNNNNNNNNNNNNNNNNNNNNNNNNNNNNNNNNNNNNNNNNNNCACCCACACGUACACCCACACGUACACCCACACGUACACCCACACGUACACCCACACGUACACCCACACGUACACACACACGUACACCCACACGUACACACACACGUACACACACACGUACACACACCUCUGUAGACCUUGCCGAAUGUCCCCUCCCCCAAGAGCUCCGUGAGGGUGAUCUGCUCGCUGCGGUGGGUACCCGCCAGCGCGUUGUGUGCGGUGAUGGCGCGCUUCAUGUCCUCAAUGCGGGCUGGGGGGAAAUGGGGGAGGCGGGCGGGCGGGGAAGGGGAUGGGGGAGGAGGGCGCGAAUUACACAUGCAAGAAUAUCAUCAGUGUAUCAAAGCUGUCGUAGGAGUCCAAGGAAGGUGCGAUGUGGUGGGGUGUGGUGGGGGAAGGGGUGGGGUGGGGUGGGCGAGGGGGGAAAGACGAACCACACACGAUUGAAGCUGCUACCCGGGCAAGAGUGUAUGGGGGAGGGGGGAAAGACAUAUCGUAUUUGGCAGAAGCUAAUGGUCGACUGGUAAACAAAGAGACGGAGACGAGUCAUAUAUGCGUAAAUGGGGCGUGGGGAGGUAGGAUGGUGGUGUGUGUGUGUGGAGGAGGUUGAGCUGGGGCUGAGCGGCCCCUUCCCUCCCCUUCCCCCGUUCGGACAUUUGUGUCUUUGUAUUGUGGUUACAGUAUUUCCGCCGCCGACGCGGCGAGUGCCCUCACGAGCCGUGAGGCUCCAGAGCACGCUGUUGACGCUCAUCGAAAACCUCAGUAAGGAAAGUAGCGAUUUUCCUCGGAUUGGUAUUAAGAAAUACCUUGCGCAUAUCAGUAUCUUCAACGUUAAUCAGAAACCUAUUACGCAACUCAGUAUACGCCUCACACUCCAUAAGCACAUGAUAUUCAUCCUCAACCUUACCCGACGUACAGACCUGACACGUACGGCACUCUCUCGGCCUAUGGUGCCCUUUGUUGACCUCCAAAGGCCAACAACAAAGACGGAAUUUGGCAACCAUACGCAACUGGUUGACCGGCAAAUAAACACGCAAAUAGCCUGUGGGAUCAGAGCCCUCUCUUGCAGGUGAAGGGGAGCCCAUCCAGUUAUGAUACCUGCAAAGCGAAACCCCUUUACCUUGGAACACACGCGGAUCACCCCCUUGGCUGAACUGAUCCCAGUCACUUAAAAGGAACGCAGAAAACCUCUCUCUUGCUCUCUCUCGCCCCCUCGCCUAUGCACAUGAAUCCCCUCCCCUCCUCUCUCCCACCACACGCAUACACACCUUCCGUCGGCAUGCUGGCUGACAUCAUAGAUGUGCUGAAGGUGGUCGAGUUGGCGACUGCGGUGGUUGGCCCCGCGUUGUUGCCCGUGGAGGAGCCCGCAGCGGGGGUGGAACCGCUCUCCUUGCUACUGCCGUGUUGGCCCUGCUGCUGCAGCUGACUACCGCCGCCGCCGCCGCCGCCGCCAACACCGCCAGCCAAAUGAUAGUUGACCGCCAGAGGAUCACCGCCGCCGCCGCUGUACGACAAGUCUCUGCUGUUGAGCUUGCCACUCGGGCCGCUGCGUGCGGCGGCCUUGUACUUCUCCUCAGCGGCGGCGGCAGCAGCGGCAGCGGCAGCGCUGGAACGGCGGCGGAGCCAAACGACGAGUACGACAGUGGCUGCGGGGGCAUCAUUAUGGCCAGUGUUUUGUCACGGUUUCAUUCGUGGAUAUGAACGGGUGGAUAAAGCACACGAAGAGACUGAGGAUAAACGGGGGAAGAGGGACCUGGUUGCGGGGGGAGGGAAAGCACACACGGGAAGUGGCGCCAGAGAUGGGGAGACCUCAGCAGCUGCGGGGACAACCUUCCCCUUUCCCCCAUCUCUCUUCCUUUCCCUUCCAGUCCUUUUUCUCUCCCCUUUCCCUCCCCCCACUCUGUCCUCUCCCCCCCCCCCCUUCUGCACCACGCACACCUGCAAUCACCAGCGUCCCACACACCGCCACAGGUGCCGCAAUCGCCGCCACCGGCGUCUUCUUGUCCUCCUCCUUCGACGCUGCUACAGCUCCUUCCGCUCCGAAACCAUCCGGCCGCCAUGUCAGCGCUACAUCCGUAUAUCCCCAGAAGCCGGCGCCCUGUAUGGAGCGGUUCUGGGACACCGCCACCCACUCCGUCUUGUUGAAACGGUACUGGAAGAUAAAGGCAUCAAAGUAGGAAAUGUUGAGGUACGCGCCGCGCGGCGGUAUGAAGCCCGAGCAAUAGGGCCCGCAGGUGUACCAAUAGUUCCAAAAGGGGUCGAUGGCGUUCGUGAAGGGGGAGGAAGUGUUGCCGCGAAUCUCCACGCCCUGGGGUCGGCCACCCGGGGGGGGAAGGGUGGGGUGGGCGGGGAAAGGGACGAAUAGGGGUAAGAUGAACCAGGAGGGACGCGUGAAACGGGGUGGGAUUCAGUCUUCGAUGGUUCUAUAUAUGGUUCUAAUCACGCAAAACUCAAGUAAGGAAACGACCUCCGGCAUCCCAGGCACCUACGUGCCGUGAAGACGUCGGAAGCGAUGGCGGCAGGGCGAGGGGAGGGGGGCAUUGGGGCAUUGCAUGGAAGGGGGGUUGGAGGAACGUGGAGGGGAGAACACGAACACGGGCAGCGCGGUGGGCGGUGGCGGAGUGGAGUUGGGGAACCCACCCAAACUUAUUCCCGCCACCUCACCCACAUCGAACUGAAUGACACCGUCCGCCUCCACCGACAACGCCCCGAUCAGCAUGUACAUGUAGGAGCGGCGCGGGGAGGGCCGCGGGUGGGUGAGCAGCAGGCUGCCGCGGAAGGACAACGUGCCAAACACAAACACGACCUGACGAGGCGGAGGGAGGGGGGGAAGCGCGGGAAAGGGGGAGAGGAGGGGAAAGGGGCUAGGGGAGAUUUCGUGCAAUACCCCAAGGGAGGGAGGGAAAAGAAACGCAAUAAGCAGAGAUGGAGGGAGGGAAAGGGGUGUGUAUGUGUAUGUGUGUUUGGGGGGGCGGUAAGACGAACCACGAGCGAGUGAAGCUGCUGCCAAGGAAAGAGAAGCAGAACUGUGGGGGGGAAAAGGGGGAGACUUAACCCGUAUAUUGGAGGCAAGCAAGUAAGCGUGUAUAGACAGCCGAGACCCAAAACACGGUGUGUAAAGGAGCCAGGGGUGCCGAGGGAGGAGGCGGAAGGAGGGUGGCCGGGAGGCAGCCAGGCCAGGGCAGGCCAGGCAGCCUUUCUUCUCCCUCUCUCUCCCUCCCACAUAGUGAGCUGGUCGGCCUUCCAUCAUCUUUCAUUCACCCCCCGCGUACUACUCCACCCCCCUUGCCUCUUGAUUUUUUCCUCCCACCUCGCCAGGCGGGUGGUUGCCGCCGCCGUCGCCAACCCCGCCGCCGGACGCUCCCCAUCCCACUCCCCCUUGGUGAGCUCUGGUGGCCAUCAUCCCGCCCCCGGAGUUUCUCUCCCCACUCUUCAAGUUGGAUUCGACGUUAUUAUAAUACAAGAUCUCCACUAAGUAGAGCAACAAAGUUUAAAACAACUUCACGCUUCGAUGUGUAAUAACGCCAAUAUUUACGACCGUCUUUGGUCAUCUGCGUUAUUGUCCCACUGUCGCCUCGUCGGUCCCGUCUGUCGCCUCCACAGUCCCCUUCCGCGGCGUGGCGUUGAAACCCUACAUUUGACACCCCCCCAAAACACACAGACACACCCAUUAUCCCCCCCCCCACAGUCGCCAACACCCCCAACAGUUCUCUGGCCUCUCGCUCCGACCUUUCAAGUGUUGUUUUAUACCUCCANGGAGUGUUUUUCUUCCAGGGUAUCCGGUUAGGAUAGCCGCGACCGUGGCCCCGUGUCAAGAGCCCGGUCAGGCGCUGUAACAAUACACACACACACUUUCACGCGCACAGCACAAUGACCAAGGUCGUUCUCUUCAGCUCUCAGGCGUCGACAUAAGCGCCUUUCUCUACCCCCUUCCCCCAAACACGCACACCCACCCACAUACACGCACACACCCACCCACAUACACGCACACACCCACAUACACGCACAAUGCGCACCUGGCCCAGGUUGCCAAAAUCAAUGGUGUAUCGCUUCCCGGGUACAGGGUGACAUGCAUACACCGUCUUGGUGCCGUUCACAAAGAUCUGCCCCUGAGCCGGACCCGACGCCUCCGGCGGCCAUUCCGACGCUACCAGCUGGAUGUCCCCCACCACCCGAAUCGCCGGAAUCAUGUCGUCCUUCAGCAAGUCGCGGAAGCUGCGGCCGUUGUCCGCAUUCACGCCGAUACCGGGCGGACAGGCGCUCUCGGGAGGCGAGGCGACUAUCACGUCACGCAGGCGCCAAAAGCUGGCGGCGGCGGCGCCGUCACGAUCGAUGCCGGGCGAUGGAUCCCAGACUGUAUCCCCCGAUAGGAACCACGAGGAGAUGAACGCGCGGCUGGUGUUUCCGACGGUGGUGGUGGCAUUGUAGACCGGCUUCGCGGUUGCGGGAAGGCUGGCUGAGAGAGCCUCGAAAUGGGCCCCCAGGUUGCUGCUAUCAAUCGUGACGAUGGUGGAUGAUUCGAUCGUGCAGCCGCCUCCCACACCCACGUACACUAGGCCGAUGAGGGGGGCAAGGAAGCGGGGCCAGAAGAGCUGGUUGACCACGGCAACAUCAGUCAGGGUGAGGCCGCGUAACGUCAAGGCGCCGCCGUUGCUGAUCUGCAUGCCGAACCGCGUCCAGUUGUAGUUGGUGUUCAGGGCGGUUCCGGAGCAGCCGUACACUUCCAAGGAGCGGUUGCCGGUUAGGUUGACGGGGUUGCUAUAAUUGAAGUCCUUCGGAUCCAAUACAAAGUCCUGUCGCCGCACAACGAUUGGUUAAUCGGUUGGUUGGUUCUUCGGCAAUAACGGUACAGAAUAACAAAAUAGGGUAGGCUUCGGAGCGCAGAGCGCCGAGGUGUGGGUAAAGUUUUAUAUUAAUGUGAUGUCAUUUGGCAGGGGCCAAAAACCCAAACUGCUUCACUGAUUCCCGUGUUACGCAUAGUGAGGCAUCAGCACCGCAGCGAGGCUCGCCCUGGGAGUUAGUUAUUCGUGCCCCUCUCCCGCCGCCCCUAACAGUAAGCCUCAUCCGGCCGCAUCCCCCCGUUUUCAACCUCCGCCCGGGAGAUUCCACCGGCACCCCUCCCUAGGACUCCUUACCGACUUCCCUAAAGAGUCACGGGGGGGCAUCAGGUCUUACGUUGAUGGUGGCAUCAAUGGUGAUCCACAUCGCCGUACAAAGGACCCCUCAACACCUGCCCCCGCAUCCAUAUCCACAACCCCCUCCCCUCCUCCGACACACAACCCCCUCCCGUCUGAGUCCAUUUAUAAACAUGCACAGACACAUAUACCGACAUACGGGGCCAGCACGGGGGCCUCACGGUCUUUGGAGCUUCUACUGGGCCGCAAAAUGACGUUCACUUCCCACCCCAACACACCGCAGCACCUUCCCUUCGAAAUCACGUGCUAACACUCCAACCCAAGCAUAGCGUGACACAUAUACUUGCAUACACAUACGUGCACAUGCACAUUCACAUACAUUCACAUUCACAUACAUAGACAUACACAUACGUGCACAUGCACAUUCACGCACACACCAUCUCCGCCCCCACCUUACCCGAUACACAAAGACCGAGGAGACGUCAUUGCGGCCCAUGGCCGCCCGGAGGGAUGGCGAGUCCGUCACCGGCACUCCGCCCGCAUAGCAGUCCACCGCCGAGGGCCUUGCGUCGCUAGGCAGCAGCAACACAUUGCUAAAGCUGACGGCAGCUUCUGGGGAGCUGUACGACACCACUCGCUGGAGACCCUGCGAACUCACGUGGUACCGGUCGGUUGGGUUCCGGAGCAAGAGGGGAAUUUAGGGAUGCAGUUCGUGUCGUGCGGAUUGCCGUUUGAAAGGUUGGGUGAGGAAACCCAGAUCGGGAUGAAAACAGAGGUAAGCCAACUUGAAGCCUAGGGUUUGGGGUUCAGGAAAAGUGAUGAUGUGCAGAGGAGGACAGGGCAGUGUGACGCAACGGGGCCGUGGGAUUGGGGAUGUUCUGGCGGUCAGGUAGGGAAAGAGCGGGACGAAGGGCCCCGCACUCAGGGCCGGUGUAAGGCCCUGCCAGCUGCGAUGGCAACAGGACUUCAGUAAGGACUGAAGUUCGAUUCGGAACUAAGGAGCCCGCAUGCAGUCUUGUGAAGAAAUCACACAUCUUCGUAGGAUCGACAGGCGGUAAUCACGUUAAUCGGGCGCUAGCUUACCGAUCCAAGUCCGCCGCUUAGCUGGGGUUCAAGAGUCUCCAAAAAGCCAUUUACUGACCAAAAGCGAGAGAUAUUGGCUAGGGUGCGAAAAGGGGCUAUUACAGUUACGUUUUCAAAAGCGAGGUUCAAGCUGCUGCCGUUGAAGGCUGGAAAAGGACCAGAGCUGAUAGGAAACACUGGCGCGCUGCUGGAUUCCAGUACACCUUUUUUGUAAAAAACCGUGACAUCCCGAAGCAUAAGUGAAGCAUUUUCACCCAGCCCCAUAAUCAUGGUAUUAGGAGAAUGUAAAAUAAGCGAUCCAGGCCCAGUGAUAGUAACUCUGCCUUUCAGAGUGGCCGACUGGUCGCCUCGCCAGACCCAAGGCGAACCCCUGAGAGAAACGGUCGCCUGGUUAGACUGCAGCUGCUGCCAUAGGUUGGCCUCGGAUAUCGUCUGGGCAGGGGCAACCCCGAUGCAUCGGAGCACAAUUAUUGAUAGCAUACACGCCGUGAGCCGACUAAACCUGCAACCCAGCAAACUCGACCGGUCUCCAUUGCUCAUGGUAACCUGCUUCCGCGCGUUCUUAUUCUAGUGCAUGUUCAUUACGGUUAUGGCACCCGGCUAUCACAUAACUUCACAUCAUGGGGCAAGUUCAGACCCUGCUGAGUUAUAAUACUGGCCACUGGUUGAGUAGGAUAAGGUAAACAAACACUGUUAGGUCAGGGCAUGGCGACGGUUGACUUGCUAUGGUCCCUAGCCACAUUGUACCGCACCGGACAUGGAGAAUGCAUGUGCGACCUAUACCCACAAGGUUGUGCUUAGUGAUUGUAAACUUCUGGUGCAGAGGAAAGCAUGCAUAAGCCGUAAGUGUUUUAGGUCCUGCAAAAGCCUAGAGAGGACGUCGAGUCUCGUAACCUGGUCAGCAUUUGCCUGACAGGACCUGGCAAGUACAGACUGAAUACUGUAUUGGGAGGUGUACAUUGCACUUCGGCAGGCAGAGAGAAGUGGCCACGUUCUUACAAAAGAGGGACCUCUGGCAAAGUUCAGAAAUGCAUGUCCUGCCAUGAAUCUCUUUGCUUCCAUACGAACCUAGUCCAGGCAACUGAUCGUGCGUCCAUUACGUCGGGCGGUACUCCGUAGUCCAUACCAGAACAAGGCCAGUGAGUUUGCCACCUACCUGGGUAAGCAACAAACCUGCCCAUGUUUGAAACUCAUAUGGUCGGUUGGGCGAAUAUAAAGCAAUCUUUUCGUUACGUAACGUUUAUGUUACUCAGCUUACUACUCGGCUUAUGAGAGUCCUUACCGUACGUGAAUCUGACCCUGCUCAGCUUGCACGGCAAGAACAAUUGCACCAUUUUUUUGUCAUUAAGCCGAGUAAUAAAAGUCUGUUCAAACCAUUUGGCCUGUCGCGCAAGACCACAACAUGCCUGGUUGCGCGUAAGCUUACAGCACGUGGAGUUACAUCGCUUCAGCAGUGGCGAAAUUAUUCGCGCAGGGUGACGUACGGACGCAAACACCGGGACCACGACCUACCUUUUAACCUAUCCCGCCCAGCGGGCUACACCCCAGGAGGGUGGGAGGAUGACCAGCAGCACCAAGCGAAGCAGCACCGCAAUCACAACCCCCCAGUGCGGACUUGUGUAAAAACGUGCACAACUUAUGAAACAAACCCGACAAAACAGACCACACGUGCCAAAUGUUGCCACAGCCCCCCUGCUUCCAAUCAAUCGUCUAAAUGUUUCCUCAACCCUGUUUCCUUCUGUCUAUCCUUUGUGCAAAUUAGGAACCUUUCCUCAUCACUUGUAAUAGAAGCACUCGCAACCGCUCACGACCAACGCUGCAGCUGCAGCGCUUCAGAAGGAGCAGCCUCACCGCGUCUCACCACAUUACUCCCCGAGCAUAUCACCGCACGUAGCACAACCCCAAGAAAGCCCAGCAGGGCUCCCACUUCAAGCCCUCCCUUCCCUCCUUUCUUCUUGCUUAUUUCUGGCGUAUCAGUCUAUCCUUGGCAUCAACUUCACUCGUUCGUGGUUCGUCUUCCCUCCCCUCCCGCCUAACCCAACCCAACUGAAAUCCAAAUCCAAUCCAACCGGAUAGGCAAGGGGAUCCUGCUGGAUUAGAGAAGUUCCGUACAUUUCCACCAGGUAGGAAGCCAUCAGCCUGCAGCAACGGCGAAACGUGGCCGCGAAAGGGGGGAGAGUCAUGUAGUGCAUGAAGCAAGGUGUCUGGGGAUGUGGAGCCCCGUGGAGGAAAAUGUGCAUUACAGACAUUACUCUGCAUGCAUGCAUGUUCGGAAAUCAACGCCGGAUGGGGACGCCGCCGGGCAAAGGGCCCGAAAGGACGCUGCCGAAGACGCCCGAGAGCUGGAAGGGCCAGAAGGCUGGGAGCUUUUACACACGCACACACACACCCCUUUUCGACACAGGUAUUAUGCACACAGAGUGCAUCCACAACGUGACUUACCAACCAUUACAAAUCUCAUUCAUUUACCCAGCAGGACCCACCCACCCGCCUCUGCGCCCACAUAGACCCACAUCGGUUCUCAUGAAGAGGUCCUCUGCACCCACUGCCAAUCGGACACCCGCCAUCGCCACCACCUUGGGCACCCACACGCCCAUACACACACAAGGCGCACAUGGCCGGGCGCGGGCAAAAGAACUGUGCAGCCGCUGCCGCCGCCACCGUACGACACAACAGAACAGCCCAAGGGUCUUCUCCCCGAUUGGCAUUUAAGCAGCCGUCGUCCUCCGCUGGGAAUCGACCAUCCACGACUGCUGCUACUGCUGCUGCUACAACUGCUGCCACAACUGCUGCGGGGGCUGCUACUGCUGCAGGCCGUUAGCUCUGCGUCCCUCUCCGCUCAGCGCCUCCCCGCCACGUGCGCCUUCUCGUACCGACUGCUCAGCACCCCGAUGCGGGGCGGCGGACCGAUACGGAGGUACGGCACCACUGCCUCAACCAACUCAGCUUGGCGUCACCUCCGCCGCGAACCUCCGUACGCAGCACAACCACAGCACAAGCAGCUUCUGUUGGCAAAGCCGGUCUAUGUACGACUAUCUUCCCAUCUGCACCAGGCCUCGCGAAAGCUACCUAUUCGGUUGGCUGUGGUAGCGCCCUUUCCCCCUUCCCACCUGCACCAGAGCCACCAGCAGCAGCAGCAGCAGCAGCAGCAGCGCUCCUGGUUUAUGCGGAAAUGGAGACUGCCGACUCCAGGGAAGGCGGUUUAUUGAAUCCACUGACAGAGCGACCGAGUCCCCCUGACCUGGCUGACAAGUUGGCGGGAGCGCUCGUGCGGAUGACCGGUCUCCACACGCCCUGACGUGUUCAAGGACAGUCGCUGCCGCAGCUGAGUCGCCGCUUGUCCAUCAUCCACGAGAACGGCGUCUGCGCCUGCGGCAGUGAGGGCUGCAGCCCUCGCCUGCUCAACCCACCCUACACCACGACAAUCUGACCUCUGCUCUAGGGCUCUGGCAUCUUCGUCAGGACCCAGCUUCCUCUGCUGCGCUCAUGGUACUCCAGCUGCAUCCUCCACUGCCGCCUCUGCUGCUACUGCGCAGCUGUUGCGGAGCUGCUGCGGCAACUAGGCGGCACAAUGGCUCCUGGUGCUCUCCGAUGCAUGGGAAGCUCAGAAAGGAGGAGACGCCGCACGCUGCACAUCGCCGUCACGUCUCCUUGCAUUCCCACCCCCCGCCAGCCUGCACGGACUUGACGACACGGGCUCUCAGCACCCGCCUGGGUUUGCUGAGCGGCCGUCAUACCAUCGUUACCAACCACAACGAGGGGGGUUGAGAAGUAGAGCGCGGAGCAGCACAUACAGACCGCAACGAUGAUGAUGUCGCCUAUGUCGGGCCUAUCGCUCUCAGUGGUCCCGUCUGACUGGCCGUCUGCCUGGGGGUCCGCCGCUGCGUGCCUGGCAUAUCGCGUUACUGUUCUGGAAAUGGGUGUACCAAGGCCAGGCCAGCCCAGCCCAGCUCGGCUGUCCUCCGAGCUCCUCAGCGCUGCCGCCUGAUUUGAACCCCUGUGCGCGCGCACGUGUGUGUGUGUGGGUGUGGGGAACGUGUGUGUGCGUGCGCACGCACGUGUGUGUUGGUAGGGUGUGGGGAAAGAGGGGGAAGAGGAAUGAGGAACAUGUGCCAGAAGCAACCAUGCAGAGUUUCAUUGCGGUGGAGCAGCAGUAGCAGUAGCAUCAGGACUAUCAGUGGUGGCACUAGCAACACCAGGAGGAGUGGCACAUACACUACUGUAAGAAUUAGGGGGGAAAUCCGUAAACUUGAGUCAUGUAGUCCGUUGCGUGUGUGUCCUGGUUCCCAUUAUGAGAGGCCAUGCGGAAUUAUGAGAGGCCAUGCGGGACUAAUCCAAAUCCCAGCAUCAGAGGUAGAGGAAACCCAGGACCCUGACUGGCCCUGAGGGCUCAUAACCUCACUUCGCCGUCCCGACUGAUCCACAAAAUCCUAAACGCUGAGGCUGGCCACCAUCAUCCGCAGCUUAUUUAUCCUCUGGCCCUAAGCAGUCACAAGUCCUAAGGACCCACCCACGCUCUCCACCACGCUGGGCACUCCUGGGAUGGCUAGCUUCCGAAUGGUGAAGUCCACUUGCCGUACUCUAGGGUGUCGCUGCAGUACGGCACUCACUGCGCGGUGCGCCACUGCCUCCAGCAGUUUGCAGGGCGCCCCUUCAACCACUGAUUUGACGUCCCUGGAGGGGCCAGCCCAGCCGGCGGGUCAGGCCCUUGUGAGAUAUUCAGUAGACCCGAAUGAAGCGCAUAGGGAUAGGAAUUCUCGGGGGCUAGCGAGGGCGGCUUUUGCAGGUCAACAUCGCAGCAAACUGUGGAUGCACAAUAUCACGUCGAGCAACCCACCCGUAAACGGCUGCAUAGUUCACGGUGUCCUCCAGGUCAUCGCUGAACCCAGCUCGGGAGGUGUUGACUUGGAGUUUAAGAUCGACCACAAAGCUCUGACCGAGUCGAGUUUCCUGAGCACAAGCGCAAUCAGUCAAGAGGCGAGUUCGUUAAAGGUCAACUAAAGUCACGUCAGGUCAACAGAAAUUGUGGGCUUGAGGGCAAUGUAGCCACAGCCUGUGCUCUUUCGUGAUAACGUUAGGAGUGCGUUGGCAGCGUUAUGGCAUAAUGCACUCACGAUGCCAAAAGUCGGCUGCGGAGUCGUAGAAUGGGGUUUGAAAAGCGCGUGUUCGGAAAAUAGAUAGAGGGUUUGGAAAGUGCAACUGCAUUUACCUCGGGGAGCACGCCGUGAUGGCCGUGAAAGCGCAUGCCGGUGAUAUGAAUCCAGUCGCUGUCGCCGAUCUGGACAGGAAUGCUAUGAUGGCUAUAAUUACCUCCUGGAAAGGAUGUGCAAAACGACGAGCAGGUAAAGGACGGACGCCAGCACCUACACGCUGCGGCGUCCUGGAGGAUACUCAUUUGGAGACUCGGAAUGACUCUCAGUCUUGAAAUCCUAGGGAUCAUGGUGGGGCGCAACCGAAGGACGACGCGCGUGAAUGGUAACUAAAAGUGUUCUAUAUAAGGGCGAGACUUAGUACUUCACGGGAAAGUAAAGGAAGCAUACAGUCCCCUUACCAUUACCCAAUUGAGGUUUCGUAUCGAUAUCUGGUUCUUUAGGAAAGGAAUUCGGGAGGGAGGACGAGAAAACAAAGGGCCCGCGUACGGCUGUUAAUGUGAGUCUAUUCCUUCGGUCCGAACAUGUGAUUUCUUCCCUUUCGCUGCGCCUUCCAGCCACCGCCUCCUCCCCAAUUUUUUCUUAGUAGUCGACACAAUGUCUGAUCACGAGGUUGAGACUUUUGAGAGCGCCGACGCCGGCGCCUCUCUGACCUACCCUCAGCAGGCCGGCACUGUCCGUAAGAACGGCUACAUUGUCAUCUCGGGCCGUCCUUGCAAGGUGUACAGGAGCAUCAGCCAAUUGGGAAGAAUGUUGUGGUCUCUGCGAGGUCAAGAACUGAGCGCGCGCGUUUCUCUGGCAGGUGGUGGAUGUCUCAACUUCCAAGACGGGCAAGCACGGUCACGCUAAGUGCAACUUCGUUGGUAUUGAUAUCUUUACCAACAAGAAGUAUGAGGAGAUGGCGCCAUCUUCCCACAACGUCGAAGUGGGUGCACGAUGCUGCAGGCGGCGCAAUUACUGUUAGAGGGGGACGUGCCGCACUGCAUGGCAUGGAUUGGGACGCUGGCCUUACCACUUGCUUGGUGGUUUAUUUGCAGGUUCCUAACAUCUCCAGGAAGGAGUACACGGUCAUUGACAUCACCGAUGAGGGCAUCGUAAGUUGGAUGAUUUCUUUUGGGCAGUUUGCUUUUAUCCUUUUAGUCUUAAGGGCUGCUGUAUAUUGCGGUGAUGCUCAAAAUUGGGAUAGUGUUGUUCGCUUAGUUGCAACUACAGAUCUCGCGGUUGUUGUCCGAGGUCUGGCUGGCUAAGGCUGUCCGGCAACCUUUAUAGGUGUCGCUAAUGGACGAGUCGGGCAACACGCGCGAUGAUCUGUUCCUUCCCAAGGGAACUGACGAAGCUGAAAAGCUCGCUGAGAUUAUCAAGGACCACUGGCAGAACGACAAAGAGAUGGCGGUCACUGUCAUCAAGGUGCGAGCUGCUUUGAGAAGGGUCUGUGCUGGUGUUCGAAGCGGGUAUGGUCAAAACCCGUGACUCAUGAGGACGCGGGUAUUGCAUUGCUAUAUAAUUGGGCUGACUCCCCUUUCCCUCCUGCCUAUGUAUGAAUCUGUUGCGAAGGCUAUGGGCGAGGAAACGAUCUCAUCGGUGAAGGUGAGGGGGGGUUUCAUGGACCAACCAGCAUUCCUGUGUAUUAUGCUUCUAUUGUUAAGCAAUUUAAGGAGGGUCCUGAUUUCUUGUUGCUGGGUGAGAACAUCAUGACUAUAUCUCGUGAGACUUUAAGGCGUCAGGGUGGCAUUAUUUCAUAUCGUCCACCUCUGUGCUGCCAGAUCAUUAAUUUCUUCACCCAUUCCCCUUCCCCCUCAGGUCAUUAACGAUACCAAGGCUUGAGCAAGUCUGCACGUUGGAUGUCGCAGCAUGGGCGUGGUGUUUGGUACAUGUCCUUGGCAUUCGCUCCCGAGACAUCUCGGCGCGACUGUCUCCCGUGCAACAAUAGCUCAGAUGUGGUGAUGGUUGUGGCGCAGCGCCGUCCACUGCACUGAACUUCAUUGUUUUUCAUCACAAGGACUGCUUUGCGUGUCUGUGGUUGGCGAUGCAGGAGGACGGACGGGGGCGUGUAAAUGAUAUGUGACUGGCUGAUUUGAUCUCGGCUGCGUUUCGACGGCUUUCCCAUACCUGUUGGUAUGGACGUUUUGCUCACACUAUCAGGACUGGAUCUUUCGCAAAAUUUUGGGUUGCAUGACAUAUACACACACAUAACUCACCCUGACGGGUGGCAGCGUUGGAAGCAACGAAUUGGGUCACAGCUAUGCUGUGCUGUAAUCUUAAAGGGUGGAAAUUAAAAGAGUCCUAAAUUCCAUGCAUGUCGGAGGCACGUAGUACCAGCUCUACUAAUGCACUGUGAAUGUACGGUUGUCGUACACAAAAGCCUCAGAUAAUGUAGCGACAAUCCAUUCUUCCUAAUGAACAUAGCAAAAUGCUAGCUGAUCUUAAAAAUCUACCAGCACGGUGCUUGGCUUCUUGCAGCCUAGUCUUCCGAACGGAACCAACUUAUUACUUAUGUACCCACGGUUCUCAACCACCCGAAGGUCAAAUAAUUCAUACUGAUCAAAGCACAUCGGCAUUACUUCGUAUCGUAAGGAAGCGGGAAAGUUCUGCGGUCACCCUUAAAAAGUGCGCGGAAUUGAAGGAUGGAAAGCGUCCUCAUGAGUCGAUGGCUGCAGGCGGGGCUGAAGGACAGCCUGCAAAGAAGCUGAACACUGGCGCAGCAGCCGUAGCCGCCAAGGCAAGCCAGGUAUCCGGCCUAUCGCAACACCUGACAACGACAUCUUUGACCGCUGAGGAGCUGAAAGCGAAGACGGUUCCGCAGCUUAAGGAGUUGUUACGGGCUCGCGGACUGGCCGUCUCCGGUGCCAAAGACGAACUCGUUCGCCGCUUAGUCGACCACCAACGGGCAAACAAGUACAAAUAACUCGCCCGGCAACUCGCCGGGCGUAGGAGCAAUCGGAGUGGUCAUGCAUCACAACUUCAGGGGUGUGCGUGCGAAGGCCAGGGCGUUGAGGAACUCAAUGCAGCACGACGGCGAUGGCCGCGCAGCCUGCAAUCCUGGCUUAUCUGCGCUAGAGCAUUGUGCCACUGUGCCUGCUUAGCAGGGCCUCGAACAUUCCUGCGGUACCGGGUGUGGAGAAGGGACGUCUUUGGGGAUAGGGUGACGUGACCAACCGUACUGCCAACCAUUCAGCGCUGCUGCUUUGGAAUGAAACUUAAUAAUUUGCUGACGGGGAUCUAACGAGCCGUCACGGCUUGGGAGGCAAGACCAGCUUACCGUACAUAUCCUGGUGCAUGGGACCGAAGAUAUCUCUUGACCGGCGGAGAGUCUCCUCACGACUUUGUCGCCCCGCGUUGAGCUCCUUGAUGUUGUGCAGGAACUGGCAAACGUGGGUUGAGCACAUGGGGAUAGGGGUCAGUGACGAGGUGUGGAUGCGAAUGGCACUCGUGGCGUGUGGCGAUUGGCAUGCAAAUCAGGAAAUUCACGACGAUUUUCUGUGUGCGUUUGAUGGGAUUGUAUAUGCGCCGCCGCUUUGAUGGCGGCAUUCAAGCUUUCGGACUUCUGAAAUCUGAAACCUCCCAUCGCCGCCGUACAGGACUGGAUGUCCGAAUGAUUAAGGAAAGGGGACGACGUGAAAUUACGAGAAUCUAUGCUAGGGGACGGGUCAAAAAACACUUCAGCGAUAUGCGUCGAUGCCUCUGGCGGAACUGGAUUGCCUAUUGCGCAACACGGGAUGGAUGAUAUCCAUCGACAGGCUUGACCUCGCCAGAUUUGACACGUACUGCAUGCGUCCAUGAAGUUACACAGCUCGCUCACCUGGCUGAACUGCUCGUAAGACAGUUGGGCUCUGCAGCAGGGGCAACCGAUAGGGCGGGAUGUUACCAAAUACAACGACACACUACCGCGGCCAGCACUCAGAAAUUGCAAUGACAUCACCAACGAUCCCCAGCGAUCUUCCAUUGAAUUUUCCAACCAACAGUUGAGGUCCGUAACAUCGCCUUCUGCCAUACCGCCCGGCUGCUACCUGGCUUGCUUAAAAAAUUCUUUUCCGUCGAUCCGCGGCGGUGAACCAGGAUUCCCAUACUGCGCAUGCGGCAUAGGUGGUGGGGGCGGUGCAGCGUACUGCGCCGAGCUCGUGGCCUGCGGUGUGGCUGCGCCGUACAUGGGCCUUCCGGACGUGCUCGGGUACGCCGGGGUUGCCGCUGGCGCCAUGCCUGUUGUGCGGGCCGAAGAACACGUGUUGGCGCGGUGCGCACAGGCCACGGUAAGCCUGGACUUGCAGACUCUUUCACUGCCCAUGAACCGCUUUGUUCAGAUAUAAACGCCGAUGUGGUUGCGCCCUUAAUCAGCAUGGCAAGUGCUGAUUAAACUGAAUAAGCUGUACCGUUCUGGUGAAUGUUUUUCCUAUAGGCCGACGCCUCCCCGCUUUCAUGGCGUUAUCAGGCCGGCAGAUUUGUAAAUCCACCUCGCCGGUGCCGCCAGCAGAAACGCACAGGUCAUCUAUGCCAUUAGGCGUGACCUACUCCUUGCAAAACUUACGAACGGUGUAGGCGCUCGGUGGCUGCAUGGCCGGCGGUUUGCUGAUGCUGCUAAGCACCUCCGAAACCAGCCGUUCACCAGCCACAUCCGCAGCUGCUACGCUGGGCUCCAGCCCAGGCUGGCGUUCCCAGUGAUGCGUGUGCCACGGGGAAUGGAAUCGGCAGAAGGGAUCAGUCACGAGACCCGUCAGGUCUCAAUUCUAUCCGUAAGAUAAGGAUGCAGUGGCGAAAGUUGGCGAUGCAGAGUUCAGAAGUGGACUGCGCACUAACAGCAUAAGUAAUUGCGAACACAAACGAACGCAUACGUCACUACAUCACAACCACUACAUGCAACCCUCUCCGCUAUGAAACCCAGCCUAGGUGUAACCAAGGGGGCCCCCAUCGUGGCAUUUGGAAUCUCCUGGUCACCGACCCACCGGCCGCAUCGCUAGCCCGGCCAACACGACCCCAGCUCCGCCCCAAAGCCCCAUCUUAUCACCGCUUGUCUACCACUGGUGCCCUACCUCGUCCUCGUUGUUAAGGGUGUUGAGCAGGUUCUUCUUGAAGGCUUCCAACCGAGCAACAUCCUUAUGUAACCUUUUGACGGUAUCCGCUAGAAGGGUCUUUUCACUUUGCAGCCGGUGCGCCUCCUCUAUUGCUUGCUUGCUCUACAAAGCAAGGCGAACGAAGAUGUAUGUGCGUGGGAAGUCGCUCAUGUACUUGCCAACCCACGCUGGUGGGGGUAUGCACGCUAAGACACUCCUUACAGAGUCUCGCUUCUCCCGUGGGCCCCCUAACCUUUGCGGCCAUGUCCUGCAGCUCCAGCUCGAGAGUGGACACUCGCCGCUCGAGCAUCUUUAUGUGGUUCUGUUUUUGUACGAGGGCGUCCCGCAGCUGCUGACCUUCCGCCUCCAGCUGCGCAGCCUUUGACGCUAAGGCAUGCUGCGCUAUUUUCGAUGCUAGCUCCAACUGAGCAAAAGGAUCCACCGGUAGCACGGAAGUGACCUACAAAGGUGCGCAAGGAGUGGUCAAGAUGUUGCUGUUUGCUUCGCUUGCAUUAUAAUCUAGAAGCUACGAACCUCUGCAGGUAAUCCUGAAGCCAUAGGUCCUACAUUUGCAAAAGAUGCCAUGCCUAGGCCAGGGAAACCGAGGUAGUCUGCUAAUGGAAAAAUUUUACAAAUGUGCGCAAUCCGCUAGGUAUAAACUCAAACGUUAAGGAAGCAGCGUCGCAAUAGACGUCUGGAAAUUAAUAUGUUAUGUCAAGGACGUCUUGGUGACUAUCUGCCUUCACAACAGCUGGUUGACCCGGCCGUUGACCUCCCGUACGUUGAGCUUGAAGAGCAUUUGAGUGCCCUUGCACACAAGAUUGCAAAUGGUAAUACGUUCAUAAAGAAAAGGGAAAGGCAGUCGCUCGAGACAGGAUCCGCACUUGCGCACCAUCGCCUUCUGUUCCUUUGUAAGUUUCUUUAUCCAAGGCCACUUCAUCAACUAAGGCACGAGCCAUCCUAAGCACUUUCUGAGUGCCACGCUCCACACGGGGUCACAAAACAUAGGGUGCACCUCUUUUACGCGGUGAAAAUACGUUUAGGCCUGUGCCUAAAAACAUACAUGAACCUAUGGUUGGAGCCAUGUCAAUCACAAAGCCGUGCCUGGGUUCAGUGCGGCUCUUCCGACAUCCGCAGCGCACCUAUGUUGCUCCGUCCACCCAUACCAUUGGCCAUAUGCAAGCAGCCGGGAGCACAACAUUUCGCGUUGUGAAACGCGCAAACUUCAACUGACACGCGCUUUGAGUUUCCCCGCCAACUCCUGCCGCCACCUCGUGCCACACCACACACCCUUCAAGCACCUAUCUCCUUCGACAAGUUCCCACAAGCAUGUGCGAGAACACGCGCAUGCGUGUGCGCUUCCUUCCCCCUCCCAAACCUCUCUCAGCAACACACAACCCUAGUAAUACGGCGCCACAUAAUCGAGCUUAUAAGCCCCAAGCUUCCGGGUCCUACGCGCAGACUGGUCAUGUCCUGGUCUACGUUGUCCCUUCUUAAUUAACCCCCACGCGUUUCCCAGCGUGGGGCGGCCACAACCUUAGGCACUGCCACCUGUCCCACUACCGCCAUAGACCAAUGCUGAUGCAAGCGUCUCCACCGCAUCUGAGGGCGUCAGAGGCUCCGGUGCGGCUUCCCCUGGGGCACUCUCGGCGCCCAUGCCCCCAUCGCCUCCGGUGCCGGCGGGGGCGCUGGAUGACGCAUGCGCCGCCGCCGCAGCAGCAGCGGCGGCCGCGGUCGGGGCAGUGCCACCGCUGACGUGCUUUGAAUGGUGGCGCGCGCUGCGGAAUCGUGCCGGCGCACCACCCCCCGACCCCUUUCCCCCCGAUCCCGUCCCGUCGUCGUCGGGGCCGCCCAGCGCGGCAACCAUCUCCGAUGUCACCUUCGUUGGAACGACAGGUGUGCCGUACACUACCAUUGACACGCCUUGCUGCUCCACCACCUCCUCGAGGUCCGCCACGUCCAAGCCCACGCACUUGGUGAUGAACGUCAGUACGGCAAGCAGGUACUUGUUGUACCGCAUCUGCGAAGACAUGUACAGUAGUAUUACCAAAGAUAUGCACAAAGAGGCGCGGAGAUGCACAUCACGCAGCAAGAUGAUUUCUUAUCAGUGAGGUAGCUUCCAAUCCAACAGCAAAAUGCCGGCGAAGAGGGGAGUGGGGACACCAUGACCGCGGCGUCGGGUAGAAAUGGCGUAAAGAAAAGUGAGGUAUGCUGGCUAGGGCCCCGAGGCAGCUGGGCCGACAAAAGGGAACGACAGAGACGCGCGCGCUUAGCAAGAAGCAGUCUGCAACGACAGUGAACGAACUUUAUGUGCCACGAGUCCAAAACCCCAACCCACCCGCCCCAAUCGCCCAUUCACACAGAAACCCACAAAUCACAAGUCGGAACGCUCGGCAGCUGCAUGACAGCAGCGCCCUCCCAGGGGGAUCACCACAUUGAAGCCACAUGCACCCGUGAGCCUGCACGGCGAGCGCUGAGAUGACGCGCGCCCCAAAAUGGGUUGUACGGUAUCGCGUGCCCUGUGCUCAGCCCUGUCCCUACCGCGGCUGCAUGAACCCCAAGCCCCGCACAGCCUACUACCGCCGCCGCCGCCUCUUCCGCAACGGCCAGCAACACCCCAUCACCACAGCUGGCCCCUCCAGGCCCCAGCCCUAGGACCCACCAUGCCCGCGCCCUUGGCAAAGGCCGCCACGUACUCCAGCACUGCCACCAGCAUGGGCCGGUGCAGAUACACACCGGCCUCCAGGAGGGACUUGACCUGGGGGGGGGAGGAGUAAGGGGGAGGGGGAGGGGGAGGAGGCGGGGUCGCAAUGGGAGAGAAAGAUUUAGGUGGCAGAUGCGAAGGAGCAAACACCCCCCACCCCCACAACGACCCAUGGGCAGUAGCAGCAGUAGCAGUAGCAGGAAGAAAGAAAGAAAAGGAGCUCUGGACCUCUGGGCCCCUUUCAAAAGGUCCUCUGCCUCCCCCUUUCAACCCAAACAAGGAAAACCACCAACCCAAAGAACUCCCCCAUCCCCCCCAAAAAAACACCUCCUCUUCUUUCCCACACACCAGAUUAUCAGCAUGACUCGAAUCAGGGGGCCUGUCCUCGCAUACGCCUCUCUGCAUCUCGUCGCACAAGAACCAACCAGCUUCCCGGAAUCCCCAAGCCCUAACCACUCCGUCAAACCCGCCAGUGGCUGGUCGCCUUUCCCAUCCACCUCCUUGCCCUUUAACCCAUCCACCUCCCCACCUCCCCAGGCCGCCACCAAACCAAGCAAAACACAUUGCACCCCCAGCCCACACUCACCGCCGACUCCCAACCCUCAAACACACACACGCGCACACACACGCACGCGCACGCACGCACGCACAUAUCCAUAUCCAGAUACAUACUUCAGCGUGGGACCCGAACAGGUGCAACAUAAUGCAUCCCCAGUGGGAUUCCCCACACAUACACCACACAUCCCCACACACUCCCCAACACCCACACCCCCGCCCCUACAUCCCCCCAUCCCCAAACCCCAUAAACAACCUAACCUUGGAGACCACCAUGAGGCACAGCGGGUCGCUCAUCCUCUGCACCUCCACCAGCGCGCACAGCUGGUCGUAGAAGCGCUGCAAGAUCCGGAUCUCGGUGGGCUCCAGAGCCUGAAUCGCCUUCUGCUUCGUGUUGCGACGGGCCGCCUCCUGCGCCACCUGGUAGGCCUCCAGUCGCGCGUAGGGGCUCACCACCUUGCCGCCUGGCAGUGGGGGCGGACGUCAGACGGGGUUCAGAGGCAGCACAAGGGCGGGCUUGAGCGACAUGGUGAGGAGGGGGAGGCGUCGAGUAGGCGGCACUCUUUCAAAUUUCAGAAUAUCCGUGUCAGAGCAGUAGCAGAGCAGAGCAAGCAGUAGCAGAGCAGUAGCAGAGCAAGCAGUAGCAGGAGGACAACAUGGGAGGGGGGUGGAAGAGUGGUGGUGGUAUUCUAAUGGUUGUUGCUGUGGUUGUUGCAGGUGGAGGCGGAGGUGGAGGUGGGGUGCAGCAUAUAUGACGAUGUGGGCGAGGAUAAGAUGUUUAAGGGUUCUCUCUUAAGCUGAUCAGGGAGGGGAAAAGGAAGGAGCACAGAACUCAAGCCCUGCGCUGCCUCUCGCCGUGAUCUGUCUUUUACCGUUGCGUCUAUGGCUGAUAAGAAAGCCACCACAGUCACUACAGCCGUCGCAGAAGCACCGCUGACCACCAUCCACCAUCAACAGAACUAAACAACUAUAUAUAUAACAACCAUAAAAUAACUGAAACAACUACAACGACCAACUACGGAGAUGAUGAGCGGCGCAAGGCAUGAUGAAAACUAUGUUCCCCCAUCAGCAUAUACCCCCCCCAAAUCGUCACGGCAACUUUUUCGACUUAUUUAUUCAAUUCAAACAUUCAAACACGCACGCAACGGAGAUCCUGAAGCCCGUCCUGGUAGCAGUAUACUAUACCGCGUACCGAUUACACAGGGUUUAAAUUUGUACCGACCGCGCGGCUUACCGGAUGCGUAGGUGGGCAUUCGGCCCUGCGCCAGGUUGAGCACCCCGAACAAAGUCGUGGACAGCCCAGCCGCGUUGGUGGGCUCGGUCCGCACGGUCGCACGGCCCUGCGCGCGCGAGAACAACGCCGCCUGCAGCUGCGCCCGGCCCGCCUGGCGCACCGCGACAAAGUCGUUGUGCCACUUGUACACCGGAUUAGACUCGUCGCCGUACAGCGGCACCACAGGCUCCACCAGCGGCACAAAGGAACCGUCAUUAGGAGAACCUGCGGCCGCGGCGGCAAAUGAGGCUGGUUCGCUAACUUGGUGCGGAGGAAUGUGACGGGGGGUGGGUUGUGGGGGGGUUGUGGGGCGGGUGGGUCGCGUGGGUUGGGUUGCGGGGUGGGGGGUUGGGGGUGGAGGGGUUGGUUUUAGGGUUUAUGCUGCCCUCAACGCCACGUCGCGGUAGUUAUGGUUGCUAUGGCCGCCGCUCGCACUUCCCAAGAUGAUGUGCUUUUGAGCUGGCAGUGCAACAUGGUACGGCUGCUACUGCUACUACUGCUACUACUGCAACGGCAGCCGCGUGGCUUAGCCGCCUUUGCUGUCGCGCACACCCCUUCCCUCCCUGCUGUGCUUUCCGCUGCAUCCCUCUCGGGUUGUCACACUGCCCCAAGCCCCGGCUUGUCCUCUCUCAGCCGCCGCUACUGCCGAGACCGCCCCCCGCAUCAUUCCCGCUGCUACUGCUUCUCACUUAAGAAAGAGCUUUGCUACAGCCCCUUGCUCGGCCGGUUAUUCCUGCCAGUCAAGCCCAGCUCUGUCUGGCCCCUACCACACGCCACCUUACCCCGCUCCCCUUACAGCCCGAUGAGUACAGAUCCUCUCCUCCCUCCCAGAGGACCCAGAGGACCACCGAGUUUUAAAUACACACACACACACGCAGACGCACAUCACGCACAUCACGCGAGCAAGCAGGGGGCUCCGUUGAAGAGCCCAGCCCAUCACCACAUGCUCACACCAGCCGCGCUGCCACACCCACCCCGCCCAGCCUCGCGGCCCCUCCCAACGGUAAGCGACCACCACCACGACCAUCACCACCAUCACCACCAUCACCACCAUCACCACCACCACCACCAUCACCACCAUCACGACCACUGCCAACGGCAAUAAAACGCCCUCCUCCGUGCCGCCACUAACAUCAGAACACAGAAAAAAACCCUGUACCGUUUGUAUCAGCAAGUUUAAGUUACGCUGUGUAACAUUAGUACUAAAAAAAUUAACGUCAGAUACAGAUACACAAACAGAUACACACGCCCGCCCGCCUGCAUGCCAUUUUCAGCACACGUCCCUUACCUAGCGGCAAUCCAGCUACAGCCACGGCCCCCGUGGCGCCCAUAGAUCCAGAUGUCGUACCCUCGUGCGGCGGUGACGUGGACGCGACCGCGCCGUUCUCCAGGGAGGUGCGCCUGGGGCGGGGCGGGGCGGGGCGGGGGUGAGGUGAGGUGAGGUGAGGCCGAGAGGGACCAAUGGGGAUGAGGGUGUAGGAAAAGAGGUGUAGGGGUGUAACAGAGGAAAUCCAUCGCCAGGAUAUGGAAGAAGCAAUUGUUCUUUUCCUUCUUCUCCUUCAUCUUCAUCGCGGUUAUCAGCCUCCGCACGCGGUCGCCAAUGUCAAGCAAUGCCACGCAACACCAACCCCCUUCACGUCCCACGUCCCCAUUGAAGCCCGCGCUAAAAGCCCCACGACCGGAUUAAGGGUAGGGGAGAGGUUAAGACGAACCACUGGCGGAGGAGGAGGGGGGAAAGACGAACCACGAGCGAGUGAAGCUGCUGCCAAGGAAAAGGAAAGGGGGAGGGGGGACGGGGAAAGAGCUCCCCUCCCCCCUGGAGCCUACUCGGAUGACACUUUCCCCGGGAACUGGUCAACAACUGGGCCCCUGCUGCUGCUGCUGCUGGCCGCCACUCCGCCUCCAUAUGUGGCGGGGGAGACGAGGGUUAAAUGUGAUUUGCUCCAUUCUGGAUCAAUUGAUGACACUGGACAAAAAGCCUUUAAUAGGCCUCUACCUCAUCCUUCCUCCCCUAAAUGAACAUGCUUAAAACAUGCUUAGCGCAAAAGUGUGCGAAAGUAGUUGGCGAUUGUGUGGUUUCGUGACACGUGUGGGAGCCCCAGGGAGCCUGUUCCCUUCAAAGGAGACACACGAGCCACUCACCGGCGUUCUUCAUCUUGCGCCGCCUGGCCGGCCUGCUGGGUCAGGAAGAAAGUAGAGCCCUCGCCAACUCCGACGGCAUCGUCGCCGGCGCCGCCACCGCCGCCGGUUGCGCCGUGGAUGAUCCGCCGCGCCGCCGGCGGCAGCGGCACAAGCUGACGCCGUACCGGCGGCGGCUGGCCGAAGGCGCGAUGCGGGUCGGAGAUCUCCUCCUCCGCCUCUCGCCGAUUGACAAAGGCGCCGACGGAGGCGCGAGCGCGCGCUGCUCGUACAUUUGCUGACGUCAGCACUGCCGCUGGGAAGGCUGCCUCCGCUCGGUCGCUGACGGUGAAGCGCAUCACGGACUUCUGUUUGUUGACCGUGUCCUCCGCCUCGCGUGUUGCCGCACGGAUAGCCGCCUCCGCCGGUGAUAGAUGCGAAUCGGCGUCGGCGCUGCUGCCGUACCCCGGCAAGCUAUCCGAGUCGUAGCCGGCGGCGGAGCCCGGCGAGCCCGGGCGGGCAUCGCCGCCGCCGCCAGCGGCGGCGGCGGGGUUGCCGCUGCUGCCGCCUCGUCGGCGGCGGCUGCCGCCGCCGCCGCCGAUGCCGGCACCGCCACCGGCCUGCUGCUGUGCGCCCGCCGCCGCCGCAGCGGCGGCGGACUGUUGUUGUUGGGAGGACUGUUUGGAAUUCUUCCGCCGGGGCCUGAUGUGUGUGCAUGUAUGUAUGUAUGUAUGUAUGUGUCAGGGAAAGGGCCGGCAGCGUUGACGUCACAACUCAUGACCAUCACCUUCCCGAGGGGGGAACCCCACGGCGCUUUCAUUUGGGGGCAUUUGCACUUGGAGCCGGGCCGGGUGAAAGCCUCGUGUACAUAUUAUCUUGUGCGGAAUCAAACGUGCGCACGAUACACACCACCAUGGGCGGCACAUGUAAACACACAUACACGAUAGAGAAAACGCAUAAUCUAGAAGACCAUACGGGCAUAGACGCACAUACAUACAUACAUACAUACAUACAUACAUACAUACAUACAUACAUACAUACAUACAUACAUACAUACCCGCGCUGUCCGUCGCGACUGCCCAUCUUAUCCCGGUUCAGAUCCGGCAGGGUCUUCUCGAGCUGCAUGGUGUUGUGUGGCGGUUGGGGGGGAAGGUGCAUGGGAGCAUGAGACAGGACUUUGAAAUCGAGAUGCGGGAAGCGGUCCUACCAUACCCGAACACAUCCUUGGGAAUGCGGCAUUUUGUGAAGUCGGCGGGGUUGGGAAGGGUUGGUUUACUGGGGCCCGUGGAGCUCUGGACAGCCGGACUGGACAUGGAGCCGGUCUGGACAGCCGGACUGGACAUGAAAAAAGCGAUUUGUGGAUAGGAAAGCGCGGCGGUGUGCAUAGGGCCCGGAAAUGAAAAAAAACGAAGGACGCAGCGCUUGGGAAGAGACAACCCGGACAACAAACCACCCUCCCCCCCAAAACAGACGAAGACACAUCCGUUGGAGCAGCUGGGCAGCAGUCCCUGGCCACCAGUGUCAGGCCCGGUCAGGUACUUGUAACCUUCGCGCACGUACACACAUACAUACUUGCGCUCUGGACGUGAUCUCUUACAACACUUCCACAGGUAUGCACACGCGGGGGGAGAGGUAAGGUGAGGUAAGGUGAGGCCCGUAAUUUCCCUACCCCCGCCACAGCCCGGGAAUACGACGACUACACGCUUGGUACGGCACCCAGCUUGUUCAGAGCUGCUGUGGCUAUCUUCAGGCCUGGUGCCGUCGGGUUCCGGUAUCAGAUCCGGUCGGUACGGCGAUUACGUGAUUGAGUCCCUGGUACGGUGAUCCGGUCGGUACGGCGAUUAUGUAAAAAAAACAGGCUGAGCCACCCCGCUGAGUCCUCCCUUUUCCGGGUCAAGAAAUCCACCAGACCGGGUCUAUCAAUGAUCCGGUGACUUUUUUUUUGUUUGUGUUGUCAGCUCAGGUGGUGUAUGAGGCGCUCUACAGGAGCGUGAUUUUUAAAAUGGUUCAUCCUCCACGUCCGCCUCAACGGCUGCAAACACGAGCUCUCCAUCGGAAGCCAUACAUUCCCCCACAUGGAGACGAUGCUGGCCGGGUUUGGUACUUAGGGUUACAUUUGUCCGAGCAGACAAAGUCCGCAAAUCGGGGGCUGCGGGUUUUUUCGCUUUGGGUCUGGCCGGUCACGCCAUGGCAUGCAGCCACCGGGGUGACUGACAGUUGGGGUAGUUCACGUGCUCUCAGCGCUUACCUCCUUAGGCUCUCCAAGCGGGACGUAAGGAGCGCCGAAGGACGCCCAGACGCCCUGUCUGGCCUUCUCCUCCUUAAUGGCCGUGUUCUUAAUUAGCUCGAACAUGCGCGCCUGGCCCUCGUACUCAAUCGAUUUGGGGUCCGCAAAUGGCUGUGGCAUACCCGUGUCCUCUACGACAGCGUAGCCCUUGCCAAAUUUCUUCGCUCUGACGCUGCCGGGAGUGCGAAACUCCUUAAAGAGAGGGUUCGCGUGCAGCGCCUGACACUCACGCUGCUGUUCGCGAAGCAUCUUUCGAAUGACCUCCGUAUUUUGAGGCUUGUAAGCGGCGAUUCCCUUGGGCCCGUCCUCCACAUUCGACUGGAGGAACUGCACUCCACCGCCAGCGGCCAUUGUUGUUUAUCCUCAGAAGCGAAUAGAUAUUUAUAUAGCAAUGCGCUGCAGUAGUUUCACAGACGCUGAGGAGGCAAAGCAACUCUAAUUAUACUUGGGGCGUCCAAAGGCCUGGAAAUCCUAGUUUUGUGAAUAUGGAGGUAUGUUGUUAAAAUGAUACCCAUUUGCAUCCCUGUAAUGGGUUCAACUAUCGACAAGAAACAUAGGUUUAACGGAGCCGUCAUAAAGACGCAAAGGUGUAUUGCAUCCGCUGGUAUAAUUAUGUCGAUGCCAUAAUGAAUGUAUUGGGUUGAGGUUGGGUCUUGGAUUGGCUCUCACUCCAUGUAACUGUACAAUGUUCGUUGCGCUAACCAGACAGCACAAACCAAGUGCAUUCUCUUAAGGAAAAGAUAACAAUAUAUGCUAUUGCUAUUCCUGCAUUCCGCCGUGCUUGGCUUUGCACUUGGUGUUGUGCGAUCGCGUUUAUAGUGCUGGCCUAACGCUGCCCCUCGGUGCUUUCGGUAAUGCAGACGAUCGUUACCUAGGUAUUCAUUGAACUUUGUCACCUAGCUGUGGCAGGCAUUGAGGCGGGAAUCGUAGUUAUGGCGGCAAGCCAGCUGCUCGCUGCGCUGAAUGCGCUGUAUCACCAUGACGACCCUAAGGUGAAAGAUGAAGCUGAUCGGUGGCUUGAGCAAUGGCAACAGAGCUUGGAGGCAUGGUCUGUGGCGGACGGAGUCCUGCAUGACCCCAACAGCAGUAUGGAGGCGCAAUACUUCUGCGCCCAGACGUUGCGCACGAAGGUGUGCAAAUUAUUUAUCGCUGAAAAUAAUCAUGAUAAUGGAACGACUGGUUGAACGCACUCGGCUGCGCAAUUGACAUAGCUCCCCCGCUCGCUUUAGCCCGUUUCAUCACAAACCCCGCACACCUCAUGCUUUUAUGCAUGUAUCGCUUUAGAACGUCUGGGGGAGCACUCUUUGGUGCUUCUUAUCUUGCCCUAGCACCGUGCGCCGUUAGGCGGCCGCUGAACAGCCAUGUACCACAGCCUCGAUCCCAACCUGGGGUUGUGCCAAAGCGCUCACAGAGUUCAUCUAGGUCCUUCCCACAACCCAGUCUUGCACCGUGCGCUGCCGCAUCUUGCUUUGCCCAACAUGUUUUUGAGUCCGCCCCACCCCUACCAGGCUUCCAACUGUACCCACAUCACCCUACCUUGAUCACGUCCCCCCUCAGCAUCAUUUUACAAACACGGCUUGCUCCCCAACCAAUCCCGUUGCUUAUGGCACGUCCCAGUCCCUGCGCCGCGAUGGCUUCUUUACGGUGUAUCACCUUGGACGUAUUGUCGUAUUGCCGUACGCAGGUGCAGCGCGAUUUCGAGGAGCUCCCGUCGGAUGCAGUGGACAGUCUUCGAGACAGUCUCCUGCAGCUGCUCAUCCGUUUCAGCAAGUGAGCUAUGUGCGAGGGUGUCGGCCCAGGGAGGGAUGACCAGGGGUGCAAAGAUUUCCAUGCCCUGGGCUUGCAAGUAUACACCCUCCACAGCAUGGGCGCCUUAGGCCGCAACUCCAAUUCAUCGCAGGACUUUUUCAUGUUAGCGCCUCUGCUGCUGCUGCUGCUGCUGCUGUUGUGGCCAUUUGGGUCAGCACCUGUUCGAUAAGCCCGCCCAUUUCCUGGCUGCAGGUAUCAUAACAGCUUGGACUCUUACCUUUCUUUGACUGGCCUUACACAACUGUAACUACCUCCUCCCACGCUUCUGCACACAUUUCAAGACAAACCUCACAAUUGCCUGCGUUCACGCACUCAUCUUGCCACCCGUCAACCCCAACGACCUCCCUGCCACAUCGCGCCUUCCAUCCCCAUGACUGUCGGGCUGCAGGGGCGCCCCACCCGUGCGCACGCAGCUGUGCCUUGCCCUGGCCGCUCUGGCGGUGCACGUGCCAGCGGCGCGCUGGGGUGAGGGCGGCGUGGUCCGCUGGUUUGCAAUCAAGUUCUCCACACUUCCCUCGGACCGGGCGCUUCCUUGCAUGCUGGAGCUGCUGACGGUGCUGCCGCAGGUAAGGCUGCAAGACCCUGUAUCGAACAUAUAUCUACAGGCAGCUUGUGCAUUGUUGUCUUGGUAUGCACCGGUUUCUUCAAGCGGUGCUGCUGGCACGAAGGGCGCCGGGACGGCGUUGGAAGGCUGCUGGCGCUGGCAGCUGGCCCGAAGGCCCACAGAUGCAAAGCAAAACCCAAAUGCCGUGGCGACCCAGAUGGAACGCAACAACAAGCAGAUUGAGAACACGACUGUUUCCCCUCUUUAUUUGCUCUGCAAACGACCUGCAAACAAAUGAUAAGGAAGCUCUGAAUGGCGCAAAGGAAAACGACCCAAAUGAAAGAGGUCAGCUAGGAAGCAAGGAGUGAGCUGUCUUCUUUCUUCUUCAAGAAGGGGCCCCCUUUCCCCCCACAUCUGGGUCCCGCGGCCUUUCCGUCCACCACCGCUCGCACAGGAGGCCCACAGCUACAAAAUCGCGGUGCGGCCCGAACGACGGAGAGCAUUUUCUAUGGAGCUCCAAGCUAACACGGGGGCGGCCUUUGAGAUUCUCACCAGGUGAGAUUCUGACCAUGGUGGGUGGGUGCAAGGGGGUACUUCCAGGUUACGUUGGCCGAUUCGGGCGAGGUGGGUGGGUGAGUGGGUGGGCGGCGGGGGGUUCAGGGGCGCCCGGCUAGCUGGAGGAGCUCCGGCGAGGGAGUUUUUUGCGGUAUAUGGUAAAUAGCUUGCACCGCGCGCAGGAGACGGGGUGCCUGCGUUGUAUCUCCGGGGUUGGGAGAUCUUCGGACAGGACGUGGCAGGAGGGCAGGGAGCCAGGGCGAGUAGUGGCGUGGGGGGAAAUGCAAGGAUUGUAGGUUGUGAUGUGCAGGUGGUAGGUAGGAGUUUUGAACGCGCAAUGGGAGCGCCGGGAGAGGGAUAAUAUGGGAAAUUUGGCGGCUGCGAAAAGCGCCGCCUGCUCUGCCACGCCAUAGCGCUGAAACCUGCUCAGUAUGUAUCCCCGACUUCCCAGUCCCAGUCCCAACGAGCAACCGUCCCGCCCCGCUCCGCAGUUGCGUCUCUCAGCCCGGGGAGCGCACUCGCACGCAGGUCCUGGAGGCGUUCGGGUCGUGGCUGAAACUGAACGAGGGCCGCCCGCUGCCCACUAUUGCCGCCGCUGCGGCUGCGGCCGGGGGUGCGGCCGGCGGCGGCGAGGACGCGGCGGCCGUGCUGGCUCGCCACCCCUUGGUGGCUGCUUCCCUGGAGGGGCUGCAGACCACUGGGGAGACGUUCCAUGCGGCUGUGGACUCGGUGGGUGAGGGGUUAGGGCUGUUGAGGACCCGGUGCGAGGUACGAGUAUUAGCGGUCGCGGUUCCAGAGUGGCGUUGGGGAAAGGGGAGGAAGGAGGGGUGGUAAAGGGGAGGGCUUGUGUGAGUUCGACAGUGGUGGUCGAAUAGGAAAAUGGAGGCGUUUUAGUGUAGCUGUCCCGGGCGCGAAAGGGCGCGCGUCUCCAUUUUCCCAUCCACCCCCCAACGGGCUUCACCCCUCGUUGACCACCAAUUUAUACACCAAAACGAAAAAUGAACAACGUUAAGCCGCUUCCAGACCUGAGCGACCCAAAUCGACCCAACGGGAGCCCCUAAUUCUGUUCGAUUGCUCGUUAAUUAACCAACAACCUAACCGACGCAACCAACAGAUCUGUGAGGUCAUCUGGACGACAGUAGAUUUCAACGUCCAGAGCGCCGGGGCGCCGGGGGACACCAGCGGCGGCAGCCCCGGCGGUGGCGGUGGCGGCGGGCCACCCGCCCUAGCGCAGGCUGCGCUGCCGCUGGUCCAAGCCAUCGUGCCCGCGAUCAUGGGGCUCAGGGGCCGGUUCGCCGUGGCAUCCGGGCGCGGCGGUGCGGGUGCGGCCCAGGGCGAGUUUGACGAUGAUGAGGACACCGCCAAGGGCAUGGCCCGUCUGUUCUGCGAGGUCGGGGAGGCCUACCUGUCACUCAUCAUCUCGGCGGUGGCGGAGGUGAGGAGGGUGUGUGAUGGGGCCUUCCACCCGGUGGGGGUCUUAGGGGACUGCGUGCUUUGGUUUCGGAGGUAUUACUGCCGGGAAGUGGCGCACGGGAGGGGGGGGUAUAGAAGACAUCAAGGAAGGGGAGUCGGUGGGGGAUUUUUUGAAAACCGUUGUGGAAUGUGGAAAGGCGGGGGACCGGCCCCGGUCGACCGCCGUGUGCUCUUCCCGUGAAGCAUGUGUGUAUGCAUGUAUGUAUGUAUGUAUGUCCCCCAUUCCCGUUCCCGCACCCGCGCAGAUAGACCGAUGUGUCGCGGGAGUUCACACAGGUUAAGCCCACCUGUCGAGGCCCCCGCACCCCGCUGCUCCCCAACCGCUGCUCCCCAACCGCUGCAAUCAUCGAUCUUACGAGUGAUAUAUGAUCAUUCUCUCUCUUUUUCCCGUGUUUCAUAUUUGGGUGUCUCGCCAUCGCACGAUUCUCUGCCGGCCGCGACCCCAGGUUCGAGCCCCGGUGGAGGCGCUUUUGGAAGUGGCUGCUUACCCGGACUUCGGCAUCUGCUCAAUGAGCUUCAACUUUUGGCACAGGUAUAAAACCCAGCCCCGGCACGAGGCCGCAAGCCCCGCGGGUUGAUGAGCUGCUGUAAAGCGAAAGCGGGAAAGGAUAGCAAUUACGCCGCAUUUGGUGUUCCCCAUCGUCCACGUCUUCCUUUGCCCCGGCACUCUUCUUUGCCUUCAAAUUUUCCUUCUCCGAAACCUGAAACCCCCUUAAAACCCCUUCCAAUUCCGCCCCAGGCUCUCCCGGCAGCUGCUUACCGGUAUCUCCGCCACCUCAUCCGGCGGCACCGGCGGCAGCGGCAGCAGCAGCGGCAAUAGCGCAGUGGAUGCUGCGGAGCGAGAGCGGCGGCGGCAGUUCUUCCUGCCGGCCUUUGAGAGGCUGGUGCAGCUCAUCCGGGGCAGGGUCAGGUGGGACGAUGCUGGAUGUGUGUAAGGGGGGGGCCCGGGGGCUUAUGCAACUAGCAGAAAAGAAUAUGGUGGGAUGGGGAAGGCACGGGAAGGGAUCCUGGAACGGUGCGUAUGUAUGUAUGUAUGUUGGGGAGCUGCUGUGGGACGCGAUGGGAGAGGCCGGUGGGGGGUGGAGAGCAGCAUUGGGUGAGGAAAGAGGGCGCAUGGUUGCUUGAUGGUGGGUGUGUGCGGGUGAAGGGCGGGCUCUUCGGCGCGGGACGUCGACAGUUUCUUCUUCUUCCACUAACCGAUCCACUCCAGUCCAGCAGUCAUUUCCCUGUGUCUCCCAAUAGACCUCCUAGAUCCUCCGCGUGUUCCCGCCAUCGCGACCAUGCCGUACAGGGAGCCCGAGUCGUACAGCAGCUGGUCCAAGGACGAAAAGCACGAGUUCCGAUCUGCACGUGACGAGGUAGAGGCCGGGGGGGUUGGGUGAGGGUUGGGGGGCGGUGGGGUGGGGUGGGGUUAGCUAUGAGAGACACCCCCCUUGGGUAGGUACGCACAGCAAAACCUUCCCGUACGGCAGCUUCUUACGUACAGCUUCUUACAUCCUCAAUGUGCGCCUGAGCUGGUCUGUGCACGUCUCCCCGCCUGUAUGUUGUAUUUGCAUUCGGGGCUAUUAAUACCUUGACCACGGAAAUCGAAUUGUCCCCAUCAUUUGUGUGAAAUCGAUCGUGAAUUUGAACGCCCCGUAGGUUGGUGAUACGCUAGAGGAUUCGGCUGCGGUGCUGGGAUUCGGACGCUGUCUGGCGCUGCUAGUUGAGCCUCUGGCGGCGCUGAGCCAGCAGCAGCAGCAGCAACAGCAGCAAGGAGGAGACGCGGGGGCAGCCGGCGGCGCCGGGGCCGGCGCGGCCGGCGGAGGCGGAGGCAAUCGUGGGUUCGACUGGCGCACGGCGGAGGCGGCUUUGUUCUGCAUCAAGUACGGCGUACGGGACGGACGCAAGGGGCCGCGGCGCGUGGUGCGCGUGGCAUUGAAAUUUGCUGAUGAAAACUUAUUGGGGUGGUGAUGGUGGCAGGGUUUAGUUCCGGUUAUUGAUGGUGAUGGUUAAGAUGAUGCUCAAGAUGGCUGGGCCGCCUUUUCUCUCCGCGGUGGCGUGGUUUGAAGAUUUGGGUUGUUAGCACGUAUUUGUUUUUCAUCACGUAUUCCUUCCGACCUCCCCCCUUUUGGCAGUCACUGGUCAGUUCUGCUUCUUCUACACUCUUUCCUUGGCAGCAACUUCACUCGUUCACGUGGCUCGUCUUUCCCCCCGGGCCCCCGGUGGCACUUGCUAGCCCGCUCCCCUCCCGCUCAGCCAGACCAUGUCCCGACUAAAAACGAUGUUUGCUUGAACCUCUUAGGGUUCCGAAACCCCAACCCUGCACCUGCACCAAUAGACGCACACUCCUGCUGCUGCUGCUGCUGCCGCCGCAGGUCCAUUCAUCGCCACGCGACCAGCCCCGGGGACCCCUCCCUGCAGCAGCUCCUGGAGGCCCUCCCUGGACUGCCCCGCGACUUCCCCCAGCUUCAGGCCACGGUGUGCAGUACGAUAGCCCGGUAUGCCCGGUGGCUGGAGAGGUCCAUGCAGGUGUGUAUGUAUGUAUGUAUGUAUGUAUGUAUGUAUGUAUGUAUGUAUGUAUGUAUGUAUGUAUGUAUGUAUGUAUGUAUGUAUGUAUGUAUGUAUGUAUGUAUGUAUGUAUGUAUGUAUGUAUGUAUGUAUGUGACUUAGGUUACACCGUGGGCCGCGAGAGCCAGGGGCCGAAGCCGAAACACAGCGCAAGGGUCGGGAGCACACAGGGGUUAAGACGAACCACUGGUGAAUGAAGCCAGAGAUACCAGCGAUAGUCAGAUAGUGCAGGAGAAGACAAGUGAUGGGGAGCAGGGGCAAACUGGGUCUGGGUUCCGCUCUGGGCUGAUGACGAAGAGUGGGAAGAGCGCGGCAUUGCAUGGCAUGGCACGUGUGAAGGAGUACAGGGUGUCAGUUGCGCCAGACGUCCAGAGCGCCAGUGUGCUGCUGGGAGUGCAAAGCGGGAGGGGGCAGGGUGGUAGACCUAGGAGGACGUGUGCAGGAUUGGGGGUUCUUGGCGGCUUCUGAGGCCAUCACUUGCACUGCUUAGCGUAACCGUGUUUUCAUAGACUCCCCCCCGAGGUGGGGAACCUCCCUUUCAUCCCACCCCCCCCCCACACACACACACAUGCAUGCGUGCAUGCACCUUCCGAUGUCUCGCGCUGCAGGCCGGCUACUGCCAACCGUUGCUACAGCGACUGCUUGGCCUGGCUGUAGCAGACCUGGAGCUGCCGGGGGGGUACUGCCAGGCCGCUGCUGCGUCGGCUGUACGGCAUCUGUGUGAGGAGUGCGGCGCCUUCAUGGGGUCUUGUUUGCAGGUAAGACCACCACUGGUUUCGGAGACACGGAGAUUCGUUGCAGGCUGUCCUAGUAAAAAUUGCAACCUGGUUGCGAUCCUCCCGACAUCGUAGCUGGUAGCAGAGCGCCGUUCCCUGUGUUGUGUCUCCGUGCUGCAUUUCCCUCCGUACGACAGGACCUUCUAGGGCUGUACAACAAGGUCUUAUCCAUGGGAGCCGCCGCCAGGGCGCCUGCCGGGGCGAAUGGAGUGGCGGCGGCCGGGGCUGGCCAGUCGAUGCUGCUGGUAAGCGGGAGAGAGGGGCGGGAGCCAGGGAGGGGAGUUGCUGGGGCUGGAGGGAGGGAGGGAGGGAGGGAGGGAGGGCGCGGGGAGAUUGGUGAACGGGGCGUGCGGCGGGAGAGCAGAGCGAGAGAGUGAGAGAGGUUUGAAAACGGGAAGGGAGGAGGGUUUGGGAGAGAGUUUGAGAGAAAGAGAAGCGCAUCUGAAAGCCCCACGGCCCUUCGCGCAGGAGGAGGACGUGGAGUCCAUCAUCGCGGCGGUGUGUCAGGCCGUGUCGCAGGCGGCAGCGCCCGAGCAGCGCUCUCAAGCGGGAGGUGCGCUGCUGAUGCCCGUACUGCAGCAACUGCAGGACGCGCUGGCGGCGCUGGGGCCCCCUCCGCCGCCGCCGCCGCCACCGCCGCCGGCGGCAGCGGGGGGGGCCUCGGGCGCACCGGUUCCUCCCCCGGCGCCUCCCCCCGUGGCUACCGCCCAUCCGCACCUCAACCCGUUGGUUGACCGGCUGGCGGAAGUGUUUGGUCGUACAGCGGAUAGCGAUGUGGUGGCGCAAAUGCUGAGUGAGUGAAGGGGGGGCCCCCGUUUGUGAAGGGGGGACGUUUUUUUAAUAGUAGUUGGAUUACUCAUUGAAGCCAUACCCCUGUUGAGCAAGUCUUCCAGGUGGGCUGGGGAAGGGGGACGUUUUUAUGGGUAAGGGCACGUUUUCUCACAGUACCCCCUGUGCCUCCGAAACCGUGCUCAGCCCGGGUCAGUCGGCUUCCCGACACAGCUCCUUAACGGCAGCUUGCGGUUCCUCCCCUCUCAACCCUGACAUCUCAAUUGGAUUCGCCUGGUGGUCCAUCCACUGGUGCCUUCUCCAUGACGCUUCAUCACUCUUACCUCCUACCUUUUCCUAAGGCUAAGGCUUUCCGCUUAUCCGUCACACACACAUACACACAAACACACAUCCCCCGUGCACUUCUCCGUAUCCCUCUGUAUCCCCCCGCCGUACAUGUCCCCCCGCCGUACAUAUCCCGCUGGGUUCGCAGUGACCUCCUGGCCGGUGCUAGACGCCCUCAUGGUUCGCUGCGCCGGCUGCUCCAAAACAAUAGAGCAUGUGCUCCGUACACUUCGGUACGGCAUCAAGGGCGCCGGACGCUCCGCCGCGCAGCUGCUCCCCACGCUGCUCGAGGUGCUGCCAUCCCGGUUCACAGCGACCCGCCACUCGGCAUUUCUGUAAGUCGGGGUGGGGGACGGUGCGCCGCGGUGACGGAGAGGGUUGUGCGCACGGGUAAUCCGGCGGAUGAGGCCGUUUAGAAGCACCGUGUGGGUUUCGGAGGCACCUGACGUGUGGGUUUCGGAGGUUGGGGAUUCGGUGACGUGCCGGGGUUGGCGUCGGCACGUAUCACUCUCGCAUACCAACUCUCAUUCCCCCCAGGGGCAAGGUUUCGGUGACUACUGGCAAAGUGAAUCAAUGGCUGCUUGGGACAUCGUCAAAAUGUUUUGUCGUUUCUGCAGCUUUGAACCCACCCACCCCAUGCGUCACGUUCGUAACCCUAGGCCCCUUUCUUAGUCCAUACGGUACGACGAACCCAUCCAGGAACCACAUGUCCAAAAAUGCUCCUUUUGAAUCCCCUUCCUCCUGCUGACGUUAUAAGUCACGCGCUUCCCGUGCAAUCGUUCUCCUUCCCUUAACACUUCUCCUCCGGGCUCCCCCUACCCCCCUCCCCCCACACCGCACACACAGCUUCAUCGUUUCUGAGCUGGUAAAGUUCUUCGGUGAUGACACGUCUAAGGACAGCACCCUGGCGCUCAUUUUGGCGGGACUUAUUACGGAGGCGGGCAGGUAGGGUGGAUGGUGCGGCUGGGGGAUGGUGGUCGUGGUGGUGGUGGUGGUGGUGGUGGUGGGGUGCUAGGAAGGAUGGAUUUCCUCCCCUCCAUGCACAUACAUACAUACACAUACAGAUGCAUGCAUGCAUGCAUUCAUAUACAUUCAUGUAUACAUUCACAUAUAUACAUACAUACAUAUAUUCAUAUAUACAUUCACAGAUUCAUUCAUACAUACAUACAUACACCUUAUGGCAGGCGGCUGGCAGAAGUUAAGGCCUGACUUCUGCUCCCAGUCGAUCCAGUCGACCCGGGUUCAAAUCCGCCUGCCAGCUCCUCGGGUGAUUGAGGAGUGAUGAAAUGGGAGGUGGCCCCCCAUCAUAUGGACGGUGUAGGACGUGAUAAUAUCAACUUGCGAGCUGACCAGGAACUAAGUUGAUGCGCCGUUGAUCCGCUAGAUUUGGUUUGAUGCUGGUGGUGAGUUGCCGAACCCAACGAAUACAUUCUGAAGUCGGAUGGGGUGACGGAUUAGGGUGCCCCUCUAGCAGGGGAGAGCAGGGACUGCCCCGGGAAAGGGGGCCGCUGGCGAAGUUAACCACCCUGUAACAACAUACAUACACCUCGUGCGAACUCCGGGGUUUCUUGUGGCCUACUUCCUGUACCAUGAGACCUCCCGCCUCACGUGCCCCCUCCCCCUGCAGGCCCCUGACCAGCUUGGCCGCCCUCACCUCCGCACCCGACAUGGUGGACGACUUGUUCCUGCUGGGGCUGAGGGCGCUGGGCUACGCGCCGCGGCUGCUGUUGGCGCCCCCCGGGCCUCCCGGGGCGGACUGCCGCGCGCUGGUCACAUUGCUGGACGUGGCAAUGGUGCGUGUGUGUAUGUAUGUAUGUGUGUAUGUGUGCAUGCCUUGAAAUGAUUCGAGCCGCAAAAAACAAGUGAUAGGUGAGAAGUGGUACAAGAGUAAGAACGUUAACGUUGAUGUGUGUUGGGUGGGGGUCGGGAAGGGGAAGGCAGAGGCUAUUAAGACGCGCAUGAUGGGGAGAACGGCCUAGGGGGAAAGGAGGGGGCUCAGCACGUGGUGGCGAUGAAGGACCGGCAACGUACUGGGGUUUGCGGAGAGGAGGAGGAGCCGGCAGGUAAGGAGGAACCUCAGGCACCCUAUGGCGCUAGGAAAUCCUAGACCCCCUAAAUUUGUCUUCGUUGCGGAGUGCUGGGUGCUAGUAGAGUAAUGACUCCUUCCUUACACCCUCUUCAUCCCCUACCUACUCGCGCCGUCGCCGAUGCCGGCGCCCUUCGUUCCCUAUACGUGGCUCUCUCUCUCCUCCAACAUGCAGAUUGGCUGCGUGAUGCAGCACCGGGAGGCCAACGGCUCCGUGCUGGGGUUCAUCGCUCGCCUCACGUCACCCACCACCCUCGCUCGCUGUCCGUCCACCGCCGCCGACGUGCUCGGGGCUCACCUGCUGCCCCGCGCGCCUAUCUUUGUCCGGCUGCUGCUGUCGGGUAUCUCUGGCACGCUGCCGCUGGGUCGCGUGUCGGUGGUGGGGGCGGCGCUGAUCGGUGUGGUGGGGUUUGGGGCGACGAGGGCGGCCAGCGGGGGCGGGGGCGGGGGCUCGGUGGAUGUGGGAUCGAGCCAGGGAAUGGGGUGGUUGGCGGCGGCGUUGCAGGCGGUGCCGGACGUGGCGGCGACGUCGAGCGACAAGCAGGUGUGUGUAUGUGUGUGUAUGUAUGUGUGUGUAUGUAUGUGUGUGUAUGUAUGUGUGUAUGUAUGUGUGUAUGUGUGUGUCGGAGCGCCUGGGCGUGUGUCUCUCUGAACGUGUUUCUUACUAAUCCGUGGCUAACCCGUGGUCUGCAUGCGAUGCGUGCUCUGGGUGUGCGCGUACGUGGUGUAUGUCCCUGCUUUCCCUCGUAUCUCGGACAUGCUGUGGAAGAACCCGAAACGUGCGCUCCUUUGCGUGUUCUUUGUGGCAGUGUAUAUAUGUCUGUCCUUUACACAGCUUACAGAACCACGUCUUGUGUGUGUGACGGGAAGCAGCCCCAACGACCCCAAACUGUCCCAACCCACUUCAACGAAUACCGUUGCUACAACUGCUGUGCACGCCAAAGCUUUCGCGAUAAACUCCAACCGACCCGACCCUAGUCAUAACCGACCGACUCUUAACUGCUAACCAAGCAACCCCAACCGCGCACACAGGCCUUCCUGGGUGCCGCCACUGCGGCUCUGCGUGCUGGUCCCCGGUCGGGGCCCAACCCCGAGGACAGCGACAUGAUGGCCAACGGAGACGGAGGUGAGCGGCUCGGGGCGGACGGCGGGGUGGAGGUUGUAGGGUGGGAUCCCUUCCUGGAUGGGUUUGAAAAGACCACAGUGACCCACGGGACUGCUCCAUGAACCCGUGUGAACUCUGGGUUCCGCCAAUGGGCAAGUGCCCUAGUGCGCACGGUACAUGAGAAGCGGGGGCCCGGAUAUUGCGCGCAUCUGCCUAUGCAGUUACGGGGGGGGGGAAAAGGGAAGACGACGAUAGGAAUACUACAAGUAAUACGGCCCCUUUACGUAGAAGCACCCCGUCUCCUUACGUAAAAACAUGGCCGAUCCUGCUGGUCGUGCUGCUGCUGCUCCUGCUGCUGCUCCUGCUGCUGCCAAUGCACAUUUUGGUCCUCCACCUCCCGGUUGCUGUAGCAGGCAGUGGCGGUUAUUACGACAGCGGGUGGGAGGCCGCCUGCCAGGAGUUUGCUGACCUGUGCCGCCGCAACAAGAGGGCACGGCAGGCGGCCCAGGCGGCGUUGCUGCCCCAGGAGCUGGCGGCGGCGGUGGACCUAGGGGAGCGGCGCCGGGGGGGCUGAGCGGGGCUCGGAUUCGACGGGUUGGGGAGAGGGGGAGGGUCGGGUUUGUGUUUCGGGUGUUGAGUUCACCUUAAGGAGCAUCGUGCUUGGGUGGAGAGGGAAAGACUUGUUGCUGGCAGGGCUUUUUUAAGGCGCCAGCGGAUGGGGGCGUGGGGAGAUGUGGGAGGUGGGUUGAGUGGGCGCGGUGCCACUGUGGUGAGGUGGUUUAGAUUAUUCGACUUUGUAGUGUGUGGGGGGUGCGGUGGAGGUGGAGAUGAUAUGGGGGGCCCAAGGGAGUGCCAGAGUGUGUGUGUGUAUGUGUGCAGCGGACGUGGAGAGUUUGGGAGCAGGCGGGUUCCGAGGAAACGACACGUGAACGCAGACCUUACGGCGGAGAAAGUGGAGAGGAGGCAUGGAACGGACGAACAGACGUAUGGACAAAACAGGCAACGUGGUUAUACCUUGCAGCAUCAGCAGUAGCAGCACCAGCACCAGCACCACCAUCAGCAGCAGUAGUGUUUCGUCUGCUGCUACCACUGCGCUGCUGCUACCAGCAUUCAUUGGCCUGGAGGGAAUUCCUUCGCGGUCGAGGGCGAAAGGGUCUCAUGGCCGCAUGGGCCUCGGAUUGGGAGGCACCAGAUUUCUGCUGCUGCUCUGCUGGGGGGGACUUCGUAGGGGAGACCGGGGCGCGGAGGCGGCGUCGUGUCCCAUAGCGCGGGGUAGACACGGUUGUUGAGGGCCAGACGACCGGGCCCCGCUUAUGGGUGCUGUGCAUGGAGGGAGGUGCGCGUGCAAAUAAGAAUGGAUGGAUGGAUGGAUAGGGGGAGUGUGGGCGCGCACUCCACGAAGGGCAAUGAUGUUGCCGCAGUCGGCGGCAGUAGCAGCAGCAGUAGCAAUAUGGAAAGGUCAAUGCAGACCAUGGAAGGCGCCGUCGCAUGGGUGGGGGCGGAGCUAGGGGAGAAGGAGCGGGGUUCGGUACAUCGUGUCGUCAUCGUCAUCGUCGUUAAGAUUGUGGUGGUGGGCAGAGGCGGCGGUGGGCGCUGGAUCAGGAAACGUGUAUACGUCCCGGGAGGCCCCCCUGCUAGAUAAGAAACUGCAGCUCCAGAUUGGAUGGCAAGGCACUGCUCGGCAGCUCGUAAAGGGAGUCAGGAUGUGUUGCUCAACUGCCGCCCUGAUGUGUAUGUGCCUCCCUCUCUGCAGAUGUCAUCGUUUAUUUUUGCAGCCUGCCGUCCGUCUUUGCGCUGCUGCUGGUAGCAAGGUACCGAGCCAGCUGCCAUUCGCCUGCAGUCCUACAAUUCUGUGCGCGCGCUUUUUUGUGUUGCUGCAGAGCGGCUGCCGGAGCUCCUACCUGUCCUGUGUUGUCCUUUCUGUGGCCGCCGCGAGGGUCAACCCUCAGAAACUGUCGAUGCGCGGUAACCGUUACCGUUAUGGUGACCGUUAGGGACCGUUGCGCCUGAGUAACGGCCAGCAGCCAGAUGUGUGUGGUGUCGAAAUUGCAGACAGAAUUCUUCACGUAGUAGCACAAACGCCCGUACAGUCUCCCUCCGCUAUUCCAUGUCGCUGCAAGCAAAGCUUCAUGCAUGCCUCGAUUACGUGCGAUACCGCUCACAUCUGCAUGCCCCAAUGCUGUGCACUGCUCGACGGUAGCCCCAACGCUGUGCACCUUGCCACGUCUCCCUGCCGCGGUGACCUGGCCAGCUAGAACUCUUAACCAAUGAUUCAUACAGCUAUUUCAAACGUACUGCAUUCUCCUCCUCCAGCUCGUUCUGCUGCUUAAGGAAGUAAUCCUACCCUGGAAAGCCCCUCCGCCGUGGAGGUGAAGGGCGCCGCAGACGCCACAGCACCUGGCCUGGAAAGUUUCCAUAACCCGGAACCCAAUCCGCUCACAACCCACCUGUAGUGCUUACACUACUAUUGAGGCUACAGAAUGUGUGCCGUUGUGAUGGCACGUAAACAUGUGCGAGCAAGGUCCCGUCGCUGUUGACCUGUUGAUGUUGGGCACUGUUUACUGCCCUGGAGGUACGCUUCAUGAUUAUAGCGAAGGGCUAUCGAGGCUGAGCGCUCACUGCUGCUUUGAGGCAGCUGCUCUGCUAGAGGCAGGGCUCACUGGGGCCGGCUGGCGGUGCGGCGGCCGGUGUGAAGCAGUCGUGACGUCGCGCCAUCAUAGCUUCCCCGCCAUAAGUUUAGCCGCUGCGUAAGAGUUUAAGCUAAAAUACGGUGGGGAGUGAAUCGAAAUAGCUGGAUUUAAGAGGGCAAGGAACAUUUUGUGCGCGUGGCGUCCGAGCGCGCCUCAAGUCUCCGUUACAUCCUGACGAUGACAAUCCCCUGUUAAUGACAAUCCCCUGCCUCAGAGUACAGCCAUUAAGAGCAUAUCAGCAUAUAACAACACAUGUAAUUUUCAUGCGUGCUUUGGGCCCGGGCAAAGACGCAGUUAUGCAGCACGCAGCAUGACGUCUGACCUGGUCUGACAUAUUUCAAUCGGGUCGCGGCGCAUCGACAGAUCAGGCCUGGGAUAAGACCGCGCGGAUCGCGGAUUUCACGAAUAUGUCCUUGUAUAAUAUUACCUUGACAGUUUCGGUCAUCGUUUCUCUGCUGUGAUGCAACGGAACGAGCCCUCCCUCUCAUCGGAGAGAACCAGUAGGCAAUCCACAGCAAAACCACAUGCAUUUGCACCCAUCAUGUCUGCAUGUUUUUUGUUCGUCAAGGGCUAUCUUUUGGUGUUGCUGUGACCCAAGCGUUCUGUGCUAACGCUCAAAGCGGAUUGCGUCGUAUUGUGCGAAGGCGCCAUAACCGCGGAAGAUUCCUGCUUCGCACCGAUAGCCGACCAGCCAAGUUCCGUGGCCGAUAAAGUUUUUUUCCUUGCAGUAGCACCUACCUUAUCAAUCGGUCCGGAACGCAUGGAAACAGCCGAAGGGCAAGAAAAAGGAGCAGUAGACGGAGGCUGCACGUCAACUUUUUCCGUGUCUGCGUAAGAUUAUUUAGCAGGAACAGCAAUAAGGUGAGAUCGGUCGGUCGGUCGGGAUCGUGUUUCCUACGCUGAUAAGUCUGAUUUGUUUUGUUCUCCUGCUGAAACGGGCGAAACUUGACAGUGUUAAAGGGCUGCAGUAGCUCUGCCUUCCAAGGGCCAAAAACCACAAAAGCUUUGCGUUGCCCAUACGGUAGAUUACAGGUGUUUUUUGAGCGUCCUAUGCGGCAUUAGGACUGAUAAACGAUUUGUGCGCGGGGAAAGUGUUGUCCAAUGCCUUGUCGAUACAGAUUAGCGAUCGGUGCGGGUUUCCUUCUUCUGACGAAACAGGUCCGGUACCAUCCUUAAAUAUCCAUGUCACUUUCUGUCCUUGCACAAGGCAAGGCAGACCGCGCGGGGCGGAAACGGGGGGAUGCCCUUGCUGCUGCUGCUCUGACCCACGGGUCACAUCUCACGCGGCGUACCAUACACAACAGGACGCACGCUUCGCCCCACCUUCUCUUUCCACCAGCCUUCCCCCAUAUCCCUCCUCCUACUUUCGUUCCCCUUGACUAGUAUCUCGUCAGUUUGUACUCAUCACUAUCAUCGGCCCGAGGUUUUACUUUUCACGCGCCCAUUCUUCGCCGUCCCACCCUCCCACCCACUCUCCCGUACUGGUCCCCGGCUGUUCUGCGCGGCCUGGACCCAUCCAGGCAGGCUACAUGAAGCUCUCCGAUUCGGACUCACGGACGUUUCAAGAACUAAGCGAACCGCAGGUCCAACAGCAGCGUGUGCAACCCGGGCCUUGCGGCGGCGGUGGCGGCGGCGGCGGCGGCGGCGGCGGCAACGGAAGUGUGUUUGGGUCCAACAGUAGUGAACCAGCCACAGGGAAUUAUGAUCCAGUGAUCAAAAGAGAGACGCCGCUGCCGCGCGCCGAUGAUGCAGAUGGACCCGCGCUCAGGUCCGAACCUGAACCUGAAUCCACGGCGGUCGGAUCCGGAUCUGGAUUUUCAGGAACUAUCUCGAUCCAGCCAAUUAGUCCAUCUAGCCGGCGGCGGCGGCCCGUGUUUGGUGGCGGUGGCCUGAUGGCGUUACGGUCUCCCCCCCGGCAUAGCCCCUGCGGGGCCCAGGACGCGGCUGCUGCUGCUGCUGCUGCUGCUCAUGGGCCGUUGGUACAACCACCUGCUGUUGGGAGCCAACCGCUUUUGCAACCGCUGUCGCAGCCUUCGCCGGAAGACAGGCAGACAUUCUCAGUGUCGCAGCAGCAGCAGCAGCAGCAGCAGCAGCAGCAGCAGGAGGAGAUGGGGCAGGUGGAGCCGGGCCACCACCCGCCAGCCCCCGGCUGCGAGGGCCAGGUAAUACAGGGCUUGGUGAACCAGGGGCCCCACGCCGCCGCCGCCUCGACAGUCGCUGAGGAGGCCGCGGCGGAGGCGGCGGAGGCUAAGCACACAUCCUGGGUGGGUCUCGAGCCGGCGGGGGUAGCGCCGGCGGCGGCGUCACCAGCCCCGGCGGCGGCGGCGGCGGUGGCGCCGGACGCUCCGCAGCAGCCUGAUGCGGCGCGCGUCACAACUUUGGAGCAGCAGCAGCUGAAACAGGAGCCGCCGCCGCCGCCGCCGCGGCCGCAAUCGGAGGACCCAGACUCGUCCCAUCGAACCCUGCCGUUGCCCGUACAACAGCAGCAGCAACAGAAACUUCAGCAGCUACAGCUACAGCAGCAGCCGCAGCAGCCGCUAGAUCCGGAGGUCGUGGAGCAGCUAAAGUGCGCUAGCCUGGAGGCGGUGAGGCAGCCAGGUGGCCGGGGAGUUGGACGAGCAGGGGAGCGGGGAUGGGGGGGAGGGGAGCAGCAGCAGCAGCAGCAGCAGCAGCAGCUGCCGCUGCAGCAGCAUCGAGAGGAGGCCAGUACUGCUGCUACAGCUGCUGCUACUGCCGCCGCAAGCAGGUCAAGGGAACGGCUGCCAGUGGUACGGCAGUCCCCGGUGGGCUAUGCCGUGGAGUGUAACGGCUACAGGGGGCUGUUCUAUCCAGACCUGUACAUCAUCGCCUGCAGGUGUGUGUGUGUGUGUAUGUGUGUGUUUGGCAGGAGGGGGGUUUGGAGGGGGGAAUUGUGUCGCUGGGGUUUCAUUCUUCCUCCGCUGCCUACACCUACUGGCACUGGUACCUGUAGCGGUAGUGGUAGUGGUGGUGGUGGUGGUGGUGGUCGUGGUGGUGGUGGUGGUUAUCAGCUCUGUUUGCCAGCAGCUCUUGAGUCCGUGGGGGCCUCCCCCCGGGUGCCCCUUCUCGUCAGUGUGUUUUAGGGUUUCGCGGGUUUGUGUAGGGUGUGUGUGCUUUAAUGAUCUUCGGAGCCGCCGCGAGAUGAUCCGCCGGACGAGCGGUGCAGUGGCGGUGCACAAGAUUAACAACCCUUCAUAUGCCGAAGUGAGCUCCGGAGCGUCGCGUGUGUGUAUUCGAGUGGCGUUCGCUGUGGCGGGCCCCCCCCCGCCCCGCCCCCAGAUGCACUCGGUGCCUGACUGAGGCGCACGGUCGUGGCAAGGCUUUCUACCCCUUCGAUUUCGAGCGCCAUGCCGGCAUGGGCGCCAACAAGCGGUGGAAGAGCAGCGUGCGCGUAGCGGGGAUGCACUGCAAGUCCCUCCCCUCCAGCGGCGGCGGCGGCGGCGGCGGCGGCGGCGGUUCCGCCGCCGACGGCUGUAUGAGCCUGGGUCGAUUCAUGGAGAUCCAGAACAUACAAAUCGAGCCCAGUGCACUGGCGCGCUCGUCCACCGCAGCGCCGCCGCCGCCGCCGCCGCCACCCACGUCGUCUGCGUUGGUACAGGAGGCCGCUGCAGCGGCCGGCUCCAGGCCGCCAACGGCGGCGGCGGCCAUGCGUGUCGGACCGCCGACUAGAAGGUCAACAUCGGCGGCGGCGGCGGCGGCGGCGGGGGCGCUGCCUCCCCCCGGAGUGCCCGGCAGUAGUCCUGAGUACCCCCCGGCUACUGCCGCGUCCCCUCCGGUUCCGGUGGCCAGCUACAGCCAGCUAGGACCCCGCCACCGGGCAGCGCUCUUCCCCGUGCUACCGCCCAACGUCCCCAGGAUGGUUCCGCCCGAGUUGCAGGGUGGGUUAUUACCGCCCGGUUGCCGUAUCCUGGUGUGUCGUACUGUCGUGUAGCACUACAUGGCCGUACAAGUAAGCUGACGGUAUUCGCGUGUGUUGCUGUGUCGUCGCAGUCAUCGUUCUUCUGCUGCGUCGGCCACUGUCCUGCGGCCGCGAAAUUGUGACAUGGAUUAGUUUGCUGUCUGUGUUUGUUUUUUCUGUUUCCUGUGGAAACGAAACGGGUUGUACGGGUAUUGCCGUACAAUUUCGUCCAACUGCCGUACAUCCAAUAUGCAGGGCAUGCUAUGGUCGGCCACCGCGUCCGGAUUUAUUGGCCCAUUGACAAGGUGUACUACUCCGGUACGGUGACGGAUUUUGACCCGAGAGCGCGACUGCCGUACCGCGUUGACUACGACGACGGCGACACAGAGCGAGUAAAUCUCAACAAAGAGAACUGGCAGUUGGACGAGCGAGACGGAAAGCGGCUCCCUCCGAGCCUCUUGGAACGCGUGAUAGCUGUAGCAGCAGCAGCGGCGGCGGCGGGGACUGUCGGCGCGCCGCAACUCGGUGCCGCCGCCAUCGCGGCAGCGGGGGCAACUACAACUGCAGCGGCAGCAGCAGCAGCAGCAGCAACAUCAGCGGCUGUAGCUGCCGCCGCCCCUGGCGGCGGCUCCGGCGGCAGCGGCGGCAGACGCCCAGCACCCGCAGGUUGCGUUCUACCCGCCGCCGACGCGGCUAGGCAGCUGCCGCCGUCGGCGCCGCCGCCGCCCCCAGUGGAUCCGACAGCGCAACGUUGCCCCACGGCACCCAAGAACGUGGGAACGGGAAAUGACUUCCCGGGCGGCCCGAGCAGCUGCGGCCUGGGGGGCCUUGUGGGCAACGGCGGCGGCGGCGGCGGCGGCGGGGAGGAGGAGCUGUGUCAAGCGUUGGCAGCGGCCGCCCCGGUGACGUCAGCGGCAGAGAGAGAUGGGGGCGGCGGCGCCGACGGCGGCGAUGGCAGGCUCGUCCAAGCCCGGCCGAGCAAGUUGCAGCUGCCAGAUCUUAACAAGCAACAACCGCUACAGCAACAACCGCUACAGCAACAACCGCUACAGCAACAACCGCUACAGCAACAACCGCUACAGGGGCCCUCCGGGGAAUCCAUACGCAGCCCGUACAGCCAGCCACUACAGCCGCUACAGCUAGAUGGCUCCGGAGAGGAGUUCGACGGUGGUGCCGGUGAUCACAAAACCCCGUGCGGUGGUACGACGGCGGUGUUGGAAGCGUACGGAACAGGUGCGAUUGCUGGUGGCAGCGCCGGCGGCGGCGAUGAUGAUGGCGGCGCCGGCGGCGGCGCUGGCGACGACAAGGAUGGUGACAUGAUGGAUGUCGGAAUUGUCGGCGGUGGUACGGCAACAGCCCGUACAAGGGAUGACGGGGAGCUCUGGUUCUCCGGCCUCCAGUUGGCGGAUCUUCCGGAAAGCGGGGAAGUACGGCAUGACGGCGGCGGCAUGCCCGCGGCCGCGCCAUCACCACAUCUGCCGUCGACGUCGACGUCAGCGGCGGCGGCGGCGGCGGCGGAUGGAAACAUGAUCGAGAGUCCUGACGUUGAGCCCAUUGAUGUAGUGGGCCCGGCGGCGGCAGCGGAUGGUACGACGAACCGUACGGCAACCAGGUCGGGAGAUCUCCUGCAAGUGGGCGUCAGGGCCCCUAGUAUCGGCGCCGUCGAUGUAGCACACGUGUACUUUGAUGGAGGCGGCAGCGGCGUCGCCGCCGCCGUUGGAACUGACGUCACGGAAGCUGCCGUACGCCGCCAGCAGCCCGGAUCGGCGACGCCGGAUGGUGACGUCCUGGAGGGGUCAGCGGCGGCGGCGGCGGCGGCGGGUGCAGGAGAAAAGAGAGAGGCCAUGCCGGCGGGUUCGUACGGCAAUGCGGAGGGUUUCUUAGUUGAGGAGUGGCGGGAGGAGGAGGAGGAGGAGGAAGGUGGGAACUUGGCGUUAGCGCAAAACACACACAUGGGGCAGGAUUCCUCCGGCCGAGGCGUCGCAGCGGCAGGAGAGGUGGCGGCGGCGGCAGCAGAGGAGGAAGAGGAAGAAGGGCUGCAACCCUCGCUAAGUAUCGGCGUCGACGGCAGCGUUGAUGACGGCGUCGACAGAAAGGUUGGGCGCAGCGGUGGCGGCGGCGGCGGUGGCAGCAGCGGGGGUGGCAGCAGCGGCAGCAGCAGCGGCGGCGGCGGCGGUGCUACUGCCGCCCAGCUUAGCGAGAGCGACAUUCACAGCUCCCUUGUGAAGGCUUGCAUGUGUGCGGAGGAGGACGAGGAGGCGGAGGAGGAACAGCAGGAGGAGGAGCGAGGUCAGGGCCACCGGGAAGGGCGUGAGUUCGAGGUGGAAGCGGAGGCGGCCGAUUCACCGAUGGCGGCUUCUGAUAGCGGCGGCGGCAGCCCCGCCGCUGCCGUCGCGGCCGCCACCGCCGCGGCGACGGCGGCGAAACGCGUUCAUCCGCAGGCUCUGUCCGCCGCCGCCGCCGCCGGCGCCGCCACUGACAGGGCAACUAAUCAGCGUCGCCCAUCGCUGGCGAAGAAGGCGGCGGCAGCGGCGGCGGCGGCGGCAGGUCGUGAGCUCGACGGGGCGAUGCCGGUGACGUGCAACUACAUCGACGCCUGGUUCCUGCUACGACAUAAACUAGUUGCUUGCGACUGUGUCGGUUGUCGUACACAGCCUGGGAGCGGCAAGAGGAUUUGCUGGACGCCCAUCGGCUUUGAAGAACAUGCAGGUCAGAGGCUGCUCGGAUAUGGCGAACUGUGUACGGCAUGUGUACGGCAAUACCUGUGGGCAUAGGGUACCGCGGAGCGACACAUACCAGAUACUCCUAGAUCUUAUAUACACAGAAUUGAUAAGCCAAAACUUAAAAUUGAAUGAAUAUUAUGUUGUGUUGUAUGUUGUGUGUAAGGUUUCGAUCAUUUAAAUAUUAUUGGUUGUUACAGAGUGGGAGGUAAAACUUUCUGGGGCGAUUGCGCACGUUGGAUAUAUUGAAGGUUUGAACACCACAGAGCGCCAUACACCAUAGCCACAACGAAUGUACUGCGUCGUACAAACUGUGCAAGUCCAAGGCGGUUGAUUCUGCUUUCUAGAUGCCUUCUCGUCCAGUCACCCGAACAUGUGGGAUUGGGGAAUCUUCAUAUCUUCACCCCCGUGCCGCCCCUACCGGUGGAUCCUGCCAGUGGGACACCCUCGCCUAGUCACCCUAGUCAAAACUUCUCAGUGGAUCGCUCAGGUUUCGCACCCACCACCAGCAUCCACAGAUUAUGACAGGUUGUCGAUGGCUCAACCUAGGUGAUCGAAUGAAAAGAAGUAAUCAGAAAAUGAACUUAUGCACCAGCCGAGAAUCGAACUCGGGUCUGGUCCGUGGCAAGGACCUAUGCUACCACUAUACCACUGGUGCAAUCAACUGCAUAUCGUGUGUCAGAUGCAGAAUUCGCACUCCAUUGCACUUCAGUCAUUCAACUUCCCCCUUAAAAACCCCACACGACGAUGAUAACUGCAACAACUACAACUACCACAUCCACCACCUCAACCCGUGGAGGCAUGAGAGCCAGCAAGAAAUGGAAGAACAGUAUCCGGAUGAGGCCAGGGGCGGAAGUGGAGGUGGUUCCGGAGCCUGGCCACCUGGGGGCCGGCGGCGGCGGCGGCGGCGAACCGCUCGGCGAGUGGUUGGACCGCCGCGGCGUUGUGGUGCCACCCAGCAAGCAGCGCCGGCGGGUGAUGGAGGCAGCUGAGGUGGAGCGCUGCGUUCUGGUGGGCUAGCUAGCUAGGGCGUUGGUUUGGUUUGGGGGGUUGGGUUAGUUUGAGGGUUUAAGACUUGAAGGCAUAAUCGCUGUUAGGUAAGUAUGUAUGUCGGAGUUGGCGUAUUUUUCCUGUCCCGUUUUUCCCUUACCUGGAUCUUCGUUCUGGAUCUUCUCCCUCGUACACAGCCCUCUUUCCACCACCUUCCUGACAUGACACAAUUUAUUUCUUCAUGUUGCUUUUGGUUGGCCUUUUAAGACUCACCCCUCCACGCCGCCUUGGGAAACACCCCAACCACCGCAACGACCCCAACCACCGCAACGGCCCCAACCACCGCAACGACCCCAACCACCGCAACGACCCUGCUCCAGGCUCCCAUCACGGGGGUCAGCAAGGUGUCGGCGGCCGUGGCGGCGCCGCCAGACACCACCGCCGCCGCGGCCGCCGCCGCCGCCGCUGCCAGGUUGGCCGCAGGCUCCAUUCGUCCAGCCAGCAACAUCAUUGCCGCUACAAGAAAGCCGGCGACGGCGGCGGAUACAGCUGCCGUACCACGGAAGCGAGGUCGAGACGUGGCGGCGGGAACGCCGCCGCGGCCACCGCCGUCACUGCCGGCGUCGGGAAUGGAAGGUGGGGCUGGCGGCUUCGGCAGCGUGCCUCCGCCACCGCCAGCCGUAAAGCGGAAUAAGUUUGAUGCGGCAACACAACCUCGUGCCAGCGGCGGCGGCNNNNNNNNNNNNNNNNNNNNNNNNNNNNNNNNNNNNNNNNNNNNNNNNNNCCGCCACCCCCGAGCACCAGAGCUGCGGCGAGACGGCGAUUGCCUUGGACCUGGAGGCCGACGACGUGGAUGUUGCCCCCGCCGCCGCCGCCGCCGCCGCCGCUGCCGCCGCCUCCGGCGGCACCGCGGCAGCCACCGCCGCCGCCGCCAACUACGGCGGGGAGGUCGUCAUCCGCGGCCCCGGAUACAAUGUGAGCGGGAGCGGGCCCAAGAACCCCUGGUACCCGAUAUCAAAAAGCGUGUUGUUUUACUUCGCUCAAAACCGACGCGGAGAUCUUCCUUCUUCCCUGAAAGCCUACAGGGCCAAUCUAUACGCUCCAAACUUUUGAAUACUUGUCGUAACGAAGACCUGUAAAUCUGAAAUUGUACGGUGUUCGUUCUAUUCCGCAGUCGUAGAAUUCUAAUGGAAAGCCGUCCUUGUUGCAAGAAGACAUUUUUUUUUCUUGAAAACAUUUUUUUGUUUUUGUCACAAAACUUGAUUUUGUUUCUUGUCCUGUUUCUUGCCCUCUUUCGCCGCGGCCCCCGGGGACCGCAGGUCCUCCGCUGCAGUGAUCCCCCCGGCUUUGAGGUGUUUUGCCUGGUGGCUGGGUACCUGGUAAGGAAGCCGUAAACGGAGGAGGAAUCAGGCGCUUAUUGUUAUGAUUUUCAAAAGUCAUGUGAGAUACAAGAUGAAAGGAAAAAAUGAGACAGAAGUCUGACGUUGCAUACCCUGUUCGAUUCCCGUGCAGAGCAAAGGGUCUCUGCUGGACAACAAAACCUUUUAAUCCUUGAAUAAAUCCAAUAGAGAUCCGAAACUAUCCUUAGCGCUGACGCCUCUCCCAACAGUGUCGCUUCACGGCAGGUUGUCAAGACAUUUUAGCGUCACGUUCAUUUUACCGUCUUUCCUACUUGUCUUAGUUGAUAUCAGUAUGAAUAUGAGUCUGCCGUACGCACGUGUUUUGUCGAUGCUACAGUCGUAUGACGCGACAAGCAUAUGUGACUCGCCCUCCCCGCCCUCGCCACCACUGUUCGACAGCUCGAGGAGGUUUCCGUACGAGCAUACGACUACGGCAAGGUCAUCAUUCAAGCGCAGCCGCGAAACUCCGAGCGUGCGGCCUUGUGGGGAAUAUCACCGCUGCGUCAUGUCGUACAACUGCCGGGUGCCGUACACGCAGAGAGCGCCCAGGCCCUCAUGACUUUACACGGCCAAUUGUACGUCAGAAUAAAUGCUCAAUAAUAAGACAGGCAAAGAUACGGCACGUCGGUUGCGAUAUCGAAAGUAAUAAUGAAAUGUGAAAGGGGGACGUCAGUAAAGCCAAGAAGUGAAGGUACUUGGGGCCCAGCUCCGGGCAACCCACCCAGCUCCGGGCGGAUCAACAGCAUUGUCUGAUGCAAUGUCAGGAGGUUUCUGCCCACCCCGAUAUGUAUUUGUGUAUGUGCAUUUGUAUGUAUAUGUGUACGUGUGUGAAGAUCUGUCGAAGCCAGCCGCGGGUGAGCGUGAGGUAGUGAAAGUGGCCUCGGGGGAUAUCCUCGCUUAGCCAUGUCCUGUCAAUCCACAGAGCUUUCAUAGCUAGCAGAGCGGGAGGGCAGGAGGGCAGGAGGAGGGCAGGAGGGCAGGAGGGCAGGAGGGCAGGAGGAGGGCAGGAGGGCAGGAGGGCAGGAGGGCAGGAGGAGGGCAGGAGGGCAGGAGGGCAGGAGGGCAGGAGGGCAGGAGGAGGGCAGGAGGGCAGGAGGGCAGGAGGAGGGCAGGAGGGCAGGAGGGCAGGAGGAGGGCAGGAGGGCAGGAGGGCAGGAGGGCAGGAGGAGGGCAGGAGGGCAGAAUGCUGAGAUGGUUCGUCGCAGUUGGCAAGGAGCAUCGGGAGAUGAAUGCGCCGUCACCAGCAACAGCAGGGGUAGCAACAACAGUGAAACCGGCGCUGCAUUACUUCGCCGUGCACUUCAUGUUUGUGUGGUCCGGGUGCGGGCUAGGUAGGGGCCCUACUAAACCCUAAAACCCUAAAACCCUAAAACCCUAAAACCCUACAGUAGGAUCCAUGGUCCAUGUAAUAAGGAGCGUGAGAAGCGGAGGAUAUCUGGGCCCUGUGUCGACGGGGUCCUGCUACCUACUCCGUCAGCGGUACAACACAGCCAAAUCAAUAAAAUGGCCGUAUACCUGUGGGCAUGUAGGACUCCGGGCUUUUUGAACUCCUUUUUGGACUCGGAAUCCAGAAUUAACGAAAACUGCUGCAUAUCAUUCAGAGAUGGAAAGGAAACAAACUGGGAUUUCCUUUUUGGUAAUGGUGAGUGAAUAUAGCGGGAAUACAGCCAUCCUUGAAAAUCCUCCCUUGGAGAAUUGAAAUCUUAGAAGAACCUUCAAGGGCUGGUGGAACUCUGUUAUGAGCAUUCCGUUACUUACUGAAUGACGUAGUAUACUUAUUACUACUACUUGUAACGCAUAGGCGGAACAACUCCUGCCGUACUAUCGUACAGUCGUACCCAAUCAGGGGUAUAUCCUUCCUCCGGUUACUUCCGUCUAGGCGGACAUUUGGUUGUCAGUCAAAAACCAACUAGCUGUUAUACAAUCUGUUAUAAACGUUUCCGCUUUAUUAAUACUCGCAUUUCAUCCUACUCCUCGUUACAAACUCGACCAUAACAAUAACUGCUGCUUCACUUUAUGAACCUGAUAUGUACUACCUGUGUGCACGUGGGCACCGCCCCACGAUAUCCAUUUGGCGCGCGCCAUAUCGCGGGGAAGUGUGAUGUGGGUCCCAUAUGGGUUCAAAGGAGUUCACCUUCGUACGUACGUUGCCCUGGCCAACACACCAUGACAGCAUCAGCACCCGGUAGUCGCUCGGUAGGUCGACCCCCACUGCGGCCACAGACAGCAAAACACACAGGGUGUGGGUGUGGGUGUGGGUGUGGGUGUGGGUGUGGGUGUGGGUGUGGGUGUGGGUAGGGGUCAGCGCGUUUGGGCUAGUGUCCGUUUUGGUACUGUGUGUAGUGUAAUGGCAUCAGUUUGCCUUCGGGUUGAAGUUGUGCGCAGUGUGCUGAUUGUGUAUAGUUGCUCGGUUUCUGUGUUUUUGUACUGAGGGCUUUUAGUCGUUGCUCUUGGUAUUAUUGGGUGCCUACAUGUAUCGCCGGUUACUUAGUCCGGACGAGGUACGAGUCGUGCGCCACUUUUAGGCCGGUUUUCAAUGCGGGGAAGGUUUUUGCCUUGUCUCCGGUUUCCCUCUUCCCUUCCCCUCGUUCGCCUGGUACCGAUUUCGUUAAGGGGUUCGGAGAGGCUUUGGCCGUUUAGUGCUUUCCCUUCGCACCACGGACGGUGCUCAUUCCGAAAAAGGGGGAUAUGUAAUUUUUCGAAGUUAGUUGGCGAACUUACGGGACUCGUGUUAGGUCUUGUCUUAACUUCGGAGCUAGCGGAGCUAGGACUACGGCGUGUGAUGUUGAUGAUCGCAAGCUUGACCAUAUGUGUAACGCCGCUAAGGCGGCCCUUGGCUCACCGGGCCAACGGUCAUCGUCCCAAGCAGGCAUAGCUAUUAACAUUGAAAGCCUAAGUUGAUUUAGAAAAUCCCGAUUCUCUUGGCUUACGCCAGUCUCUCGGCAAGUAAAGUCAGCUUACGCUUCCCAAUUGUUUAGGAGCGGUCCGGUUCCUUUUCACAACUUGCCGCCUAUACAAACGUUAUAACACAGGAGGUGCGGUUUAGACAUAAGGGCUUCGCCUGUUUAGAGAUGUACCGAGCCCUAAACUGCAAUUGUGAUGAAGGCUUAACCGAGCGUAGCUUAUCAAAUAUAUAACAUGGCUUCAUUUGUGCGUCCUCUCAAUCAUGCUUGCGUCAUGAUUUACUCGCCAUAUAUAUGGCAGUGGUGAAGGUAAAAUUGUAUGACAAAUUCGUCUCAUAAGAACCAUGGAAAAGGCAAGCGCGGUAAGAAAAACAUUAUGCUCGCCGGAUUGAGCCGAAGAAUCACCAUCCACGCGGAUAUAAUUUGUGAAUGAUCGACAUGAAGAAUGCGGCCCAUGGACGGGCCCUCCCGGGCGCCACGGCCAGCAACAGACGAAAAAGGCUUGCACUCCAUGUCUGAAUUAAUGAAUUCGAAACAGUUCUUCCAAUUGCUUUGACAAAGCCUUCGCAAAAGAUUGAACCUGGCAAUGACUGAAGAUCGUAAAUACGUUUUGAGAUGGUCAUACCUAUUAUCUGAUACCUAUUUUCAGUACGAUAACUACAUUUUGCUAAGUGCUGCUGUGUAUCUGGCCAAGGCCUUUUCCAGUACGACUGAAAAGAUUACGCGCAGCCUCUCACCAAUGCCGUAAUGGCCAAGAGAAUUCACACCAAGAACCUCGUUUUUUGCAAGUUCAAGUGAAGAUGUUACAACAAUAUCAAAAAUGGACAAGUAGGGUGUCGGCUUCCUUGAAGCCAUGAAAAAGGCGGUGCCCACACUGAAUCCGUACAUCCAGGUUGAUUAGCUGCACGGACGGCAAAUCCUGAUGGGGAGUUCACCUCCCAACCCCCAACCCUCCCCCACAUCAUCCAUUGAAAACAUCCUCAGUCGGGGGAAAAGGGAGGAAGAAAGCCCAGCGCGAAAAGGAGCAAUUGCUACUGCUUGCAUUUGAACACGUACCUACCCCUUUCCCUUCCUUACACUCACUCAGAUGACUUCCUUAUGGGGGAGGGGAGAGUCCCACCCUGCUGCGGUCGGCAACGCAAGCACUGUAGCCCAUAACCUCCCACGACCUCCUUGACCCUCAGUUAGCAGGGAGGGAGGCGAUUGAAUCGCGCGAUGGGGUCGGAUGCACAGCGGGCUGCGGCAAUUGCGAAGGGUCGCGAUGUGGGCGCACAUGGGCCACGGAAAGUGCAUUUAAUUAAUCAAGCGUUCCUUAGUAGACCACCUUCCGGGUGUGUUAUUCAUUUCAAAGUGCCGCCGGGUGGCGAAGGUGGGCGCCCCACAGCAGUCAGCAGACAGAAUUAUGUAGCUCAUGUUUCCCAAGGAAGGAAAAUCUAGAGUGUCGUUGGGGAAAUGUUAUCAUGUUUAUAAAUUAUGGUGGUAGUAGUAGUAGUACUAAUCGUAAAAAUAAUAAUAGGGGAAAUAAUAAAUAACAUAUUUUUUAAUUCAGGCCUUCCUUAAUUCAGGCUGGCUAUAGUACGCCUGAGUAGCCAGCCUGAAUAGACCUGAAUUAAGGAAGGCGUGCAUGUAUUACGGGGCGCCGGGGAUGGACAUGUUAUGGAUAUGUUCCCCUCUGCCCUUUAUGUGCACCUCCCUCCCGCCAUCGUCUUCGGUGGUGAGAUGGCUGUUCGUACUGUAAACGGCAUUGGCCGCCGCCGCCGCCACCACAGCAGCAGCAGCAGCAGCAGCGGUGAUAAUUCUGCGCUGGCUGGCAAAAACGACAUUCGCAGCUCCCUUGUGAAGGCUUGCAUGUGUGCGGAGGAGGACGAGGAGGCGGAGGAGGAACAGCAGGAGGAGGAGGAGCGAGGUCAGGGCCACCGGGAAGGGCGUGACUUCGAGGUGGAAGCGGAGGCGGCGGAUUCACCGAUGGCCGCGAGGGGAGUAUCGGCAUCCACGGCGAUAUUUGCAUGCUGCGUUGACGGCAAGCUUGCAGCUGCCUCUUCAGCGGCUAUAAAGUACGGCCACAUGCAGAUGGUGCGCCGCCGCAGCCGCCGCAGCCGCCAGGGCGGAAGCAGCCGUGGAAGUUGCAACCGCGGCUUGUGAGGUCGAUGCACGUGUUGUGCAACUAUGCCCAUGUUUGAUUCCUGUUGCGGCACUUUAGUCGGUGACUUGUGACUGUGUCGGCUAUGUGAAUCAGCCGGCGAGCAGCAACAGGGUUUAUCGGGAACCCGCGUCUGGGACGGCUCAUGAGCAGGGGGCUCACGAUGCUGGCCGGGCUGCUGGCUGCCGAUACAAGUCCACGGUUCAAGGUUUUUCCAAAAGCAGGUUCCGUACAAGUGCGGUGGCGAGAUAUCCAUAAGAGCCCGUUGGUCCAUAAGCCCAUGGGUCGGUCUGGGUCGGUCUGACUCGGUCUGGGUCGGUCUGACUCGGUCUGUGUCGGUGUGGGUCGGUGUGGGUCGGUGUGGGUCGGUGUGGUUCGGUGUGGUUCGGCUUAGCCGGUCUCUUGUGGGUCAGUGGCUCGGUGGGUCAAGGUUGAGUACCGUACAUACCCAUUGCAGUUUAUUCAUCCAGCCCCAUCCCCUCGAGACCUCUCACUUUUUGACUUUUUCUCCUCCCCCUGUAGCUAGGGUAUGUGCGGCCAUGCGGGCAUUACAAAAACAUGAUAUGUAGCCAAACGAGCGCUACUGCGCACAUGGACGACAUGGGACUGAGACGACAAGGGAAAAACGUGUGUGAGAGAGACGGACGUCAUUGGUCAACCGCAAAACAAGCGGCUGCAGGAAGAGUGUGAACCUGUAAAUGCUUUGUGGAGUUCAGUCACCUCUUAAGUUCCAAGUAUGUCAUUCGAGGGGGAUUAGGAGGUUGUGCGGUUGUGAUCGAAAAAGUCACCGGAUCCGUUCGGGUUCACCAAUUACAACGGUUCUAUGCGGCUUAUAUAGCACAGUGGCAGCAGCAGCAGCAGCAGCAGCGCGCGCGGUAACAUUUUAGAUCCAGGAGGGAGGGUAUUUCAUAAGGGCUGUUGUUUGCUGCAAUGUACGGAAAUGUAGUACGGGUGCCAGCCUCUGCGGAACCGACCCAUUCCCAGCGCAUCCUAGACUUAUAGCGAAGGUGUUCGUGCCUAUUAUUUGUGCGUCAUGCAAUGCAACAUGCACGAGAGUAUUUGCGUCGCAUUUCGGCCGCAAUGGCACCCUGGAACCCAAGGAUACGCCAAUGGAUGGGCGUAUGUAUGUAUGUAUGUAUGUAUGUAUCUCGGUCGAAAAACGCAAAUGUGACACCAAGGGGUGAAGGAAACCCCGCCGUCUGCCUUGUAAUUCUUGUAAUACAAAGUGUAGGCCUGUUUCGUUUCCUUCGUUUCUUAGUUUAUCAGUUUACUUUGAAAUAUAUUUAUUUUGACUGUCUGGUGUCAUGACGGGUGAAACUUUCGUACAGGGGCACCGAACAGUUUAGCGGCUAGCUAAGCUCUUGAGGUUGACCGCAGGCUCAGGUGCCAUGCGGGGUCUUUUUUCCCGCACCUUGAUUGGGCUGACCAUUCCUUUUCUAGGCAGUAGAAGUGGAAAGAGCUAAACCCGAGGUGAUCGGCAGAGGAAAGGACGAUUCGCAGCUGGAUGGGGAAAAGUGGUUCGAUGCCUUGGCAGGUAGUUUUUCGCUGUGAUGCGGUUGGCAUUUGGGCAACAGGUGGGAAUGGUCUGGUAAUAGGUCGUCCGCCGGUUACGCGAGGGACUGGGCAAACUGGUGCAAAGACAUCGUGUCGUGUCGGGCUUUCUUACGUGAUGUACUGUUUCCACCUAGCUUUGGAAGGGUUUGCGGCGCCAUUUCUCUGCGCCGGUUGGGUUUUACAGAGCCAUUAGGAUAGGUAAUCUCAAAUUUUACCCUCUGAAUACAUGAUAGCUGUACAAUUUAUACGCUAUAAUGGGGCCAUGGUCAAAGUUCUCGCGAACAGAAAGACUUUGGUCCGGAACCCCAAGGUGUACUGAAGGUUGGGCGGUUGACAAGAAACACCGGAACUGGAGCAUCCUCGGAGCUACGAGCUCGGCCAUGAGAUCGGCCACUAGCUUGGCCAUGAGCUCGUUCUGCCCGUUGCCAUGUCAACAGAAGAAUGUGCUGGCCUGGGCUUUAACAUUUGCUGGGCAAUUUCAUGACAGGCUUCUGAAACUAAUAGGUUAUAUUCCCUCUUCUACGUCUCAGCGCGUGCACGUGCGCCUGAAGAAUGCCGGUCUCUACUGUUUACGUGAGGCACGCGCGUAGGGAGAAGACGGCGCGUUCCUAUAGUGUGUUGUGUGUCAAUAUCGCGCGUCAACAACACCUUUCCAGUAGAGAAUCCACACACAAAAACAUCGUAGCAUGACACGAACUGCAAGGAACUGAUGUUGCCGUAUAUAACGGUCUUCCCCGGUGUGUCCUCAUUGAGUAUCGUUCCAAACACUUGGCCUAUAGAAUCUGAAUAAUCUUGCAUGUAGCCAUGGGCACAGCUGAGUAGCGAAGGAUUAUGUUAACAGCGAUUACGUACUUCUAUUUGUAAGCGGUGUACACACGCCAUCCUAACGCGAACACGCAAUUGAGCUAUAUGGAGUAUGGGUAUAGGCUUGACAUCUUAUUUGGGCUUCAACAUGAGUGUUCUCCUAAAUCUUAAGCUGACAAGAAUAUGUUUUUUGAGGACCUGCAGCUGAACCUUUUUCACGAUGCAACAGUUUGCUACCAUGAAAAUAUAAACUUUACGUGGUGGAUUUCCCCCUCUAAUCGACCGUCGAGGUGAGGUAACCAUUUACUUGGACCUUUUACUCCUCGUCGGACGCGCACAGCUUGAUGACUGUGCUGACCAAGGCAGGAAAAGACAUACCAAUUGCGAUAAUUUAUUUUUGUAAACCUGACAAGGCUAUAUCUUGCGUCAUGAAUUCGGCGCUUGUAGUGCUUUGUCACAUUACCCGUUCCUGACAAAGAAUGCGUUCUUUGCGUCACGAUCCCCUUGUCAGGUUUUGAAGCCUCUACUGGUAUGGCGCCCUCGGGCGCCGGGCUCUAUCCUGUGGGCUGCUUGCUCCUUUGGUUGCUUGCAGUCCCGCGUUGGGCUCGCGCCGAAGCCAACGUGACUGCACCAGCCGAUACUGGGUGCAUCAGUAUAGACAAUGAUAUUGCAGAAGCAAUCAAUUCCUCAAUGUCGCAGCCGAACGUCACCCUGGGACCCGGCUGCCACAUCCUCACGCACAACUUUGCAUGCACGCCAAUCCAAAACUCGUUGGUCAUAACCGGCGCUGGAGCAAACGCUAGCAGCUGGGACACGGACUUCGGCUUGUACCAGUUUUCUGUGGAGCCUGGUGAGCAUUGCUGACCGGGGGGAAGCUGGUGUCCGCGGCUCCCUGGGCCUCCCUGGGCCUCUGUCUACAUCGCUCUCUCUACACGAACCUGCUGCCUUGGGGGGUAACUCCACAAUCCCCGUUUCCCCGCAUUCCACACGUUCUUCUGUCCCACUGUGCGUCCCACUGCCACGGCUCACCUCUCCUUUACCCCUCCCCGCCACAUUGCACAUCCAGAUCAUAUACCACAUCAUAUACCACAUCAUAUACCACAUCAUAUCCGUCCUCCCCCCCGUUGCCCUGCCCUUUACGGCCCGUGUGGAAUUCAUUCCUGACGCCUGGAGCCUUGCAACCCCUGGCCCCCGGUCCCCUCUCCAACAGGAGUGGUGGUUACUCUCAAGGACUUGGUUUUGGAGCGUGCGCUGGUGUUCACAGCCGUAGACACGGACCUACAACCCAUUGCCAGAGAUGCCGAGCUGGCACUGCAGCCAUCCAUAUUCCACAUGCGGCAAGGGAGCCGCUUGGUGCUGCAGAAUGUCACUGUGCAGACGCGGUGCUCCACGCUGACUUACUAUUGGAAUCGGGUGCCCGGGUUUCAGGUAAGGUUGAUAAUAAAAAUACUCGCACACCCCGCCCAGGUAGAGACACCAGAAGGGGCUUUUGUACAACGUUUGGUUUUGAGAACGGUAUUUUCCGCGUUUUUUUCUGAUCUGGGUUUCGGAGCCAUCAGCCCCUGGGAGGAUGCGUGACCCAGGUCCCGCGUUGGUGGACAACCCAGAUGGGUUUCGGAGAGCCAACGACAGGUUCUUGUGGAUGAUCAGGCGGAUCGCAGCAUCGUGCCCCUCCGGAAAAGAGCUCUAGCCGCAGCGGUGCGCGUUGGUCUGCUUUCGGACUGGAUGCGUAGGCAUGGAAAGUCAUCCAUCCAUCCAUCCAUUCCUCUCUCCUGGCUUGGUGUGCCUGCCAAUGCGCAGUGGGGUUUCCUAUCUUUCAUUGCAUUUCACCCCCGGGGUGGGGGAGGACUGCGAGUCGCGGGCUUUUCCACACCGCCCCUAUUGAAGACAUGCGUCCCGUAACACGUCCUCCUGUUGUUGCUGCUCCUGUUGCUGCUGCUGCUGCUAUUGCUUCUGUGCUUCCUUUGCCCCGCAGCAUUCUUCAGCUCAACUCAUGCCGCCGUUGAUGUUCGCUAACGCCACCCAUGGCGCUGUGACGUUGCACAACGUCUCAGUCCGGUGCGACCAGGGCCUGGAACCCUCUGGUCCUGUGGAGCUCUUCGUGCACACCGCCCCAAUGCUACGGGCUUUCAUGGCCGCUGCCAGCGCGCUCUCCAUUAGCACCACAAUCAACAUCAUGGAGAAUCUGACGCUGCCGUAUGUGCCGUGGCCGCCAAGCAAUGCGGAACCUGCGGAUCAGCGGGAUGGGUUGGCGACGGCGGACACGUUCAUCGUCGGCAGGGAGCCAGGCGCGGAAUUAGGCAAGAUUACUUAUGUAGACGCCAACUUCACGGCUGCGUGGCUAACGGUGCAGAGCCCCGCGCGUCUGACGCUGCGACGGCUCUUGCUCACACGGCUUUACACGACGGUCGUGACACCCGGAGGCGGCAAGGGAUUGUUGGCGGGUGCGCUGCCGCUUCCGAUGGUUCAGGUCACUGGCACGCCCGCGCAGCCGUCAAGGUAUUUCGAGGAUGUAACGCUUGUCGUACCGCAGUACGAAGUUACGGAAAUGACGUACUGGUGCAUCAUGAUCAAUGUGGGCACUCCGGAGGUUAAAGGUGUUGCGGAUUUUCUUCGACCGUACGUUUGGCCCACCGAGUUUGACGUGUUGGGUUCAACACAGCUGUACUUGAAACGCUUGAGGACCGCAUCCAGUAUGUUCACCCGGGUGAUGCUUACGAGCCAACCUCCCGCCGGCGUCCCAUUCGAAGACUCGGAGCCGCCGGCAACCGUUGCGUCGUACCAGCAUGUCCAACCGCCGUUGUACAUCGUCACCAAGGGCAAUGACUGGGCGGAUGCAGUGGCACCUGUUCUUCCGCAGGAUACGGGGUCAACGGCAGGUGGCUUGGCGGCGGCGGCGUCGUACGACGCCGCCAGCGGCGGCAGCAGCAGCAGCAGCUCGCCUUCUUUACCAGUGCUGGUGCUUGUGAACGGCACGGUGACGUUAACUCCGUCGGACGUGCAGGUGUCACGGUACGGCGGCGGUGCCCGUGUCGUACGGCGCAGCGUAGUGGUGGCGUCGAUGCGACAGGGGUGCGGCGGCGGGGGCGGCACAGAUGCCGCCGCCUGUCCGCCUGCAGUUCUGGACUUGGCUGGUAUCACGGAUGCCAUGCGGCUGUCGGGUCUCACCACCACCGUGGUUUUCAUGGGUGUCACAUUGCGCAAUGUCUCCUCCGCGUUGAUUGAACAGACGCUGGGUGCGAAGAACGCGGACCUGGGCUCCAUUGGAGGCUUUUUCAUCUUCAACAGGUUUGAGCGGGAUUCGAACGGGGGAUUGGUGGCCCUGGGCGAUGGGUUGUGUUGUUUCGUGUUCCCGUCGUGUGUGUACGCGGUGCCGUCCAUCUCCAUCCUGUGCCUUCUUGCCAUUCCUCGAUUUAUACCUCAAAACGGCGCAGGAAAAACAAUUUAGCGGAAUAAGCAGAAAGACGUUUCUUACGUUCCUUGCGAAUACAUACGUACUUGUGACGGACAUUUCCUUCAGAGCAGAGAACGCGUAAAAAUACGUAAAGAGAGUAAAUGGAAAUGGGAAGUGUUGCAUCUUGAAUGGAUGGCCUGUACUUCUUGUUGAUGGGGUGUUACACUGUGGGCGGCUCGUCCCCUCUUGUUGUUGUUGUUGUUGUUGUUGUUGCUGUUACAGCGGUGGGCUACCCAGCUUCUAUGUCUGGGAGCAAAGAAGCCAAGAGCCAAAGGGCACAUCGCCUGACGCUGCCGCUACUUGUGUUGUGUGCGCAGGUCAACGGUACGGCUGUCCUUUGAGUCCGUCACAGUGGAGCUGAAAGCGAGUGCCUUUGCCAUCCUGCUCAGAGUCGCAAAACAGAAUCCGCUUGGCGGCAGCACCGGUGCGGGGGCGCUGGUUUUUGCGAGGGGAGGGGAGGGGAGAAAAUCUUCUGCAAGGAUUUGCAUUUGGAUUUGCAUUGUUCUUCCUCCGCCAUCCCAUUUUUUACACGCGCCCUCACCCCAGCUUGCCAUGCCACGGGAGUGGAGUAUCGCGGCUGCAGCCGUGCACGCGCACGGUCACCUCGUCUUUGUCUCUAAUUCCUAUGACCCAUCGCCUGCAAAGCUCCUUUGCACUUCUGGGCGGUAUCCACGCGCCCAUUAUGGUGGAUUUACGAAAGGAAAAUCACCAUAAAUGGAUAAAUUUUAGAUAAUAAUACUACAAUAAUAAUAAAAAUAAAUAACAAAAAAUAAAAGUUUAUUCGUACUUGUUGAAUUCGUACGAUGAAUGAUGUCUCAAUGCACUGUCCAACUUCGGGUCUUUAAUAAAAUAUACGAAAUGCAGGUGACCUCGUCGUGAUAGACGCCACUGACAGCCUCAUACAGCUGGCGAGCUUCCAAUUCGGGGGAGUGCGCGGGAGCUUUGUGAACUUCACGAAUGCGGGCGGCCGCGCUCCAGGACCGACCGCGCUCGUACAGUCCGCCGCCCCCGGAGGCGGCGGCGGUAGCGCCGCAAGUGGUGCCGUACCAGUUAUAGUGGGCGCCGUCGUCGGGGGCAGCUGCGCGCUGCUUUUGGCUGCAGGCGUCGUGACGUGGCUCGCGCGGGCCCGGCGGCGGCGAGCUGAGUCGGGCGAUUUGCCUUCGGCGGGGGAGGGCAGCGCAGAUGGCAAGCACGGCGAUUCUCGUACUGCUAGCAAGUCGGCGGCAGCCGACGUGUCCUUAGAAGGCAGCGGGGCGAGUACUUGCAACGUGUACGGCAGCACUCAUCAUGUACGGACAGGAGAGGGGAACGGGAGCGGCGGCGGAGCCACCGCUGCCGCUGCAGCCGCAGUGGCGCAUGCCGCGGCCGUGGCGGCGGAGGAAGAAGCGUCUGCCGUUCGGCCGGGCCCUUGCAGCCAUAGCAAAGCCUGCGAGGAGGGGAGUCCGCAAUGUACGACUUGUACGGCUAGCGACCUUAACAGCAGUGAAACGACGACGACGCCGCUGAUGGGAGUGAUGUCGCAGUUGGCGCCGGCGUUGCCAGUGCCGCCGUUGCCGCUGGCUAUGGGUGGCACUUCUGCGCAGAUGCAGCGCCACGUCUUCUCCGUGUCUCGAUCGGAGUCUGCAGGGGAGGUGGCAGCGGGAAGAGCUAGCAUGGAUAUCAGUAUCGUAAGAGGCGACGACGGAAGCGCCUGCUCUACGUCAGCGAGCGGCGUCGGACGGCGCCUUCUCUUAGAUGCACCCGGAAGCGGCGAAGUCGCGGCAGGGGCGAUUGCGGCGGCGGGUGCAGUCACCACGCGAUGUGGCUCCAGGCUGCUGCCCAACCUGUUAGACUCGGCACCGGAGGCAAGCGGCCGCGGUAGCAUUGGCAGCGGUGGCGGCGGAAGCGGCGCCUCGGCGCGCCGAAUAAUCUGGACGCCGUCGGGCGGGAGAUCGCACUUGUACGGCAUGGGGGAGGCAGGACGGUCGGCGUCGGGGUUGCGAGUACGAGCAGCGCUAGGUCGGUCGCCGUCAAGGCCGGCGCGUUCCGUCACCAGCAGCAGUGCCAGCGGGCCGUCCGCUACACUGCCGGCGCCUCAGCCCGCCAUGCUUGUGGCGCCGCCGUCGCCGAGUACGACAGCGCCGCCGUCGAUUGCAACGGCCCCGGUGGCUUCGGGCAGCUCGACGCGGUACCACGCCCACAGUCACUACUUACGGUCGCAACAGGGUAAUGCGGUCCAGCGGCGGGAGGGCUCGACACCGACGCUUGUCGGCGGCGGCGGCAGCGUCGUCGGUGUGUCGGGUUGCGGGGAGCCUGGCGCCGGCGAAGGUACGGCAUCGCACUCGACGCAGCUCAUGGCGACUGGCGGGACGCUUGACCCGCUGCUGGGUCAAACCUUGGACGCGGAAUGUGUCUCGCCUGGGCUCUCAAUGUCGAUCUCGAAGGUUCCGGAGCCGGCAAGUGAGGUACAGCGACUGAUUCAGGAGCUGACCAUGCACGGCACGGAUCAGCUGGUUAUUUUGGAGCCGAUAGGCCAAGGCGGUUACGGCAUGGUGUACAGAGGUACGGCAUUGGAUCCGUACGACAAUAAUUUUACGCAGGGACAGUGCUUUUGGAAUGAAUGAAAAUCUGUGUGCGCCAGCUUUUCGGGCGAAUAAACUGAAAGGUACUUUUCUAAAUACCUUACUAUCUGGGACUUGCACUAGUACUAACCUGGUGCGAAAGGCCAAAUUUGUGAGGACUUGUAUCGCAUGGGGUUGCGCACGCCGGCUUUUCAUCUUGGGCUCACAUCCGUGCUGUGUGUGUUUUCCUUUUCCGUACACCACCCCACCACCAAGCAUGGGCCACAUUUCCUCAUCACGGCUCAGAGAUCGUCAAAACCACUUUGCCGUACAUUUGCACAGGCGUCUGGCGCAAUCUGGACGUGGCCGUGAAGACGAUCUUGUUCCAGAACCGAGCCCACAUGACCCAGCCGCAGCUUUGUUGCCCGCUACCCACGUGCAAUCCCAGCACCGGCCAAACGGUGCAAACGUCGGUCAUCCAGGAAGCGGAGGAGGGCGGUCAAAAGGUUGGUGUCGAUAUAUGGGCUCCGGUUUGUGGCAUCGCUUUGUGCACGUGUCCUUUCCGCCGCCCCGCAAAAAAGCCGUUGCCGCCCCGUUUGCCGCCUCCGCAAAGCGCCUCCGCGGUUGGUGUCUGUCCUUACACAUCCAAAACGCUUUGACGUCCACCAUUUCGAUGUCAAUAUGUCAACAUGGCUCCGGAGUCCUCGUUUCCACCAGACGUGUGCGGCCCCACCAGCGCAGCCCUUUUUGUACUCAUUCCUCCUCCACCUCCCCCUCCUAGCUCGCCCGCGCCUCUUCCCUUCCCCACCAUGCCCUGGCCUUCCUUAGUCCAAUCCCGGAGUAUCCGUGUCUAUAUCCGGUAUCUGCUUCACUCGUUUUCCGUGGUUCGUCUUGCCCACCUCCCUUAGGCGUGCUUCUGCUCACAGCCCGGGAGUAUCCACCUCAUCCCCUCGCACACGUCCCCCCCGACGGCGCCCAUGGCGCCCACGAGCGGCGCCUCGGCGGCGAACUGGGCGGGGACGCCGGCGGCGACCGGAACAGCCGCCGGGCUCGGGCUCGGGCUCGGGGCUGCAGCCGCUGGUGGCGGUGGUGGCGGUGGUGGUAGGGAUGUUCACGCUAGCGGAGGUGGAGGCGGAGGCAGCACUCAUAAUUGGACAGUUGCCAGUCAGCAGGCGGCCAACAGCGGCAGCCUGCCUAGUGUGAGCGUGGCGGGUGAGUGAGUGCAAGACACCUCCAUAUUCCGCUGCAUAGCAUGGUGUGAAUUGUUUUAUAUGUUUACACACAAUAUGUAAAGCGAGGCGCCGCGCCGCCGCCGCCGCCGCCGCCGCCGGCCCCCGUUUUGUUGUCAUCAGAGUCAUGCAGGGAGCCCGGGCAAUCAAAAUUUGGCUCAUGUUGGUUUCGGAGCCCUCGUCGGUGUCGGUGUGUGUGUGUUCGUGUUUCUUCCGGGAUCCGGGGACGGGCAGGCGACUAACGUCUAACCGCCUCCCAACGGCCUCAUGGUUUUAGGAUCUUCUAAGUUUCCAUGGCGGCUUUUAUGCUGCCGUGGCACGUUGAGUAGUACCAAGGCUUUAAACACGGGGGUGCUUUCGGGUAUAUCGGACAUGCGGGUGAACACUAGGCAUCGUCCCCCGUAUCUUUGGGUACGCUGAUCAUGCUUCGCAUUUGCAUGGCAAGAAUCGCAGAAUAAGGUUCGCAGGUUGCUGCUCGACUCCUCCAGUUGCGCUCGCAUCCAUCAUCUUCCCUCAGUGGAAUCUGUUAACUGUUAACGAGUCCUAGUCCUAGUCCUAGUCCUAGUCCUCGGCAUGUACAUGAAAAGCUCAGAGCAGCGCCCACAUACCCACGUGCGCGCGUGCGCGCGUGCUCUCCUCCACCCUCCACUCCCCUCCACUCCCCUCCACCCACGGACGUAUGCAGGAGGAACAGGAGGCCCCCUUGGCGUGGCGUCGCAGCAGCGCGCCGUGUUGGAGGCCGCCGUGAGCUGCUCCGUCACCCACCCGAAUGUGGUCGCCACGUACCACUAUGACAUCACGCCCGUACGACCAUCGGGAGUGGUGUGCUCGGGGGGGCUGCUGGUAAGCGACGGGAGCUAUCUGCGGGCUGCAGCAGCAGCAGCGGCGGCGGCGGCGGCGGCGGGGGGCGGCGGCGGCGGCCCCGCGGGUCUUCUUGGCGGACCCGGUCCGGCCGCGGUCAGCGACUGGAAACUCUACUUGGUGCAGGUGGGGUGGUGGUGGUGGUCUAGGAGCUUGGAGAUGUCUCUAUAUUGUUUAUGUGGACUAUAAUAUAGUCCACAUAAACAAUAUUGGACAAUACUUGGUGGGUGAUGUAGAUUUAGUUGGCGAUGUGCCGUGGUCCUGUGUUGUGUAGUGCAGCAGACGGUGCGUUUCCCGUCGCACAGCAGACGAGGAAACGUUUUGUAUUUCUUCCUUCUGCUGUUUAUCUGCUCUGUGUGUGUGUGUGUGUGAAGGGAGGGAGAGAGGAAAAAUGCGGGGGGCCCAUGUGAGUUGGUUUCGUGGGUACAGCAGCACUCUGAGACGUGUCUUCUAGCUUCCUUCCUUUCUUCGUCCUUCGUCCUUCGUCCUUCGUCCUCCAUUCAUUCGUCCUCCAUUCAUUCAUUCGUCCAUCCAUCCACCUCUCUCCUGCUGGCGCUCCGCCGCGCUCCUGCCGCCAACCCCCGCCCGCGGGGCCCCCCCCCCCCAGGAGUUCUGUGACGCGGGAUCGCUUGCCAACGCAUUGGACGCACGAGCCUUCCACGACCCGGCUGGGAUGCCUAACCUGGUGCGUAUGUAUGUAUGUAUGUAUGUAUGUUGUUUGUUUCGUUGUUCGUUUGGAUGCAUGCAUGCAUGCAUGCGUGCGUGGAUGCCCGUAAGUGCGAGGGCUUUUUACGGUUAGCCAACUUUGGGGCAGUUUUUUUCAAAAAAUGCAGUGGCCUCGCGGGCAGUGGCCGUUGCACAGCCGCCAUCUCACCCGCAAGUAGUAAACAGCCGCAAUAGUGCAGAUAUAUAUAUAUAUAUAUAUAUAUAUAUUAUAUAUAUAUUAUAUAUAUAUAUAUAUUAUAUAUAUAUAUAUAUAUUAUAUACCUCUAGUUUUUCCCCUUUGUGGAGUCUAUAUAUAUAUAUAAUAUAUAUAUAUAUAUACCUCUAGUUUUUCCCCUUUGUGGAGUCUAGGGGCUGCGGAGGAGUUAAGAGGAGUUUCCCUGCACGCAUCUGGUUCGCUCCUUUCCAUUCUCCAUUUCUUCCUGUCCAUGGUUUUGCCUAGUGCCUCCUCGUAUUUACCCGCACACAUGUACUCACACAUACAUACACAUACAUACACAUACAUACACAUACAUACACAUACAUACACAUACAUACACAUACAUACACAUACUCACACAUACAUACACAUACAUACACAUACAUACACACACACGCGCAACGCAGCACAACACAACACAACAAAACUCUUCGCCCCUCGCAGGCCCUUACCCUGUGCGCGCUGGCGGACAUUGCCCGCGGCAUGGCGCACAUACAUUCGCGAAGCAUCGUACACGGCGACCUCAACCCCACCAACAUUUUGCUGCGUUCGGUGAGCAGCAGUAACGGGGGCAUCGUGCCCAUGUGGAACCGCGUGGCGCUGGCGGGCGGCGGCGGCGCCGGCGGUGGCGGCGGCGGCAGCGGUGGCGGCAGCGGUAGUACGACACCCGGCGGGUCCAUUAGCGCCGCCGCGCAGCUGCGUCACGAGCUCGGCGUGACGUUGGUGGCCAAGGUGGCGGAUUUCGGGCUGUGCGGGAUGUUAGCACCGGGCAAGCGCCACGUCAGCAAUGCGUUGCGUGGGACACCGUUCUACACGGCGCCAGAGACGGUGGCGACUGGUGGGUUACUGUACGUGUACGUGUAGUGUACGUCGUGUGUGGGCGUGGGCGUGGGCACCACCACCGCCGGCGCUGCGUGGCAGGCAGGCACGCUCUUUAGUGAACUAGGGCGCGGGGAGGGGUGGGAUGGGGGAGGGUGCAGUGCCGGGGAACGUUGCCACGUGCCUCUGCCACUUCUGUCCAGUCUGUGUGGCCUUGCAAGUUCGCCAUCGGCGACCCAAUUAGCCUCUCAUCCCAAAGCUCCUUUCCAGGCGUUUCCAGACCUUUUGUUUUUUCCCUUGUCCGGGCAAAAUAAAAUGAGAAUUGACGCUUUGUUCGACCCCGGGUUCGAACCCUUGCACACGCAGGCACCAUGACCCUGGCCUCGGACGUGUAUUCCUUUGGCGUCAUCGCCUGGGAGGUCUACACGGGCCGGCCGCCCUUCCAGCACGUACCUGACCUGGGGUUCGUGCGGGACGAGAGCUUUCCGCGCCUGCCGCCGCACGUGCCCGCCACGUUUGCCAACAUGGCGCUUGCGUGCGUGAACUCGGACCCGGUCGCUCGACCCACUUUUGAUCAGGUGCGUGUGAACGUAUGUAUGUAUAUAAACAUAUGUGUGUAUGUAUAUGUAUGUAUAUAAACAUUAUAUAGACGCAUGUUUUCAAUAAACCUCCAUUUGUGUGUAACUGUGCUUUGUCUGCGGAAGCGGAAGGGGUCAGGGUGUGGGCCGUGUGUGUGUGUGUGUGUGUGUGUGUGUGUGUGUGUGUGUGUGUGUGUGUGUUGGGCGGCGGGUUGGGGUUGGUGUCGAGGGGUUCGGUACUGGGUAUACGGCGGCACAGGGGGAGAGUUCGGUCGCCCCUGAAACUGCUAUCUGAAACUGCAAUUUCUACACUGCUUAGGAAUUUAUCGAGAAGCCCUCCAAUGAUUUAAUUAACUGAAUACCGGUGAGCACCUGGGGUUUGCCGCCUGCUGGCACUGGUGUGGCCUUUGUUGGCGGUUGGCGGUUGGCAUAGGGGGGUGGUUAGAGGGACCGGGGGUCCGCCCUGGCCAGGGGGAGCCUCCCUCCUUCCGCCCCUCCCCUUCCUUCCUCUCUUUCCUUGGCAGCAGCUUCACUCGUUUUCGUGGUUCGUCUUUCCCCCCCUCCUGCCUUCCACCGCACCCCGGUAGUGGUCCUUUCUGCAUCCGUCGCCACCUCGCCAUCCCUACCUAAAACGUAGGGAGUCCCCCUGCCCUAAGCCCCUCCCCCCCAUUUCUCUCUCUUCCGCUGCCACACUGCUCCUUCCCGUCCCUGCUGCGCCAUGUCGAUCCAGAUCCUUGACCGCCUCAUGACUCUUCAGUCCAAACUCGCCGUCAGCCUCCAGCAGCGGCUGACACGCUUGAUGGCCGGUGGCGGGUCCCUUUUCGGGUGCGCCGCGUCACCGCUCGGACCUGGCACCGCCUCGUCAACCUCCCACGGCGCGGCCACGCCCGCAACCACCACAACCGUCACAACCACCACCGCAGGUCCCGGCGCCCAGUGUGUCUCCAUGCCACCGGAGUCAAUGUACUGCGGCGCCGGCAACCCGGGGUUGGGGGUAACGGGAAUAGGCCGGGGAAUUUUGGGAGCGGCGACUGCGGGUCCCUCGGCGGGGGGGAGAGGGGGAGGAUCGGACAGUCUGGGGCUUUCGGGAGCUGUCGGCGAUGUGCCGAAUUUUCCGUUGUCGACGCCCUGCGUGCUGUCGGCUGCCGCGUCGCAGGCUGUAGCAGCUGCCGGUGGCUCUGGGGGUGGACGGUGAUUGGCGGGGGGGGAUUGGGGCCUGACAGCCCUGCGGUGUACGUCCUGUGUUUUUUUUCCAUGAACUGGGCCCCCGCGAUGUACGUCUGCGAUGUACGUCUGUUUGUAUGUAUGUACGUGCGUGCGUGCGUGCGCGUGUGUGUAUGUCUGUUGCUGUGUAUGUGCUCGAUUAUGAUAACGAGUAUGAGAGGGUGAAGAGGAUGAUGACAGGAUAAGCUUCAAGGUAACGGAAAGAGGGUGGGUGAGGCGGAUGGGGAGGAGAAAGAGGAGGAGGGGAGGGCAGAGAGAGAAAUAUAUCUUGUGCUGUGCGGUGCGGUGCGGUGCGGUGCGGUGGAGGUGAGAGGGAGAGAGGGUGUGUGUUGUUGAAGGUAUUUAUUGAAGGAUUCCCCGGGCUUGUGGCAGUGCGUGUGGGUGCCUGGGAACGCAUGUGCACUCUUCGUCCGCAGACAGCCUGUCCUGCUACCGUACGGCGAUAGAGGAAAGAAAGAGAGAUCAGUGACGAAUGCGAGUGAUGAUGGGAUUUGUAACUGGAGGGGCAGUUGAGGUGGCGCACUUGAAAACGACUUUUGCGCAAUAACACGUAGUACACGUAACGUGGACGACGCUUACGUACGCAGUAUUGUACGGUGUCGUACGAUUAUAUACAUCAAUUUACUGAGUUGUCAUGGCUGCGGGUGUGUGGGGGGACGUGUGUACGGCGGUCGGUUUAUGGUUACAACACCACGAGGACGUCGUGUGCAUACGUGUACGACCGUUGUCGUACAAACCUUCCGUGUACGGCAGGAGGGUCUGUUGUCGCAUUGUCAAAUGCGGGAGGACAAGUAUAUCGAAUGAUGAAACGCGGAUGCGUUGUGUCUUAAAAAAGUGUUGUGUUCAAGAAAGAGUUGGCGGAGAGGUCGAUGAUGAUGAUGAAGGUGCUGGCUGCCUAGAUACACUGUGAUGUCAUCUUUUCGGGUAGUGGUAGCGGUACUGGUACUGGUACUGGUACUGGUACUGGUACUGGUACUGGUACUGGUACUGGUACUGGUACUGGUACUGGUACUGGUACUGGUACUGGUGGUGGUGGUGGUGGUGGUGGUGGUGAUGUCCCUCCAGCCGGACGUGGCGGAAAGGAAAUGAGAGAACGAUGAUGAUGACGCACGACGCGCGUGCCGAUAGUAAGUAGCUACGGUACUUCUGACGCCCCGGUACUUGGUGCCACAAAAAAGGGGAGACCACCGCCUCCCCGUUCCUCUCCGGCCCUCGUAGCGGCUUUAUGCGCAUCUUCAGACAAAAGGUGCUGCAGUAACGGGAAAUAAAGACUCUGUCGGGGGGUCCCAUAUCGCCGCCAGUGCAUAUUCAAGCACGAGAGGUGAAAUUGAGGCCACCUAUAAGACACAGCAGUAGCAGUAGCAGCAAUAGCAGUAACAACAGUAGCAACAGUAGCAGUAACAACAGUAGCAGUAGUAACAUGAGGAGGCGGAGGAUGGAGAGGGGGAGGUUGCCAGUCCCCAGCCGUCAUGGAAGCCGCUGCGGGGGCGCUUGUGGCGCUGCGUCUCGCGGUUUGCUGCGCGCUUGGUAGUGAGUGGAGCCGUCGUCGUUAGGAAGGAGGAAGAAGAGGGGGGCGAGUGUGUUUGUGUCCGCACUGUCCUCUCACGGACACAUCAGGAUACCAAUUGUUUGGGGCGGCAUACCCCGGAAUGUGUGUAUGUAUGUGUGUGUGUGUGUAUGUGUGCUGGGGGUGGAGGGUGGGGGUGGGGGGCGCUCUCCGUUCUCAGAGCGUCUGCGGCGCUCUGUGCACCUCUGUGACCAACAACUGUGAGUGUAUUGCUCUGUGUGUGUGUGCCUGUCUGUCCGUCUGUCUGUCCGUUUGCUGAGCUGGGAUUUCUCCUCUUCUCCUUUUUCGCUUUGUCUCGUAUUCUCUGACCCUUUCGGGCAAUGGUCCAUAUUUUUGUCUCUUAUGUUCUUUUUUCUGUCCGUCUGUCUGUGCUCGUGUCGUGUGUGUGUGUGUGUGUGUGUGUGCGAAGGGGGGGCGGAAUGUGUUUUGCGCGCUUGUCGGGUCGCAUGUCGGCUUUGGACUCCCUGCGGGUGGUGCGUUGUGUUGUAAAACCCCGCGACUUCUUUCAGGACGGAGGUAGCAAGCGCAAAUGCAUGUCUACAUACAUACAUACAUACAUACAUAUGUACAUACAUACAUGUGGGUAUGUGUGGCCGUGGUGGUGGUGAAAGCGGCGGCGGCUGUCUACAGCGGGGGGCACAUCAGGCAGAUGGUCACAAGUCCUUUCCCCUCCCCCCCCUCGACCACACCACACACACACACACACACACACCNNNNNNNNNNNNNNNNNNNNNNNNNNNNNNNNNNNNNNNNNNNNNNNNNNCGGGCCCCCCGUCAGCAAGGCUCACACACGCUACCUGCCCAGUCACCUGCUAGCUCCUGUCCGGCAUGCGCCGCACCGGCCUCGCUCCUUUGUUUGUUGGUUGCCAGCUGGAGCUUGGUGGGCCCUUCACGGUGCAAGGAUUGUUGUGUAGUGGGGGGCUUUAUUGGGAAGGAGGGGGAAGAGGCGGGGGAAAGGGGGAACGAGGAGGAGGUGCUGUGACACGGGGGGUUUAGCUGAGGGUAGUCGUUUGUAAGAGGGUAAUUGUUUACCAGGCGUGUGAGGUUCCCCGGGCCAGGUGGCUGUUCAUCCUCUCGCUCCAUGCAGAAGAAGCACGGGGGGGGCGGGUUUUGGUGCUGGUGUGGUCUCUGCGCGCAUGCGUGUGCGUGUGUGUGUGCUUUUCUCUGUGUGUCUGUGUGUGUGCGUGUCUGUGUGUGUGUGUAUUGCAUCUUCGGACCGGACCUGACGCGAGCCAGGGCUUUCCUUAUGUGUACGUGCAUGUGCCGUACGUGUGAAAUUGUUGCGUGUGUGGCACCUGGAGGGGUGUUGUGGGGGUUUGGGAAGGAGGUGUACGAAUGUGGCGGGCUGUGCACACAGCGCCGUCAGCAGCAGCAGCAGCAGCGCUUUUUUAGCUCUGGUGUAACCGAAAUUUCGUUGGCCACAACAAGCAUAUUCUAUGCCAUAUAACCAUCCAGCGUGUCCGAUGUCGCGGUUUUUAAAGCACGGGCGGCCAGAAGUUGUGCUUCUGUGCUGCGGCCUGGUGCAGCGAGGAGGCGCAGGCGGUAGGGGGACUCGUGGUCCCUACCCAUGUACCUUUGGAACUACAGCUGCUACAUCUUAGGGGGGUCGCAGUCUUAGCUGCGUUGAAAGCAAUGUUGGUGGUGGUAGUAUUAGCAUGGCCGCAUUCUGGAGACUGAACGAAGGGAACCGGAGGGAACCGCCUUCUGGAGAGUUUUUAAGACGAAAAGGCGACUCUUGUGGAUGUCGCUUUUUGGCUUGCUAAUGGCUAGUCGGUUGGGCGGAUGUGGUGCCGUACGGUACGGUACGGUACGGCGCCGUAUAGAACCCCGUGGACGUAAUCGGUUGACCGCAGAGAGUGUUGCACUGUACGGAUACGUCUGAGAGCGCGUGGUGUGCGGCACUGAGGGGUGGGUGGUUGAAAGGGGUGAAGGGGUAGCGCGCUCUGACCACGUGUGUGCACGGAAGCGCGCGUACGGUGCUUGGCGGUUGUACGGAUGUAUGUAUGUUGUUACAGGGUGGUUAACUUCGCCAGCGGCCCCCUUUCCCGGGGCAGUCCCUGCUCUCCCCUGCUAGAGGGGCACCCUAAUCCGUCACCCCAUCCGACUUCGGAAUGUAUUCGUUGGGUUCGACAACUCACCACCAGCAUCCAACCAAAUCUAGCGGAUCAACGGCGCAUCAACUUAGUUCCUGGUCAGCUCGCAAGUUGAUAUUAUCACGUCCUACACCGUCCAUAUGAUGGGGGGCCACCUCCCAUUUCAUCACUCCUCAAACACCCGAGGAGCCGGCAGGCGGAUUUGAACCCGGGUCGACUGGGUCGACUGGGAGCAGAAGUCAGGCCUUAU
rnacentral:lncRNA from 1 species